CGCCGCUCCCCUGGAGGACGAGGCUGCAGAUCAUGGCCGGCGCCGCGCGCGGCCUCGACUACCUCCACCGAGGCCUCCCGGAAGUCCAGGUUAAUAGAGCGCCGGCAGAGUUCUUGAAUGAUUCCGAGCCGGUCGCUCCGGCCGGCGAGGCUGAUCCGGCGGUGUUUUAGUGUGGCAGGUGAUAUACAGGGACUUCAAGGCGUCGAACGUGCUCCUGGACGGCGAGUUCCGGCCGAAGCUGUCGGACUUCGGGCUGGCGAGGGAGGGGCCGACGGAGGGGCGGACGCACGUGUCGACGGCGGUGGUGGGCACGCACGGCUACGCGGCGCCCGACUACAUCGAGACGGGCCACCUCACGGUGAAGAGCGACGUGUGGGGGUUCGGGGUGGUGCUGUACGAGAUCCUGACGGGGCGGCGGUCGGUGGAGCGCAGCCGGCCGCCGGAGGAGCAAAAGCUGCUGGGGUGGGUGAGCCGGCACCCGCCGGGAGGGGACAGCUUCAGGACCAUCAUGGACCCGCGGCUGGGCGGGCGGUACCCGCUGGCCGCCGCGCGCGACGCGGCGAGGCUCNNNNNNNNNNNNNNNNNNNNNNNNNNNNNNNNNNNNNNNNNNNNNNNNNNNNNNNNNNNNNNNNNNNNNNNNNNNNNNNNNNNNNNNNNNNNNNNNNNNNNNNNNNNNNNNNNNNNNNNNNNNNNNNNNNNNNNNNNNNNNNNNNNNAGAUGGCGGAGGUCGUGGAGGAGCUCGAGCGGGUGCUGCAGAUGGAGCCGCCGCCGCCCCCGGCUCCGGCCACGCCCAGGAGGUGAUCGAUCAUUCGAUCGACGAAGACCGGCAGAAUACUGGUAGUAUUAGUCAGAAUCAGUGAGGACUCGCAGUCUCUCUGCUGCAUCCGCAAGUGCACUCGAUGGAUGCUGACCGAGUGAGAGCUGUAUACAUAUCUCAGGAGACACGAAGGUGUAUCGGUGCGACCGAUUAAGGUGCUAUUGCAUUUGGUUAUGCACCAUUGCCGCUACCCACGAUCAAGGUGAAUGCAACUUCAUGCACCUGAAUUCUUGCAACCGGUUCGAACCCUACGAGCUAGGGCGGCGGUGCCGAUCUACCUCCUCCCAGGCAAGAUCAGAGCCCCCUCUCCCCCCGUCGGCUGCUUCAACGAUGGAAGCGUCGCGGGGACCCGUUGUUUCGGACACAUGGCCGUGUUCGGUUGCUUUCAGCUAUAGUACCUGCAUUGCAUAUUUAUCUCCAAUCAGACAUGUUGUUUUGGACACAUGGUCAUGUUUGGUUGCUUUCGACUACAAUACCUGCGUUGCAUACCCAUCUUCAACCAACCUGUUUCUUCAUAUGCAGCAAAUGCAAUCUAUUUGGUCAGAGGCGGAGGCAGUGGGGGGCGAGCGGGGGCCAUACCCCUCCUAUGGUUCGGCCCCCUCAACGAGUUGUAGCGGGGACUAGCCUGUUCCCUGAUACUAUAUUAGGCUUAAUUAUUCGGCUAUUAGCAAGGAUGUGGGCUAAGCUACUAAUUUCAAGCCCAAAACAAUUCCGCAAGAAGGCAACGUGGGCGAAGGCUGCACGCACACAUCCAUCAUCGCCCGGAAACCACGUACUCUUUAAUCGAUCGAUGCACACGUACACACUCAAGCGUUGAGGCGAGUCCCUUCCUAUACUCUUUCUUCCGCUAGGGCUUCGUUUCGCCGGGCUACCGGGGGUCGCACCGACGCAGCUUGGUAAUUAGCAAAGCCGUCGUUUGCCAUGCGUCAAAUCUGAGUAAGAUCCUACAAGUCUAGCCUACGGACGACGGUCUGUCGGGCGGCCGCGAAACAGACUACCAGAUGCAGAGGUAUUGUCAAAUUGAUUACAUACACCUGGACACCAAUUAAUCAACUGUUUGUAAUUAGCAUAUUUUGUUACUUGCAAGAUUAAUUACAUGUCACAUAUUGCUUUUUUUGCGGGGUAGGUUACAUAUUUUCUUUGUACUAAUAUAUGGGAAUUGUAAGGCCAGGAAGAUGAAUAAACCAUGGAUAAGUAAUUUCUUCAAGCCAAUGCUUCAAACUCUAACUCCAGAGUUGAAGAUGCAAAUCUAACCAUGACGAUAGAUGUCACAUAGCAAGCUACUGCACAUAAUGUCCACAAUCUUAGUUCAAUUCAUAUGUGAACAUCUUAACAUAAUGUUCCCAGUCUCAGAUCUCAAAGGUAUCACUACCGACAACUAAAAUAGUAGUUACAUAUUUUAUUGAAGUGCUUACAAAUUGUUGACUACACAAAAAUAAAUUAAUUGAUCAAUGGGAAAUAUAAUUUAUUUAUUUGUCAUUAGGAUGGCUUCAUCAUAUUAGUUUUAUCUUUCAACUUAUUGUAUGUUUCUUAAUAAAAUAAUAAAAUCAAGUUGAUUUAUUGAAAAUGAAAGAUAUACCAUAUUUCAAUUUCAUCAUCUUGGAAUAAUGAAGACGAAGACUAGAUAAUUAAGUAGUUUGAUCGGUCUGCUAGCAAUUCAUAAUUCUACACGUAAUUUUAGAAAAGUAAUUUUCUAUAUGUAAAAAUUAAUUAUAUAUAUAUAUUGAUAAAUCUUAUAUGAUGAACUUCACCAUUAUGUUCUUCGCCCCCCUAUGAUCAAAUCCUGGCUCCGCCCCUGUGUUUGGUUGACUGCAUCGCAUGAAGGGGCACGGUUGUCGUUUUUGUGCUUAGGGUGUGAGCAGAUGCAAACUUCAGCUGUUUGGUUGCAAAUAGUGUUUGUGUUCUGCUCACCCCAUUCAAAUAUGAUGUCCUUACCACCACAUGAUCAGCACAAAGCAAGCAACGGGAAUCACAACAAACUACUUAAAUUAACAGCAAACAACUUAAAUUAAACAAAGCAAGCAACGGAAAUGACAACAACAACAAACUUAGAUUAACAGCAUGGGCAUCCUCCUUCCCCGCUCUACGCCAGGGUGCCGCUCCUAGCCAAAAUAUUAACAAGUUCACAACACAAGUACCAUAAGUUCUAGCUAGACAACAUAACAAGUUCAACACUAACACCUAAGUUAACUACGUUGCAUGUUCAAUGUUACCAACACAGAUGUGCUUGCUGCAACGAAACAUGCACAUGAUCGAGGAGUCAUGAUUGUAGAUUUGGACCUUUAGGGCGAGUCCUAAGAUGCGCAGAACGAGGAGGUCGUCGGGGACGAUCUGGUGGUGGCAGCAGAAGUAGUUCCAGCCCCGGCCAAGCGCCAUGUGCCCCUCGAAGUUCUGGACCUGCACCCAGAACUCGCACCACUUGUUCACCGAGAGCCUGACCAAGCGCGGGGGCCGCCUAAUGACCAGCCAAUCGUUCAUCACCUGCACUAACUUGCGAGGGAUGACGAGCAUGGCGAGGUCUUCGGCGUCCUUGAUCUGCUGGUAGAAGCGCAACGGCUCCCGGGCCCCCUCCUCAUGGCCGGUCCUCGGUGAUCGUCCCCUUGAACGAGGCAUGCUCAUGAAGGCGACCCUGCCAGGAAGGUCCACCCUCUUAAGCCACAUGUUCAUGGGGAUGAGAUCCUCGACGCCCUCAGCUCCGGACACCACCUGAGCUCCUCCACCCGCCACAUCCCAGUCACUCUUCAAUACCUUGUGAGGUAAGAUGACAAGUAUUAGAGGUGCUUGCAAAAUGAACAACCACUGAUCAGUUGCACUAGCACUACAGCAAAUGGCACUGACCAUAGACAUUUGCCCAAGAGCAAAUGCCACUGAUCAGUGCACAAACUCUUUGCCAAAUGCCACUUAUCAAUGGCACUUGCUCUUGAGAAAAUGCCACUGAUCAGUGGCAUCUGGUCUUGCUCUUGAGCAAAUGCCAUUGAUUAGUGGCAUCUGGUCUUGCUCUUAAGCAAAUGUCACUCAUCAGUGGCAUCUGGUCUUGCUCUUGAGCAAAUGCCACUGAUCAAUGGCAUCUGGUCUUCUGCAACUGCCACUCAUCGGUGCACUAUGCUAAGCAUGGAAACAUCUAAAAAUAGCACCCAUGCGCACCCAUGCACAUUUGACAACAUCCUAAAAUAGUCCUACUACAUGCACGUAUAACAAUUUGGAGCAUGCAACACAAACCCUAGCUUGAACAUGUAUGUAGCAACAUGAACAUGAUCCUAGCUUAAAAUGAACAUGACAUUUGCAUGAACACAGAUCCUAGCAAGAUCCUAGCAAGACCCUAGCACUAGCAGAAGAACAUUAUCCUAGAACACACACUGUAGCAAACAAUAACGGAUCGGUCGGAUUCGAUUCGAUUGGGAUCAAAUCGAAUCGGGUCUACUCGAAUCCUACAAAAGCAGUAGCACAUGCCUAAGAAAUAAACCCCUAAUAUACAUCUACGAGCAAGCAUUGGGGAUUCUUUGACUCACCGGAGCUUGCGCAGUUGCAGCAAACUGAGGUCGGGGUGAAAACCCCGGCGGGAAGGAGAGAGGUGGCGGAGCUGGCCCUGGCGACGACCGGCGACAUCGGCCCCGUGCUCAUGGCCACGCCGAAGAUCAAGGAGGACGGCCCGCCGACAGGAGGAAACCCUUGGACGAGGGUCAAGAAAACCCCCUGCCCAAUGUGGUCCCAAGAAGUGUCAGCUCCGUGGACGGCACCGGCGCCGAGCCCAGGACCACGAGGUCCGAAAUCGGCGCCGGAGUAGGAACGACCGGCACCGCAUUCGCCGGCCCUUGUGGUGUCCGGCAACAGAUGGGGGACGGCGCUCGCAGCACCGACGCCAGGUCCUUGCCCGAGUUCUGGACCCCGGCCACCCAUCAGUUCUGGAUGGUGGCGAUGCGCUUGUCGACGGGGAUGAGAGGACGGCACGAUGGUGGGCAAGGCGGAGCCAUCGGAGGAGAGGAGAGGGAGGGGUGAUGAGGCAGAGAGGUGGGAACAGUGCGGGGACGGUGACAAGAGAGUGGGAGGGGAGUUAUGAGACAUCCCCUCUAUCUCCCGUGGUGCCUGAGGCGUCCAACCUCCUCGCACGCGUGUCCGCGCCAAGCCACACUCGCGAGAAACUGCUGAUUCGGCAGUUUCCGCCGGGCCAGGCUCAUGCCUGCUUUAAGGUUCGUGCGGGCCACGGAUCGCAUGCAGCCCAGCCAACCAAACAGGCCACGCACAUCCUGCGCGGGCCUGGUUGGGCUACAUGCGGGGAACCAAACACGCCGAUAGUGGUAAAGGGUGAGGAUUUCAGAAGUUAAGGUGAGGAUUUCAGUGCCCUAGUCAUCGGCGGUGAGGCAUUGCCAUCGUCGCCCGCAUGGAAUAAGUCCUCCUCGCCUCAUCCUCAUUCCCAUGGUUGUUCUUAGCAUCUUUGGGAGAGGUGAUCGAUCAUUCGAUACUAGUAGUAGUGGUCAUAAUCAGUGAUGAGGACUCACAGUUUCCUGUUGCAUCUGCAAGUGUACUCAAUCGAUGCUGACCAAAGUGAGAGUUGUAGAGAGAUCACAAAAGACACGAAAGUGUAUAGGUGCGACCAAUUAAGUAUUAAAAGAUUAGGCAAGUUCAUGAUUAAUUUUUAUAAAUAAUUUAUUAGUAUAACAACUAAUAGCAUGCAAUACUCUAUUAAUCUAGAAGAGCAACCGAACAUGUAGAUCAUCACCGCACACGAAGUAGCAACUACAACGAGAAGCAUUAACAGAUCACGAGUAACGUACUGCUCUUUAGCUGCUGCAGGAACGACCGUGUUGAUGACGAUGUUAGCGACGAUCUUUUGUUGAUGGUGACGGAGGUGACGAUGAGUAGCACCGUCCGACUUGGACGCUAGACGACCCGUGAUGACGAAUUUGAGCAGUCGUGCAGAGCGCUUCUUGAAAACCUAAUUUCUCCUCUCCCGGUGCAGGAUCGCAAAGACGACCGGUUCCGGAGACCUGCUCUCUCGCACGUCGAUGCACGCCGGUGUUCGAGAUGAGUUAGACUACGAUGGCAACACAAGUUGUGAGACGAGGCAAAACCCUAUGUGUUUUCGGUGUGUCUUUGGCCGACCACAGUAAGCAGUAUAUAUAGGAGGAUUAGAGUCAGUAUUGUGUCGCGAUCAUCAUCUCAAACUAUCUUGGUUUUUAAGUCAUAUACUUACCGAACAAGAAAUACUUAACUUGUCUGUCAAGACAUAAAAAUAAAACGCCAAAAGGAAGCCCUACCCCCGCAAGCCAACGAACCGGAAUUCGGCGGACCAUUCACGCGCAUGAAGCACGCACGCGCCACCCCGCCCUGCCCCGCUAGACGAGCGAGCGCGCGUGUGGUCUUCUCCUUUCUCUUCUCAGCACACACUUAGACUCUUAGAGUGGUGGGGAGAACUCAUUAUAUAAAGAGGUCCAACUCUUCCUCAACUAGCGAUAUGGGACUAAAGUUUAGCACCACGACACCACCACUUGCCAUUUUACUCAUGGGCUCAUUUGAGAUUUCAGAAUUUUGUAGAUGGGUCAAGCCCAUUAGUUCUAACAUUAAGGUGCUAGUGCAUUUGGUUAUGCGCCAUUGCCGCUACCCACGAUCAAGGUGAAUCCGUUAAUGCAAUUUCAUGCACGUGAAUUCUUGCAACAGGUUAAGAAAUUGGCAUCGGUUAAAACCUACGAGCUAGGGCGGCGACGCCGAUCUACCUCCUCCCAGGCAAGAUAACAACCCCCUCUCCUCCCAUCGGCUGCUUCAACGAUGGAAGCAUCGCGGGGACCCGUUGUUUCAGCUAAUGGUGGUAAGGGUGAGGAUUUUAGAAGUUAGGGUGAGGAUUUCAGUGCCCUAGUAAUCGGGCAUGAGGCAUUACCAUCGUUGUCUGCAUGUAAUAAGUCAUCCUCGUCUCGUCAUCAUUCCCAUGGUGGUUCUUAGAGCAUAUCCACUCCCCCGCUGACACGUCUCCAACGUAUCUAUAAUUUUUGAUGGUUCCAUGCUAUUAUCUUGUCAACUUUGGAUGUUUUAUAUGCAUGAAUAUGCUAUUUUAUAUCUUUUUGGGACUAACCUAUUAACUCAGUGCCAAGUGCCAGUUUCUGUUUUUUCCGUGUUUUUGACCUUUUUCAUAGAAGAAUAUUAAACGGAGUCCAAAUGGAAUAAAGCCUACGGGAUGAUUUUUUCCGUAACAGAAGAUACGCAGGGGACUUGAGAACCAAGGCAGGAUACCUCAUGGGAGAUCACAAGCCCCCUAGCCGCGGCCUAGGGGGGUGGCCGCGCCUGGCAGGCUUGUGGGCCCCACGUGGCUCCUUUGCCCUACCUCUUUCGCCUAUAAAUUCGCUAAAAUCCUGAAACCAAAGAAGAGAGCCACGAAAAUACUUUUCCACCGCCGCAAGCUUCUGUCUCCGCAAGAUCCCAUCUGGGGACCGUUCUGGUGCCCUACGGGAGGGGGAUUCGGACAUGGAGGGCUUCUUCAUCAACACCAUUUCCUCUCCGAGGAUGCGUCAGUAGUUCACCACAGACCUUCGGGUCCAUAGCUAGUAGCUAGAUGGCUUCUUCUCUCUCUUGGAUCUUCAAUACAAAGUUCUCCAUGAUCUUCAUGGAGAUCUAUCCCAUGUAACUUUCUUUUGCAGUGUGUUUGUCGAGAUCCGAUGAAUUGUGGAUUUAUGAUCAGAUUAUCUAUGCAUAUUAUUUGAGUCUCCUCUGAUUUCUUAUAUGCAUGAUUUCGUAUCCUUGUAAUUAUCUUUGAGUUAUUGGUUUUGUUUGGCCAACUUGAUCUAUAAUUCUUACAAUGGGAGAAGUGCUUGGUUUUGGGUUCAUACCGUACGGUGUCCUCACCUAGUGACAGAAGGGGUAGCGAGGCACGCAUCGUGUUGUUGCCAUCAAGGGUAAAAAGAUGGGGUUUAUACCAUAUUGCAAGAAUUUAUCCCUCUACAUCAUGUCAUCUUGCUUAAGGCGUUACUCCGUNNNNNNNNNNGUUGAUGUGUGGAGUAAUAGUAGUAGAUGCAGAAAGUAUCGGUCUACUUGUCUCGGACGUGAUGCCUAUAUGUAUGAUCAUUGCCUUAGAUAUCGUCAUGACUUUGCGCGAUUGUAUCAAUUGCUCGACAGUAAUUCGUUCACCCACUGUAAUACUUGCUAUCAUGAGAGAAGCCUCUAGUGAACACUAUGACCCCCAGGUCUAUUUUACACAUCAUAUAUUCAGAUCUACAUACAAAAAUACCAAAAAUACUUUGCUGCACUUUUAUUUCUGUUUACCUUUUAUCACCUUCAGAUCUCACCUUGCAAGUAAUCGUGAAGGGAUUGACAACCCCUUUAUCGCGUUGGGUGCAAGUUUGUUUGUUUUUGCGCAGGUUCAUUUGGUGCCUCAUCUUGAUACUCCUACUGGAUUGAUACCUUGGUUCUCAAACUGAGGGAAAUACUUAUCUCUACUUUGCUGCAUCACCCUUUCCUUCUCAAGGGAAAAACCAAUGCAAGCUCAAGAAGUAGCAGGAAGAAUUUCUGGCGCCGUUGCCGGGGAGUAUUCAAGUGAAGCAUAUCUACCAAGUACCUAUCGCAAACCCAUCUCUUGCAUUUACAUUAUUUGCCAUUUGCCUCUCGUUUUCCUCUCCACCACUUCUAAAACGAUUUUCCGAAAAUACCAAAAAGAUUUUCCUUUUUAUUCACUAUUCUCCCGUUCGCCUUUUUGUUGCUAUGUUUGCUUGUGUUGCCAUGUGCCUUCUAUUUGCUUGCAUCUUCGCUUGCUAAAAAUCUAUUGAUAUGGGUCCUCAUCCACUUGCUAAUCUUUUCAAAAGACCAAAUUAUGAUGAAUAAUUUGCUAGUGAGUUGAGUGCACUUGACUAUCUCUAUGGAGUUUUGUUUGAAAAUCAUGAAUGUGAAAUUUUUGAUGAAGUGUUGAAAGAAGAAAAUUAUAAAGUGGUUCAUGAUAUCUGCUUGAAUGAAAAACAUGAUUGCCAUGUUGUGAGUAUGAAUUCUUUGAAUAUCUAUGAUGCUAAUGAUAUGCAAAACCACAAGCUUGGGGAUGCUAUGCUUGAUGAAGAUGAUAUUUUUUUGUUUCCCAAGUUUUGGUGAUGACCCUUAUGCUAUAAUUGAUCAUGAAAAGAAUGCUUUGUGUGAUAGUUAUAUUGUAAGAUUCCUUCAUGAUGUUACUAAAAAUUACUAUGAGAGAGGAACAUAUGCUUUUACAUAUUGCAAUGAUAUCAAGCUUCCUCUCUAUGUGUUCAACGUUUUGAAGUUAUGCUUGUUUUGCCUUCCUAUGCUAGUUAAUUCUUGUUCCCAUAAAUUGUUUGCUCACAAAAUGCCUAUGCAUAGGAAGUAUGUUAGACUUAGAUAUGUUUGUCACAUGUUUCAUGAUGCUCUCUUCGUGUCCGAUUGCUAUCUUUUAUGUGAGCAUCAUUGAAUUAUCAAUGCCUAGCUAAAAGGCUUUAAAGAAAAGCGCUUGUUGGGAGGCAACCCAAUGAAUAAAUUUAUUUUUGCUUUUCACUUUCUGUUUUGUUGAGUCCACACCAUCAUAAUUCUGUUAUGAUUGUGUUUGUUAUGUUUUAAUUAGUGUUUGUGCCAAGUAGAACCUUUAUGAUUAGUUUUGGUGAUAGUUGUUUAAUCAUGCUGAAAAAGACAGAAACUUUGUGCUCACGAAAUUAUUUUUAAUUCCUAUCCACAAAGAUCUUUUGAGUUGAUUCUUUUUUGCUUCUGGUUUAUAUGCAAAUUUCCCUAAUUUUACUAAAUUUUCAGAAUUUUUGGGAUACUAGAGGUAUACGAAGUAUACAUAUUACUACAGACUGGUCUGUUUUUGACAGAUUCUGUUUUUGUUGUGUUGAUUGCUUAUUUUGAUGAAACUAUGGUUAGUAUCGGGGGGUACUAGCUAUGGAAAAGUGAGAAUACAGUAAUAUAACAUCAAUCUAAAUAUAAAUCAAGUUUACUACACUACCUAAAAAGUUGGUAGUUUGUUUUCUUAUGCUAAUGAUAUCACGAGUUUCUGUUUAAGUUUUGUGUUGUGAAGUUUUCAAGUUUUGGGUGAUAUUCUCAUGGACAAUGGAAUAAAGAGUGUAAAGAGCUUAAGCUUGGGUAUGUCCAAGACAUCCCAAGCCAAAUUCAAGGACACCAAAAAGCCUAAGCUUGGGGAUGCCCCGGGAAGGCAUCCCCUCUUUUCGUCUUCAAUCCAUCGGUAACGUUACCUGGAGCUAUAUUUUUAUUCACCACAUGAUAUGUGUUUUGCUUGGAGCGUCGUGUAUUAUAGGAGUCUUUACUUUUUGUUUUGUCACAAUCAUCCUUGUUGCACACCUUUUUGAGAAGGAUAUGCACUCAUCGUGGAUUUGUUAGAAUACUCAAUGAGCUUCACUUAUAUCUUUUGAGUUAGGCAAUUUAGCUCGCAUGUGCUUCACUUAUAUCUUUUAAGCUAGAUAACUUUUCUCUAGUGCUUCACUUAAAUCUUUUUAGAGCACGGCGGUGUCAUAUUUUGUAGAAAUAAAAACUCUCGAUCUUCACUUAUAUCAUUUUGUGAGUGCUAUCUCUAAGUAACUUGGUAAUUGGCGUGUGCUAUGAAAUUAGUCCUAAAUAUGUUAGGCAUCCAAAGAGGAUAUAAUAAAAACUUUCAUAUUCAAGUGCAUUGAUUAGUAAGAAAAGUUUGGUUCCUCACAAUUAGUUUUGAGAUAUGGAUAUGGUAAUAUUAGAGUUAUGUUAGUAGGGUGUUGUGAAUCUAGAAAUACUUGUGUUGAAGUUAGUAAUUCCCGUAAAUGAUGUUUUGCUGUGUAUCCCUUGCAAUGGCGCCAGAAAUAGUUGUGUCGACGACACCAGGAAUCCUUCAGCUACGGCUACGCCUUAAGGGACUUCCUAGGCAAGUAUGCAAAGGAUUUCCCCCGUGGCCUUGGAGCCUUGUGUUGGUGUUCCCUCGAAGCGGAAAGGGUGAUGUAGCAUAGCGACGGUAAGUAUUUCCCUCAGUUUGAGAACCAAGGUAUCAAUCCGGCGGAAGAGUAUCUCAAGAUCCUGCACACACACAAAAGCUUGCACCCAACGCUAUGAAGGGGUUGUCAAUCCCUUAUAGAUUGUUUGCCAAGUGAGAACUGAAAGUAACAAAGUAACAAAGCAAAGUAAAAGCGGAGGUGUAAACGAUGGAUGUGAAUAGACCCGGGGGCCGUAGUGUUUACUAGUGGCUUCUCUCAUGAAAGCAAGUAGACGGUGGGUGAAAAAAUUACUGUCGAGCAAUUGAUAGAACUGUGCAGAGUCGUGACGAUAUCUNNNNNNNNNNNNNNNNNNNNNNNNNNNNNNNNNNNNNNNNNNNNNNNNNNNNNNNNNNNNNNNNNNNNNNNNNNNNNNNNNNNNNNNNNNNNNNNNNNNNAAGAGGCAGCCUCAAACCCUCAAGGUUUGGCCGAAAUUGGAGGUGGAGGAGUCCUACUCCAAUCCUACUUGGAGUAGGAUUCCACCUUCCCACUUGGAAACUCUUUCCACCUUGUGUUUUUUCCUUCUCAAACCUUAUGGGCCUUAGUGGGAACUUAUUCCAGCCCACUAGGGGCUGGUUUAUCUCUUCCCAUAGCCCAUGAGACCCCUUGGGGCGUGACACCCCUCCCGAUGGUCCCCGGCACCCCUCCCGGCACUCCCGGUACACUACCGAUGAGCCCGAAACUUUUCCGGUGACCAAAACAGGACUUCCUAUAUAUCAAUCUUUACCUCCGGACCAUUCCGGAGCUCCUCGUGACAUCCUGGAUCUCAUCCGGGACUCCGAACAACAUUCGGUAACCAACCAUAUAACUCAAAUACGCAUAAAACAACGUCGAACCUUAAGUGUGCAGACCCUGCGGGUUCGAGAACUAUGUAGACAUGACCCGAGAGACUCCUCGGUCAAUAUCCAAUAGCGGGACCUGGAUGCCCAUAUUGGAUCCUACAUAUUCUACGAAGAUCUUAUCGUUUGAACCUCAGUGCCAAGGAUUCAUAUAAUCCCGUAUGUCAUUCCCUUUGUCCUUCGGUAUGUUACUUGCCCGAGAUUCGAUCGUCAGUAUCCGCAUACCUAUUUCAAUCUCGUUUACCGGCAAGUCUCUUUACUCGUUCCGUAAUACAAGAUCCCGCAACUUACACUAAGUCACAUUGCUUGCAAGGCUUGUGUGUGAUGUUGUAUUACCGAGUGGGCCCCGAGAUACCUCUCCGUCAUACAGAGUGACAAAUCCCAGUCUCGAUCCAUACUAACUCAACGAACAUCUUCGGAGAUACCUGUAGAGCAUCUUUAUAGUCACCCAGUUACGUUGCGACGUUUGAUACACACAAAGUAUUCCUCCGAUGUUAGUAAGUUAUAUGAUCUCAUGGUCAUAGGAACAAAUACUUGACACGCAGAAAACAGUAGCAACAAAAUGACACGAUCAACAUGCUACGUCUAUUAGUUUGGGUCUAGUCCAUCACAUGAUUCUCCUAAUGAUGUGAUCCCGUUAUCAAGUGACAACACUUUCCCAUGGCCAGGAAACAUUGACCAUCUUUGAUCAACGAGCUAGUCAACUAGAGGCUUACUAGGGACAGUGUUUUGUCUAUGUAUCCACACAAGUAUUGUGUUUCCAAUCAAUACAAUUAUAGCAUGGAUAAUAAACGAUUAUCAUGAACUAAGAAAUAUAAUAAUAACUAAUUUAUUAUUGCCUCUAGGGCAUAUUUCCAACAGCCGCUACUGCCGCGUCUGUGGACCUCUUGGCAUCGAGCCUUCUCCACCGGUCCAUUGUGACCGCCUGCCGAUUCUGGACAUCCACCAUCCACUAAGCGUCCGACAUGCCCAUUGGCCUAGCCAUCGGCGCCCUCGGCUUCCUUUACUUCGGUCGGGUGGAAUCAGCGGCGGCAGCAAAGCGAGGGGCAGUAUACUUCUUCGGUGGCAUGGCGACCGGAUGGCGGGAGCGGCCGGGGGGAGAAGCGGAAGCAAGGAGGAAAUGGAGGGAGAGGGGGAGAAAACGGCGGGAAUAGGCCCGUUUGUCGCCAACAGCACGGAUCCACUCGACUUUUUGUUUCGGCCGGCACCCCGAGGCGCACCCCGGGGGCUAGGUUCGGCUCGGGUUCGUUGUGUGUUUUUUCGGCCCAAACCGGCGCUGAACGAGGAGUUAGGGGCGCUGGUGGGCCGAUUUUUCGCCGUCGGCGCUAAAAAAGGCGUCUUGUGGGGCCUAUUGGUGGGCGGGUGCUACUUCUUGAGCUUGCGUUGGUUUUUCCCUUGAAGAGGAAAGGGUGAUGCAGCAAAGUAGAGAUAAGUAUUUCCCUCAGUUUGAGAACCAAGGUAUCAAUCCAGUAGGAGUAUCAAGAUGAGGCACCAAUGAACCUGCGCAAAAACAAACAAACUUGCACCCAACGCGAUAAAGGGGUUGUCAAUCCCUUCACGAUUACUUGCAAGGUGAGAUCUGAAGGUGAUAAAAGGUAAAAAGAAAUAAAAGUGCAGCAAAGUAUUUUUGGUAUUUUUGUAUGUAGAUCUGAAUAUAUGAUGUGUAAAAUAGACCCGGGGGCCAUAGUGUUCACUAGAGGCUUCUCUCAUGAUAGCAAGUAUUACUGUGGGUGAACGAAUUACUGUCGAGCAAUUGAUAGAAUCGCGCAAAGUCAUGACGAUAUCUAAGGCAAUGAUCAUACAUAUAGGCAUCACAUCCAAGACAAGUAGACCAAUACUUUCUGCAUCUACUACUAUUACUCCACACAUCGAUCGCUAUCCAGCAUGCAUNNNNNNNNNNNNNNNNNNNNNNNNNNNNNNNNNNNNNNNNNNNNNNNNNNNNNNNNNNNNNNNNNNNNNNNNNNNNNNNNNNNNNNNNNNNNNNNNNNNNNNNNNNNNNNNNNNNNNNNNNNNNNNNNNNNNNNNNNNNNNNNNNNNNNNNNNNNNNNNNNNNNNNNNNNNNNNNNNNNNNNNNNNNUGUAGAGGGAUAAAUUCAUGCAAUAUGAUAUAAACUCGAUCUUUUUACCCUUGAUGGCAACAACACGAUGCGUGCCUCGCUACCCCUUCUAUCACUAGGUGAGGACACCGCACGGUAUGAACCCAAAACCAAGCACUUCUCCCAUUGCAAGAAUUAUAGAACAAGUUGGCCAAACGAAACCAAUAACUGGAAGAGAAUUACAAGGAUACAAAAUCAUGCAUAUAAGAAAUCAGAGGAGACUCAAAUAAUAUUCAUAGAUAAUCUGAUCAUAAAUCCACAAUUCAUCGGAUCUCGACAAACACACCGCAAAAGAAGAUUACAUCGGAUAGAUCUCCAUGAAGAUCAUGGAUAACUUUGUAUUGAAGAUCCAAGAGAGAGAAGAAGCCAUCUAGCUACUAGCUAUGUACCCGAAGGUCUGUGGUGAACUACUCACGCAUCAUCGGAGAGGCAAUGGUGUUUAUAAUAAGCCCUCCGUGUCCGAAUCCCCCUCCGGUAGGGCACCAGAACGGUCCCCAGAUGGGAUCUUGCGGAGACAGAAGCUUGCGGCGGUGGAAAAGUACUUUCGAUGAUCUCCUGAUUUUUUCUGGGAUUUUAGGGAAUAUAUAGGUGAAAGACCUAGGGCAGAGGUGGCCCAGGGAGCCCACAAGCCUGGGGGGCGAAAGCCCUAGGUAUUUCGCCUAUAUAUUCCCUAAAAUCCCAGAAAAAAUCAGGAGAUCAUCGAAAGUACUUUUCCGCCGCCGCAAGCUUCUGUCUCCGCAAGAUCCCAUCUGGGGCACGCUCUGGUGCCCUGCCAGAGGGGGGAUUCGGAUACGGACGGCUUCUUCAUCAACACNNNNNNNNNNNNNNNNNNNNNNNNNNNNNNNNNNNNNNNNNNNNNNNNNNNNNNNNNNNNNNNNNNNNNNNNNNNNNNNNNNNNNNNNNNNNNNNNNNNNNNNNNNNNNNNNNNNNNNNNNNNNNNNNNNNNNNNNNNNNNNNNNNNNNNNNNNNNNNNNNNNNNNNNNNNNNNNNNNNNNNNNNNNNNNNNNNNNNNNNNNNNNNNNNNNNNNNNNNNNNNNNNNNNNNNNNNNNNNNNNNNNNNNNNNNNNNNNNNNNNNNNNNNNNNNNNNNNNNNNNNNNNNNNNNNNNNNNNNNNNNNNNNNNNNNNNNNNNNNNNNNNNNNNNNNNNNNNNNNNNNNNNNNNAGUUUCUUCUGAUCUCUCUUAUGCAUGAUUUCAUAUCCUUGUAAUUAUCUUCGAGUAAUGGGUUUUGUUUGGCGAGCUUUAUCUAUGAUCCUUGCAAUGGCAGAAGUGCUUGGUUUUGGGUUCAUACCGUGUGGUGACCUCACCCAGUGACAGAAGGGGUAGCGAGGCACACAUCGUGUUGUUGCCAUCAAGGGUAAAAAGAUGGGUUUUUCAUCAUUGGUUUGAGUUUAUCCCUCUACAUCAUGUCAUCUUGCUUAAGGCGUUACUCUAUUCGUCAUGAACUCAAUACACUAGAUGCAUGUUGGAUAGCAGUCGAUGUGUCGAGUAAUAGUAGUAGAUGCAGAAAGUAUCGGUCAACUUGUCCCGGGCGUGAUGCCUAUAUGUAUGAUCAUUGCCUUAGAUAUCGUCAUGACUUUGUGCGGUUCCAUCAAUUGCUCGACAGUAAUUUUUUCACCCACCGUAAUAUUUGCAAUUUUGGGAUAAGCCUCUAGUGAACACUAUGGCCCCCGGGUCUACUCCACACCAUAUUUUCAGCCUUACUCUUUUCUUCAUUGCACUUUCCGCCUUCAUAUCUUACUUGGCAAUCAAUCUUGAAGGGAUUGACAACCCCUUUAUAGCGUUGGAUGCAAGCUCUUUUGUGUUUGUGCAGGUACUCUGGACUUGACGAGAUUCUCCUACUGGAUUGAUACCUUGGUUCUCAAACUGAGGGAAAUACUUACUGCUCCUGCGCUGCAUCACCCUUUCCUCUUCAAGGGAAAAGCCAACGCAAGCAAGUCUCCGUCAACGUGUCAAUUUAUGGCGCUGUUGUUUGAGAAGUAGCAUCCACCCCCACCAAAGGGUGAUCAUGUGUUCGAUCUUAAACAGUUGCCUGAUACUCUUAAGUAUACUUAUCUUGAUGAAAAAGGGAUAUAUCCUGUUAUUAUUAGUGCUAGCCUCUCAGAGCAUGAAGAAAAGAGGUUACUAAAAACUCUGAGGAAGCACCGUGCUGCUAUUGGAUAUACUCUUGAUGAUCUUAAGGGCAUUAGUCCCACUCUAUGCCAGCACAAGAUUAAAACUCAUCCUGAUUCCAAACCAGUUGAUGAUCAUCAGAGGAGAUUAAAUCCUAAGAUGAAAGAAGUAGUGAGAAAAUAAAUACUAAAUCUCCUGGAAGCGGGUAUCAUCAAUCAUGUUGCUCAUAGUGAUUGGGUGAGUCUGGUGCAUUGUGUCCCUAAUAAGGGAGGCAUUACCGUUGUCCCUAAUGAUAAGGAUGAAUUGAUCCCACACAGGAUUAUUACUGGCUAUAGGAGGGUGAUCGAUUUUAGGAAAUUGAAUAAAGCUACUAGGAAAGAUCAUUACCCUUUGCCUUUUAUCGACCAGAUGCUAGAAAGACUGUCUAAACACACACACUUCUGCUUUCUAGACGAUUAUUCUGGUUUCUCUCAAAUACCAAUUGCACAAUCUGAUGAGGAUAAAACCACUUUCACCUGCCCUUUCGGUACCUUUGCUUAUAGACGCAUGCCUUUUGGCUUAUGUAAUGCACCUGCCACCUUUCAAAGAUGUAUGAUGGAUAUAUUCUCUGACUUUUGUGAAAAUAUUGUUGAGGUUUUCAUGGAUGACUUCUCCGUUUAUGGGUCUUCCUUUGAUGAUUGCCUCAGCAACCUCGGUCGAGUCUUGCAGAGAUGUAAAGACACCAAUCUUGUCUUGAAUUGGGAGAAAUGCCACUUUAUGGUUAAUGUAGGCAUCGUCUUGGGACAUAAAAUUUCUGAAAGAGGUAUUGAAGUCGAUAAGGAUAAAGUUGAUGCGAUCGAGAAAAUGACAUACCCCACAGAUAUCAAAGGUAUAAGAAGUUUCCAUGGUCAUGCUGGUUUCUAUAGGAGGUUCAUUAAAGACUUCUCUAAGAUUUCUAGUCCUCUUACCACCUGAUUGGAACUUACCUUUUGAAAUCAUGCGUGAUGCUAGUGAUUAUGUCGUUGGUGCUGUCCUAGGGCAAAUAGUUGAUAAGAAGAUGAAUGUUAUUCACUAUGCUAGUAAAACUCUAGACAUUGCCCAACGAAACUAUUCCACUACGGAAAAGGAAUUUUUAGCAGUCGCGUUUGCAUGUGAAAAGUUCAGGUCUUACAUAGUUGAUUCCAAAGUCACUAUUCACACUAAUCACGCUGCUAUUAAGUACCUCAUGGAGAAGAAGGACGCUAAACCUAGACUUAUCAGAUGGGUUCUCUUGCUACAAGAAUUUGAUUUGCACGUUGUCGACAGGAAGGGUGCUGAUAACCCCGUAGCAGAUAACUUGUCUAGGUUGGAGAACGUUCUUGAUGACCCACAACCUAUUGAUGAUAGCUUUCCUGAUGAGCAAUUGAAUGUCAUAAAUCCUUCACAUAGUGCACCAUGGUAUGCUGAUUAUGCAAACUAUAUCGUUGCCAAAUAUAUACCACCUAGUUUCACAUACCAGCAAAAGAAUAAAUUCUUCUUUGACUUGAGACAUUACUUUUGGGAUGAUCCUCACCUUUAUAAGGAAGGAUUAGAUGGUGUUAUUAGAAGUUGUGUACCUGAACAUGAACUGGGACAGAUCCUACAGAAGUGUCACUCCGAGGCCUACAGAGGACACCAUGCGGGAGAUAGAACUGCACACAAGGUAUUGCAAUCAUGUUUCUAUUGGCCCACUCUCUUCAAGGAUGCCCGUAAGUUUGUCUUGUCUUGUGACAAAUGUCAAAGAAUAGGUAAUAUCGGUAAACGUCAGGAAAUGCCUAUGAACNNNNNNNNNNNNNNNNNNNNNNNNNNNNNNNNNNNNNNNNNNNNNNNNNNNNNNNNNNNNNNNNNNNNNNNNNNNNNNNNNNNNNNNNNNNNNNNNNNNNNNNNNNNNNNNNNNNNNNNNNNNNNNNNNNNNNNNNNNNNNNNNNNNNNNNNNNNNNNNNNNNNNNNNNNNNNNNNNNNNNNNNNNNNNNNNNNNNNNNNNNNNNNNNNGGUAUACUCACAUCUUAGUUGUUGUUGAUUAGGUCACUAAGUGGGUAGAAGCUAUCCCCGCUAGUAGUGCUGAUGACAACACAUCUAUUAGGAUGCUUAAAGAAGUUAUUUUCCCUCGAGUUGGAGUCCCUAGAUAUCUAAUGGCCGACGAUGGUUCACAUUUCAUUUAUGGUGCUUUCUAUAAAACGCUUGCUAAGCACGAUGUCCACCAUAGAAUUGCGUCUCCCUAUCACCCUCAGUCCAGUGGUCAAGUAGAGCUAAGCAAUAGAGAGAUUAAACUGAUUCUGCAAAAGACUGUCAAUAGGUCUAGAAAGAAUUGGUCUAAGAAGCUCGAUGAUGCACUGUGGGCUUAUAGGACUGCCUAUAAGAAUCCCAUGGGCAUGUCUCCGUACAAAAUGGUGUACGGUAAGGCAUGUCAUUUACCUCUUGAGCUAGAGCACAAAGCUUAUUGGGCAAUCAAAGAGCUCAACUUUGAUUUCAAACUUGCCGGUGAGAAGAGGUUAUUUGAUAUUUGCUCGCUUGAUGAAUGGAGAACUCAGGCAUAUGAGAAUGCCAAGUUUUUCAAAGAAAAGGUUAAGAGGUGGCAUGAUAAGAGGAUACAAAAGCGUGAGUUCAAUGUAGGUGAUUAUCUCUUGCUAUAUAAUUCUCUUUAAGAUUUUUUGGAGGCAAGCUUCUCUCUAAAUGGGAAGGUCCCUAUAUUGUUGAGGAAGUAUAUCGUUCUGGUGCUAUCAAGAUCAAAAACACGGAAGGUAAUUGUCCGAGAGUGGUAAAUGGGCAGAGAAUCAAGCAUUAUAUCUCAGGUACUCCCACAAAUGUUGAAAGCAAUAUCAUCAAUACCAUAACUCCGGAAGAAUACCUAAGGGAUAUUUAUAAACCUGUUUCAGACUCUGAAAACGAAGAGGUAUGUGAUUCGGUAAGAAAACAGACUCCAAAACUUUUCCAGUAGGAAUUUUUCUCCGUUUUGGAAUAUUUGAAAAAAUAGAAAAAUUGGAAGUAUUCCGGAAAGCGCGCGAGGAGGCGACAAGCCUGCCAGGCGCGGUCCAACCCCUUGGCCGCGCCUGGGGGGCUUGUGGCCACCUCGUGUGCCUCCCGGACUUCGCUUUCGAGCGGAGUACUCCUUCUGGUCAGAAAAAAAUCAUUAUAUAUUCUCCCGUAAGGUCUUACCCUCGUAUCACACGAAUUUCCUUUGUUUUCGUUUCGAGCCUGUUUUGUGCCGCAGAUUUAGAGCAAGAUGUCGUCCCAGGAAUCUGUGGGGGAGAACAAUCUCCCUCAAGUCUAUGAAGAAGUAAAUGCUGAUCUGAAAAGAAUGGAGGCCAAAGAAAGGCUACCUAAAGAAACCAAGGGCAAAACUAAGGAGAAGAAUUAGGCGUGGGAUGAAGCACAAUCUGUGUUCAACAAGGAAGAAGUUGAAGAAGUGGAUUUGUUCCAACCCUAUCUCCACCUAUUGUCUCCAUCCUUGAUUGAAGUGUUGAGGUUUUGUGAAACAACUCGUGCUCGCAAUACUUAUCUCACUCGUGAAGUUGUUUUGCUGGAGAAACAUAUCACGCAUCUCCAAGGUAUAAAUCAAAGAUUGAUGGCCCUCUUGGAAUCAAAGGGCAAAGCAACUCCACCACCAUCACCUCCAAAGGAAGACAACUAAGCAUGGGUAUGGGCAAUACCGUUGGCUUGUGCCAAGCUUGGGGAGUUGCCCCGGUAUCGUAUCACCAUCACAUCUUUUGCCUUUACCUUUGUUUUAGUUUGUUCCCUUUCAGUUUUCUCUUUCUCUAAUAGAAUAAAAGUCUUAGUGUUUUAGUCUUGAAGUUUUGCUUUGUGUCACCCCCGAUGUAUUUGAGCUCGUGAGCCAUAUAAUAAAGAGUGUCUUAGUUGAGGGCUUUGUCUCUUGCCAUGAUCAAAAGAUUGAGAAAAGAACAAAAGCAUGAAAGAUCAUGUGAUGAUCUUAUGGGAAGUGAUGGCUUCACAUAUAAAAAGAAUGUUGAUUGAAACUUGUUGAGGUAGACAAACGUAGACCUUGGUCAUUGUUGCAAUUAAUAGGAAGUGAUAAAGAAUGAGAGGAUGACAUAUAAAUAUAUCAUCUUUGACACCAUCUAUGAUUGUGAACACUCACUAAACUAUUACAUGCUUAGAAGUAGAUGUUGGACAAGGAAGACAACAUAAUGAAUUGUGUUUGCUUGGUUCCAAACAAUGUUAUAUGAUUAGAGAUCCCUUAGCAUGUGACGAUUGCUUCCACCUCAUAUUAUCCAAAACUCCCGCACCAAGUAGAGAUACUACUUGUGCAUCCACAAACCUUCAACCCAGUAUUGCCAUGAGAGUCCACCAUACCUACCUAUGGAUUGAAUAAGAUCCCUCAAGUAAGUUGUCAUUUGUGCAAGCAAUAAAAAUUGCUCCCUAAUAUGUAUGAUCUAUUAGUGUGUCGAAAAUAAGCUUUGUACGAACCUGUGAUGAGGAAGACAUAAAAGCGACAGACUGCAUAAUAAAGUUCUUUAUCACAGGAGGCAAUAUAAAGUGACGUUCCUCCGCACUAAGAGGACACGCAUCCAAACCUCAAAAGCGCAUCACAACCUCUGCUUCCCUCUGCGAAGGGCCUAUCUUGUACCUUUACUUUUUGCCCUUGAAAGAGUCAUGGUGAUAUUCACCAAUUCCUUGUUUCGCCCUUAUCUUGGCUAAUGUCAUAUGCUUGGGAAAGAUCUAUAUUCAUAUGUCAACUUGGANNNNNNNNNNNNNNNNNNNNNNNNNNNNNNNNNNNNNNNNNNNNNNNNNNNNNNNNNNNNNNNNNNNNNNNNNNNNNNNNNNNNNNNNNNNNNNNNNNNNGAUGUUGUGAUAAAUUGCAAUUGCAUCAAUGACUAAAGGCUAUCGGUUGUUAUUUCUCGGUAAGGUUCUUGAUCCAUAGUUUACUUUGUGAAGGAAUUUUCACUUUAGCAUAAGAGAUUAUAUGUUGGUAUUGCUAUUCUGAUCAUGAUCAUGAUGCAUGUAUGUUCGUAUCUUGUUUUGUCGACAUCUCUCUCCCUAAACAUGUGGGCAUAUUUAUUGAGCUCGGCUUUCGCUUGAGGACAAGCGAGGUCUAAGCUUGGGGGAGUUGAUACGUCCAUUUUGCAUCAUGCUUUCAUGUUGGUAUUUAUUGCUUUUUGGGCUGUUAUUUCACUUCACGGUACAAUACUUCUGCCUUUUCUAUCUUAUUUUGCAAGGUUUACAUGAAGAGGGAGAAUGCCGGCAGCUGGAAUUCUGGCCUGAAAAAGGAGAAAGUUUGAGAUGCCUAUUCUGCACAACUCCAAAAGCCGUGAAAAUCAACGUGGAUUUUUUUUGGAAUAUAUAAAAAAUACUGGGCCGAAGAAGUGCCAGAGGAGCGCAACCAGGGGGCCACAAGCCUGGUAGGCGCGGCCACCCCCCCUGGCCGCGCCUAGGGGGCUAGUGGGCUCCCUGCUGGCCCACUGGCUCCCCUCUUCUGCUAUAUGAAGGGUUUCGUUCUGAAAAAAAUCAGGAGGAGGCUUUUCGGAGGAUUCGCCGCCGCCACGAGGCGGAACUUGAGCAGAACCAAUCUAGAGCUCCGACAGGACGAUCCUGCCGGGGAAACUUCCCUCCCUGAGAGGGAAAUCAUCGCCAUCGUCAUCACCAACACUCCUCUCAUCGGAGGGGCUCAUCACGAUCAACAUCUUCCUCAUCACCAUCUCAUCUCCAAACCCUAGUUCAUCACUUGUAACCAAUCUCCGUCUCGUGACUCCGAUUGGUACUUGUAAGGUUGCUAGUAGUGUUAAUUACUCUUUGUAGUUGAUGCUAGUUGGAUUACUUGGUGCAAGAGUUUAUGUUCAGAUCUUUGAUGCUACUCAUUACCUCUCUGGUCAUGAAUAUGUUUAUGCUUUGUGAGUAGUUACUUUUGUUCCUGAGGACAUGGGAUAAGUUGUGUUUUAAGUAGUCAUGUGAAUUUGGUAUUCGUUCGAUAUUUUGAUGUGUUGUAUGUUGUUUUUCCUCUAGUGGUGUUAUGUGAACGUCGACUACAUAACACUUCACCAUUAUUCGGGCCUAGAGGAAGGCAUUGGGAAGUAGUAAGUAGAUGAUGGGUUGCUAGAGUGACAGAAGCUUAAACCCUAGUUUAUGCGUUGCUUCGUAAGGUGCUGAUUUGGAUCCACUAGUUUAAUGCUAUGGUUAGACUUUGUCUUAAUUCUUCUUUCGUAGUUGCGGAUGCUUGCGAGAGGGGUUAAUCAUAAGUGGGAUGCUUGUCCAAGUAAGGGCAGUACCCAAGCGCCGGUCCACCCACAUAUCAAACUAUCAAAGUAAAGAACGCGAAUCAUAUGAACAUGAUGAAUACUAGCAUGACAGAAAUUCCUGUGUGUCCUCGGGAGCGUUUUUCCUCCUAUAAGACUUUGUACAGGCUUGUCCCUUGCUACAAAAUGGAUUGGGCCACUUUGCUGCACCGUUGUUACUUUUGUUACUUGCUACUCGCUACGAAUCAUCUCACCACACAACUACUUGUUACCAAUAAUUUCAGUGCUUGCAGAUAUUACCUUGCUGAAUACCACUUGCCAGAUCCUUCUGCUCCUCGUUGGGUUCCACACUCUUACUUAUGGAAAGAACUACGAUAGAUCCCCUAUACUUGUGGGUCAUCACAUAUCAAGCAUCCCCAAGCUUAACUCGUCCUCGAGUAGGGAAGUGAUAAAGACUGAAUUUUUUAUGUGGAAUGCUACCUAUCAUAUUUUUAUUUGUAACUUCUUUCUUGUGGCAUGAAUGUUCAGAUCCGUAAGAUUCAAAACAAUAGUUUACUAUUGACAUGAAAACAAUAAUACUUCAACCAUACUAGCAAAGUAAUCGUGAACUUUUGAAAUAACAAGGCCAAAGAAAGUUAUCCCUACAAAAUAAUAUAGUCUGGCUAUGCUCCAUCAUCCCCACACAACGAAUUUAAAUCAUGCACAACCCCGGUAUUGGCCAAGUUAUUGUUUUCGCACUCUUACUUUCUCAAACCUUUUCAACUCUCACGCAAUACAUGAGCGUGAGCCAUGGAUAUAGCACUAUAGGUGGAAUAGAGUGCGGUGGAGGUUGUGAGGCAAAAAGGAGAAGAUGGUCACAUCGACUCGGCGUAUCAAUGGGCAAUGGAGAUGCCCAUCAAUAUAUAUCAAUGUGAAUGAGUAGGGAUUGCCAUGCAACGGAAAGCUCAAAAAGAAAACUAGUGGGUGUGCACCCAACUUGCUUGCUCACAAGACCUAGGGCAAUUUUGAGGAAGCCCAUCAUUGGAAUAUACAAGCCAAGUUAUAUAAUGAAAAUUCCCACUAGUAUAUGGAAGUGACAAAACAAGAGACUCUGUAUCAUGAAGAACAUGGUGCUAUUUUGAAGCACAAGUGUGGAAAAAGAUAGUAGCAUUGCCCCUUCUCUCUUUUUCUCUCAUUUUUUUUGUUUGGGCUCUUUGGCCUUUUUUUAUUUCCUCACAUGGGACAAUGCUCUAAUAAUGAUGAUCAUCACACUUUUAUUUACUUACAACUCAAUCUUAGAACAAUGAUGACUCUAUAUGAAAUGCCUCCGGUAGUGUACCGGGAUGUGCAACGAUCUAGCUUAGCGUAUGACGUUGAAAAAUCUCGCUAGCUAUCUUACAAUCAUGCAAUGGCAAUAUGAAAGUGACGGCACAUGUCAUGGGAUGGAACGGUGGAAGUUGCAUGGCAAUAUAUCUCGGAAUGGCUAUUAAAAUGCCAUAAUAGGUAGGUAUGGUGGUUGUUUUGAGGAAGGUAUAUGGUGGGUUUGUGUACCAGCGAAAGUUGUGCGGCACUAGAGAGGCUAGAAAUGCUGGAAGGGUGAGAGUGCGUAUAAUCCAUGGACUCACAUUAGUCAUGAAGAACUCAUAUACUUAUUGCAAAAGUUUUAUUAGUAAUCAAAACAAAGUGCUAAACACAUACUCCUAGGGGAAGGGUUGGUAGGUGUUAACCAUCGCGCGAUCCCGACCGCCACACAAAGGAUGACAAUCAAUAAAUCAAUUAUGCUCCGACUUCCUAACAUAGCGGUUCACCAUACGUGCAUGCUACUGAUACGUCUCAAACGUAUCUAUAAUUUUUGAUGGUUUCACGCUGUUAUCUUGCCUUCUUUGUGUGUUUUAUGUAUCUUUUUAUAUCUUUUUGGGACUAACUUAUUAAUUCAGUUCCAAGUGCCAGUUCCUGUUUUUCCGUGUUAUUUGACUCUUUUCAGAUCGGAUUUUGGAACGGAGUCCAAACGGAAGAAAAACCCCGAAAUGAUUUUUUCCUGAACGGAAGAAUUCCAGGGGGCUUUUGGGCCAAGCCAGGUGGGCUCGAGGGAGCCCACAAGCCCCCACUCCACCACCAGGGGAGGCGGCGGUGGGCAGGCUUGUGGCCUCCCUGGUCGCCCCUGACCUAGGUCUUUGGCCUAUAAAUUCCCAAAUAUUCCGCAAAAAAUUAGGGGAGCCUCGAAGAUACUUCUUCGCCACCGCAAGCUUCCGUUUCUGCGAGAUCCCAUCUGGAGACCCUUCCCGGCACCCUGUCGGAGGGGACUUUGGAGUUGGAGGGCUUCUUCUUCAUCAUCAUCGCCCCUCCAAUGACUCGUUAGUAGUUCACUUCAGACCUACGGGUCCGUAGUUAGUAGCUAGAUGGUUUCUUCUCUCUCUUGGAUCUUCAAUACAAAGUUCUCCAUGAUCUUCAUGGAGAUCUAUCCGAUGUAAUCUUCUUUGGCGGUGUGUUUGUCGAGAUCCAAUGAAUUGUGGACUUGUGAUCAGAUUAUCUAUGAUAUAUAUUUGAGUCUUUGCUGAUUUCUUAUAUGCAUGAUUUGAUAUCCUUGUAAGUCUCUCCGAGUCUUGGGUUUUGUUUGGCCAACUAGAUCUAUGAUUCUUGCAAUGGGAGAAGUGCUUGGUUUUGGGUUCUGCCAUGUGGUGACCUUUCCCAGUGACAGUAGGGGCAGCAAGGCACACAUCAAGCAAUUGCCAUCAAGGGUAAAAAGAUGGGGUUUUUAUCAUUGGUUUGAGAUUAUCCCUCUACAUCAUGUCAUCUUGCUUAAGGCGUUACUCUGUUCUUAUGAACUUAAUACACUAGAUGCAUGUUGGAUAGCGGUCGACGUGUGGAGUAAUAGUAGUAGAUGCAGAAAGUAUCGGUCUACUUGUUUCGGACGUGAUGCCUAUAGAAAUAAUAAUUGCAUNNNNNNNNNNNNNNNNNNNNNNNNNNNNNNNNNNNNNNNNNNNNNNNNNNNNNNNNNNNNNNNNNNNNNNNNNNNNNNNNNNNNNNNNNNNNNNNNNNNNGAUCUCCAUGAAGAUCAUGGAGAACUUUGUAUUGAAGAUCCAAGAGAGAGAAGAAGCCAUCUAGCUACUAGCUAUGGACCCGUAGGUCUAUGAUGAACUACUCACGCAUCAUCAGAGAGGUCAUGGUGUUGAUGAAGAAGCCCUCCGUAUCCAAAUCCCGCCUCCGGCAGGGCACCAGAACGUGCCCCAGAUGGGAUCUUGCGGAUACACAAGCUUGCGGCGGCGGAAAAGUAUUUUCGUGGAUCUCCUGAUUUUUUCUGGGAUUUUAGGGAAUAUAUAGGCGAAAUACCUAGGGUAGGGGAGGCCCAGGGAGCCCACAAGCCUGGGAGGCGCGGCCCCCCUGGCCGCACCAUGAGGGCUUGUGGGGUCCCUGGUGACCCUCUGCCUUGGUUCUCAAGUCUCCCGAUCGUAUUUUGUUUCGGAAAAAAUCUUUUCGGAAGUUUGAUUUCGUUUGGACUCCGUUCAAAAUUCUCCUCUGAAAAGGGUCAAAAACACGGAAAAAAUAGGAACUGGCACUUGACACUGAGUUAAUAAGUUAGUCCCCAAAAAGAUAUAAAAGGCAUACAAAACAUCCAAAGUUUGACAAGAUAAUAGCAUGAAACCAUCAAAAAUUAUAGAUACGUUGGAGACGUAUCACUCGGCAUGCCAGCUCUUACACCGACUGUUAUGAUCGGUUGAAUGAAGUUGGUGCCUACUAUGAGAAUAAUUAGCCUGUUGGACCACCGCAGUUUUGAGUAUCUUGAUGGCAUUCCUAGCCUCAAUGUUUGCUGGACUAUUUCCCCUGAUCAGGAUUGCAGCAAGAUUUUGAGUCACCGCAAGCAUGUUAUCAACCAUGUUGGAGUAAUGAAACGGUGGAGUAUGGAAAUGUCGACGUGAUUGCUGAGCCGGGGUAUGUUGAUAGAUCGGCCUGUUUGUGCCUGGAGGCACUGCUCGCAUUAAUUUAGGUAUGACAGGGGUCUCUCCAGGCAUGCCGGCUCCUGCUCCUCGAAUAGUCGUGUCAAGCUGAAUUUCAAACAAACGAGUCGGCUCAAAGGUUGACGACAACCGACUCUGGUGCCUUCUUGUGUGAACCAGGGAGUUCUCGUUUUGGCGAAAACCUAAGUGGACUGCUUUUGACAGUAAGCGCUCUGACUCUUUGUGGAUGUUGACCUGCAUAUUUACCAUACGAGUGUUCUUUGUGUUGAUCUCCUCCUGGAUUAUGGCCAUCUGCUCCUGAAGUUUCUUAACCUCAGCGCUGCGCUCUGUCAUGUUCUCCUCGAUAAUGGGUGAUACUAGAAGGGUGCUCAAUGUAGUUGCGAGUUCUAACAGAGUUUGAGUCGAAGGUUUACUUGAGCUGGCUCCGUCUAGAGCUGCGGUCUCGCCUUCGGUCCUCGUACCAACGACAACGAAAUUUUGAAUCAUCGAUGUCCCUAGCGUGUGCUUUCCUACCAUAAAAACGGUUGCGCGAUGUGACGGCUCAAAAACCUCUGUGGUGGUCUCCACGUCAGUAUAGCACUUGGGUCGGUCGUCAAAAAGUGGAAGGAUUGACUCGGUAUCGCCGAUUGAUGUCUUUCCAUCAUAGUAGGCAAGGGUGUCACCGCCAGACACAUAAUUUCCUGAUAGAUCGACUCCCUGAGUGAAUCCAACAAAGACUUGGUUCCACGCGGCUUGUGACGAUCUAGGUUGAGAGCAUUGAGUCGGCUCGACGAUGUCGGUGAAGGUGUCCGGCUUGAGCUCAGAUUUGCUGAUUUUGCCAAUGAUGAGGUGCUUCCGGGCGGCUUGUGUCGGGUCGGGUUGAGAGCGUCGAGCCGACUUGAUGAUGCCGGUGAAGUUGUCCGACUCGAGCCCCGAUUAGACGAUCUUGCCGAUAAAGAUGUGGAUUUAAAUUACUGUAAAUCCAUACCUAGAUGGAAAUUCAUGAAACUUGGAAUGGUGUCAUGACAUGGCCCAUAAAGGCGUUGUAUGAUUUUGUUUUCCAUUUUGAGACAUGUUUUCCAAUUUAUUUCACCUGGGCCAAACAUUGAGCAUAUUGGUUUAAAUUAUAGUAACCACAAAAGUCAAACAAAAAUCAUGAAAUUGGGCAGGGCAUCAUGAUAUAGCACAAAUAUGUUGUGGUAUUUUUUGUGUCCACUUUGAGUGAAGGUGCAAACGUUAAUAGCCAACUGAUACGUCUCCAACGUAUCUAUAAAUUUUGAUGGUUCCAUGCUAUAAUAUUAUCAUUCUAGGAUGCUUUUUGGGUGUAUAUAUACCAAUUACUAUUAUGUUUGUGCACUAACCAAUUAACCCAGUGUCAAGUGCCAGUUGUUAUUUUCUGCAUGUUUUUGGCUUUUUAGAUUUAUAGUACCAAACGAAGUCCAAUUGCCCGGGAACUUUUUUAUGAUUUUUCUAGACCAAAAGAAGACAUGAAAGCACGUGAUGAGACCGGAGGCUGCACGAGGGACGCAUCACACAUCAGGGUGCACCAAGGGGGUGGUUGCAUCCUAUUGUGUAUUGGCCCCCUCGACCGUUUCGUGGCAUACCUCUUCAUCCUAUAAAUUCUCAAACACCCCAAAAACCCUAGGGAGCAACCCGAAACACUUUUUUCGCCAUGGCAAGUCUUUGUUCCAUCAUGAGGCCAUCUAGAGCCCUUUUCCAGUGCCCUGUCAGAGGAGGGAUCGAUCAUGGAGGACCUCUACAUCAACCUUGAUGCUCCCAUGGUGAUGUGUGAGUAGUUUACCACAGACCUACGGGUCCGUAACUAGUACAUAGAUGGUUAUCUCUCUCUCUCUCUUGAUCUUCAAUAAAAUGAUCAUCACAUCUUCACUUUGAUCAAUCUAAUGUACUCCUAUUGUGCGAUGCAUUUUUUGGGAUCCGAUGAAUUGUGGGUUUAUGUUCAGAUUAUUCAUGAUAAAGAUUUGAGUCUUCUCCGACUUCUAAUUAUGGUUCCUAUUUGUAUGAUUAUCAUAGAUUCGUAAAUCUCUCUCAUCUAUUGAAAUAGUCUGGCCAACUGGACUGAUAUUUCUUCGGUGAGAGGGGUGCGUUGUAGUGGGUUCAAUGUGAUGGGUUUCUAUAUCCCAGUGAUAGAAGACGCAAGAUAUGUCAUUGUAUUGUUACCACGAAGGAUAAAACAAUUGGGUUUAUUCAUAUUGACUGAGUUCUCUUUGUCUACAUCAUGUCAUCAUUCCCCAACCAUUACUCUGUUUUCCAUGAACUUAAUUCGUAGAGAUACAAGCAUAGAAGCGCUCUUGAAGUGGAGUAAUAGUAAUAGGUGCAUGCGGAAUUCGGCCUAUUUUCUUACGGACGUGUGUUGGGGAACGUUGCAUGGGAAACAAAAAAUUUCCUACGCACACGAAGACCUAUCACGGUGAUGUCCAUCUACGAGAGGAGAUUUGGAUCUACGUACCCUUGUAGAUCGUACAGCAGGAAGCGUUAAGAAACGCGGUUGAUGUAGUGGAACGUCCUCACGUCCCUCGAUCCGCCCCGCGAACCGUCCCACGAACCGUCCUGCGAUCCGUCCCACGAUCCGCUCCGAUCUAGUGCCGAACGGACGGCACCUCCGCGUUCAGCACACGUACAGCUCGACGAUGAUCUCGGCCUUCUUGAUCCAGCAAGCAAGAUGGAGAAGUAGAUGAGUUCUCCAGCAGCGUGACAGCGCUCCGGUGGUGGUGAAGGAUCUACUCCUGCAGGGCUCCGCCCAAGAUCCGCAGAAAUACGAUCUAGAGGUAAACUAUGGUGUCUAGAUCUGAGUUGCACGUGGCAAAGUUGUCUCAAAUCAGCCCUAAAUCACCAGUAUAUAUAGGAGGGAGGGGGAGGGGCUUGCCUUGAGGGACAAGCCCCCAAGGUGCACCGGCAAAGAGGAGGAGAAGGACUCCUACUCCAAUCCUACUCAAAAUAGGAUUGGAAAGUGGAGUCCUUCCCUUCCUUCCCACCUUUUUUUCUUUCUUUGGUUUUCUCUCUAUGACACAUAGGCCUUAUUGGGUUGUCCCACCAGCCCAUUAAGGGCUGGUGCGCCACCCGUAAGUGCUUUGGGCUUCCCCUGGGAGGGUUGCUCCCCUCCCGGUGAACUUCCAGAACCCAUUCGUCACUCCCGAUACAUUCCCGGUAAUGCCCGAAAACUUUCCGGUAACCAAAUGAAGUCAUCCUAUAUAUUAAUCUUUGUCUCUGGACCAUUAUGGAAACCCUCGUGACGUCUGUGAUCUCAUCCGGCACUCCGAACAACAUUUGGUAACCACGCAUAUAACUUAACUAUACUAAAACAUCGUUGAACCUUAAGUGUGCAGACCCUAUGGGUUCGAGAACUAUGUAGACAUGCCCCAAGGUACUCCUCGGUCAAUAUCCAAUAGCGGUACCUGGAUGCCCAUAUUGGAUCCUACAUAUUCUCCGAAGAUCUUAUCGGUUGAACCUCAGUGUCAAGGAUUCAUAUAAUCCCGUAUGUGAUUCCAUUUGUCCUUCGGUAUAUUACUUGCCCAAGAUUCGAUCGUAGGUAUCCGCAUACCUACUUCAAUCUCAUUACCGGCAAGUCUCUUUACUCGUUCUGUAAUACAAGAUCCCGUGACUUACACUUAGUCACAUUGCUUCCAAGGCUUGUGUGUGAUGUUGUAUUACCGAGUGGGCCCCGAGAUACCUCUUCGUCACACGGAGUGACAAAUCCCAGUCUUGAUCCAUACUAACUCAACGGACACCUUCGGAGAUACCUGUAGAGCACCUUUAUCGUCACCCAGUUACGUUGUGACGUUUGAUACACACAAGGUAUUCCUCUGGUGCGAGUGAGUUUAUAUGAUCUCAUGGUCAUAGGAACAAAUACUUGACACGCAGAAAACUAUAGCAAUAAAACGACACGAUCAAUAUGCUACAUUCAUAGUUUGGGUCUAGUCCAUCACAUGAUUCUCCUAAUGAUGUGGUCCAGUUAUCAAGCAACAACACUUUGCACAUAGUCAGAAAACCUUGACUAUCCUUGAUCAACUGGCUAGCCAACUAGAGGCUUGCUAGGGACAUUGUUGUGUCUAUGUAUCCACACAUGUAUCUAUGUUUUCAUUCAAUACAAUUAUAGCAUGGAUAAUAAACGAUUAUAUUUAAACAUGAAAUAUAAUAAUAACUAUUUACCAUUGCCUCUAGGGCAUAUUUCCAACAAUGUGAUGCCUAUAUACAUAUGAUCAUUGAUACGUCUCCAACAUAUCAAUAAUUUAUGAACUAUUCAUGUCAAUAUUCUACAACUUCCAUAUACUUUUGGCAACAUUUUAUAUUAUUUUUUGGGAAUAACUUACUUACCGAAUGUCCUUUGCCAUUUUUAUUUUUUGUGUGUUUUUGUUUCACGGAAAUUCCAUAUCAAACGGAGUCCAAAUGUGAUAGAAAUUUAGGGAGAUUUUUUUAUAAUAUAUGUCAAUUUUGGGAAAAAGAAUCAAUGCCACAUGAUGCCCGAGGCUCUCACACGACAACAGGGCAUGGCCAGGGGGGUGGUCACACCCUGAUGCCUUGUGGCUCCCCCUUAAGUCGGUUGGGGCCCUAAUUUCACCGCAAGAAAGAUAUUUCCCUGAUAAAAAACCCUCAAAAUUUUAGCCUGAUCGGAGUUAUGGAGCUCCGGAUAUUUAAGAAACAGUGAAGGGCCAGAAAACAGGAGAGAAACUAAGAGAGAGAGAUCCAAUCUCGGAGGGGGUGUUGCCCCUCCGGGAGCCAUGGUGGCCAAGGACUAGAGGAGUGAACCUCUCCCCAUCUAGGGAGAGGUCAUGGAGGAGGAAGCCUAAUGGGGGACACUCUCUCCCCCUCUCUUCCGGUGGCGCCGGAGUGCCGCCGGGAGAACCAUCGGCGCAGUGAUCGUCAUCAUCAACAUCACCGUCUCCAUCACCUUCCCUAGUCUAUCUAUGGCGGUCCACUCUCCCGCACCUUUCUGUAAUCCCCUACUUGAACAUGGUGUUUCAUGCCACAUAUUAUUAAUCAAUGAUGUGUUGCCAUGUUAUCAUGUUUUAGUAGAUUUAUGUUGUCCUUUGGGUUGAUUAAUUUGAGUGUAUGUUUUAUUUUGGUGUUGUCCUAUGGUGCCCUUCGUGUCAUGCACACGUGAGGGAGUUCUUACUGUAUGGUUCGCAAUAUGUUCAUGAUUUUAUUGUAGUGGGUGGCUAGAGUGACAGAAGCUUACACCCGAGUAAGGGAGUUGUUUGCAUAUGGGAGUAAAGGUGACUUGAUGUUUAAUGUUAUGGUUUGGUUUACCUUAAUGAUUUCUAGUAGUUGUGGAUGCUUGCUAGAGAUCCAAUCAUAAUUUCAUAUGAUCCAAGUACGGAAAGUAUGUUAGCUCAUGCGUCUCCCUCAUAUAAAAUUGCAAGAAUGGUUACCGAUCUUGUUAUAAAUUGCCUAGGAUGAUUCCGCACACCAUACCAUCAUUAUUCCACACUCGCUAUUUGUAAUAUAUUGUGAUAUAUUCUAACUUUAUUUAGCAAGAUACUAUUUUCAUAUUUUAGUUCUACAAUAUCAUGCAAACAUAUCCUCUCUAUGCCCACAACGCGGAUUUAUUUCUCGUUACAAGAUAGAAGCAAAUGUUUGGUGUAUGUAGAGUCGUAUCGGUAGCAGAUAGGACUUGAGAGAAUAUUGAUCUUACCUUUAGCUCCUUGUGGGUUCAACACUUCAUACUUACCACUUCCAUAUUUGUAAAUUGCUACGAUGAUUCAUUCCACUUGGGGAUUCUCAAGCUCUAUAAGGCUUGCCCAACUGAUCCCUUUGCCCUCCCACGUAUUGACCAGAUCAUUGACGCAACGGCGGGUUACGAGAGUCUGUGCUUCCUGGAUGCUUAUUCUUGUUAACAUCAGAUAAAGAUGCUGGUUGAAGACGAGGAAAAAGAAACUUUUAUCACGCCCUUUGGAGCUUUCAGUUAUGUAUCUAUGCCUUUUGGGCUCAAGAGUGCUCAGGUGACUUACCAGCAUCGUGUUCAGAAUUGCCUUCAUGGACAGAUUGGGCGCAAUGUUCAUGCUUAUGUUGAUGAAAUUGUGGUAAAAUCAAGGAAGAAGGAAACCUUGCUUGAAUAUUUGAAGGAAACCUCUGACAAUCUCCGGGUGUACAAGAUGAUGCUUAACCCGACCAAGUGCGUCUUCGGGCUAUGUGCAGGAAAACUACUAUGUUUCCUGGUUUCAAAGAGAGAUAUUGAAACUAACCCGAAGAAAAUUGUGGCCGUCACUUCCUUAUCUAAGCCGGCAUGUAUCAAUGACGUGCAACGCCUGGCAGGUCACAUUGCGGCCCUGAGCCGGUUCAUAAGUUGCGUGGGUGAAAAGGCGAUUUCUCUAUACCAAAUGAUGAAAAAGAGUGAUCAUUUUGUCUGGAGUGAUGCUGUUAAUGAGGCUUUUGAAGCACCUAAGAGCAGUUGGUUGAGUCGCCCGUCUUGGUGGCUCCGAUCGACAAAGAGCAUAUGUUCCUAUAUGUGGCGACUAAUAAUCGGGCCAUCGACGUGGCAGUUGUCGUGGAAUGCAAGGAGGCAGGGAAGGAGUGCCCAGUCCAACAGCCGGUUUAUUAUGUCAGCGAAGUCUUAUUAGAGUCCAAGCAAAGAUAUCCACAUUGGCAGAAAUUGGUGUUUGGAGUGUUCAUGGCUAGUCGCAAGUUAAAACAAUACUUCCUUGGGGAUCCAAUCACUGUUGUCAGUUCGGCUCCUCUCGGAGAUAUCAUCCAAAAGAGAGAAGCUAUAGGCCGGGUUGCUAAGUGGGCAACUGAGCUUGGGCCUCAUCAUUUGAAAUACGUGCCCAGGACUGCUAUCAAGUAUCAAGCCUUGGUAGAUUUCAUCAAUUACUAGACAGAGUUACAAACACCCGAGGAAAAACCACAUAAUACAUACUAGACGAUACACUGACGGAUCUAGACAAUUGGAAGGCUCGGGGGUUGGAGUUAUUUUAUCUUCCCCACAAGGUGACAAGUUUUGUUAUGUCCUCCGUCUUAUGCUUCCAUGUACUAACAUGUAGAUGAGUAUGAGGCUUUAUUACAUGGGAUCCACAUGGCUAAGGAAAUGAACUUAAGCAAACUCAGAUGCUUGGGCGACUCAGAUCUUGUGGCACAACAAGUUUCAAGGAAGCGGGACUCUAAAGACCGGCUCAUGGCGGCUUAUCUUCAGGCGGUGACUAACAUUGUGUUAGAGCAUAUAUCUCCAUAUGUGGUUUUGGUAAUUGAUGGCAAUUCCUAUGGACUAAUGGUUGCCUUAAGUUAUAUUUAUAGGAUUUGUCCAUAGGCACUUCUUGAAGUCCAUCUGUUGGGUUCAAGGAGUUUAUAUGAUGACCAAGAUGGUAUUCAAGGUAUUAUCCAAAGAAUGGUCAUAGAGACACAAGGUUGAUCAAGAUCUCAUACAAAGAGUAAAUCAAGAUGAUCAACACACAAAGCGUACAAGAUGUACCGAGAGGGAUCAAGUGAUCCCAUGGUAUGGUAAGCAUUGUCCAUUACGUGUUUGUGUACUAACCCAUGGUCUUCGUGAGAGUUCUAUGUGGGGGUUAGGUGUGUUUCCAUGGGCUUGCGUUAAAAGGAAGAUCUCAUACAACCCAUGAAGGAUGACGUCAAGUGGUGAUCGUCAUCAAGAUUGCGGUGUGCAAGUUCAAGUGGAUCGGCACGAAUAUAUCAUGCUUGAAGCUUGUCGUCCAUUGUGGUGGCAAUGGACUUGUGAAGAUAUGCUGAAGAGUGGCUCACCCAUAGUGAGUAUGGGGGAGCAAUCAACUAGUCUUCAUCAAGCCAACACAAUCAAGAAAGUUGGUCCAUCUUGAGGAAGCAAAGAUCAUCAUCAUCUAGCUCAAGAGGUCGAGGUACAAGGUAUAGGUUUGCCCUUGAUAGGUUUUCUGUUUUAGGAUAGAUUGUUGUACUAUCAAGGGGGGCUCUCAAGUGAGUAGCUUGAUCGUAUCGUUCAUUGAGAGCUCAAACCAUUUGCAUCCUUGCGUCAUACUUCUUGGUUCUUAUUUGGUGUUUCUCUUUGUGAUUUUUAGAGCUUAUGGUCAUCUUCAUGACAAGCUCGAGUUCAUCGAAAACGGAGUCCAUAUGCAUCUACUAUGAUGUUUUCGAUGUUGGAGUUUUUGCCGGUUCUUCAUUCAUAGAGGUCUCACAUCUCUAUAUCAUUGGCAUUUUCAUAUCUGCAAGUUUGGAUAGCUCUUGUCGUCCUGAAUCCAACAAGCUUGGGUUUGCUCGAUUCGGAGCUCGUAUGCGAAAGUUAUGGUUGUUUCAGUGGCGAGCGGUAGUACUGCUGGACCUAGCGGUAGUACCGAUGGCCCUAGCGGUAGUACUGCUAGAGCUGGCAGUAGUACCGCUGUCCUAGCGGUAGUACCGCCCCUGGUCAGCGAUAGUACCGCUCCAAGACUUUAGUACCGUCAUCCUUGCGGUUGUACUACGUCGGAAUUUUUGCGAAGACGUUCUUGGCGGUGGUUGGCCCGGUAGUAUCUUUGCGCUACCAUGGGCUCAGCGGUAGUACCGCUGCAGCCAGCGGUAGUACCGCUGCAGGGUCAGCGGUAGUACCGCUGGGCUCGGGCUGUAAGUGGGGGUAACGGUCUGAUUCCUUCCCCCACUAUAUAAAGGGGGUCUUCUUCCCCCUUGGCCUUAUCCAUAUCUUUAGCUCAUGUUCUUCCCCCAUUGUUGACCUUCUUCGAGCUUGCUAACUCUCAAUCCCUCCAAUGAUUCUUGCUAGUUCUUGAGGGAAAAGAAAGAGGAGAUCUAGAUCCACAUUUCCACCAAUCACUUUCUCCUCUAACUGAGGGGAACCCCUUGAGUCUAGAUCUUGGAGUUCUUCGUGUUCUUCUUCGUUCUUCCUCUCAUUUUCCUCCCUAGCAUUAGUUGCUUUGGUGGGAUUUGGGAGAGAAGGACUUGGGCACUCCGUGUGCCCUUGCCAUUGCAUUAGUUGCAUCGGUUUGAGUUCUCCACGGUGAUACGUGGAAGUGAAGUUUGAGAAGCUUAUUACCUUUGGUACUUAGUACCCUAGAUAUUGUUCUUCGUGGAUGCUUUGGAGUCCUAGAAGCUUGGUGGUGUCUCGAAGCUCAAUCAUUGUGGUGUAAAGCUCCGGGCAAGUGUCGGGGUCUCCAAUUAGGUUGUGGAGAUUGCCCUGAGCAAUUUGUACGGGUACCGGUGACCGCCCCCAAGGUUUUCCAUUUGUACGGGUUCGGUGACCGCCCUCAAGGGUCCCUUGGUGGAAUCACGGCAUCUUGCAUUGUGCGAGGGCGUGAGGAGAUUACGGUGGCCUUAGUGGCUCUUGGGGAGCAUUGUGCCUCCACACCGCUCCAACAGAGAUUAGCAUCGGAAAGGGUGUGAACUUCAGGAUACAUCAUUGUCUCCGCGUGCCUCGGUUAUCUCUUUCCUGAACCCUUUACUUAUGCACUUUACUUUGUGAUAGCCAUAUUGUUUAUUCUCAUAUAUCUUGCUAUCACUUAGUUGUUUAUCUUGCUUAGCAUAAGUUGUUGGUGCACAUAGGUGAGCCUAGUUGUUGCAAGUUUUGUGCUUGACAAAUUAAACGUUAGUUUUAUUCCGCAUUUGUUCAAGCCUAAACCGUAAUUAUUUUAAAGCGCCUAUUCACCCCCCUCUAGGAGACAUCCACAUCCUUUCACAUUGCUACUCACUUAAAAGGAUAUCAAGUGGAUCAUAUAGACCGAUGUCUUAAUGAGGCGCCAGAUGCUUUAUCGCGGUUAGGUUCUCAGCGUAAUCCGGUCCCCCCCCCCAAUGUGUACCAUUUCAACAGCUCAUCCAUCACUCCCGAGGCAUAUCACGUGUCACCACUCGACGGCCAUGGGCACACAAGGUUCUCCACGUUAGCGGACUUCAGCAUGGUUGCUCUGGGCAUGCCCUCGGGCAUCAUCGACCUCAAUGUCAUGUCGGGGUACAGUGGCGCUGGCUAGCCGCCCGACGGGAUGCAAAGGAAGUAGCUCCGGUCGCUCCCUUCGGCAAACAUGGCCCCCACAUGCAGGUUGUUUGACGAAAUGCCACUAUCGACGCCAACUAUCGAUGACCCUGACUAUGCGAUAUUCAUGGAGAACGUCGUCUUCGGGGGCCGUGGUGAGGACUUCCACGUCGAUGGCCAAGGCCAAGCUUUUGAUACCGAUGCAACCCAAAGCCAGGACGGUCGAGGCCGCUAUGAAGACACUCAAUUCGACGACCACUAUGAAGACACUCAAUUCGACAGCCAUGAGGACGACCAUGGAAAUUCUUGGCAUGAAGAUGAUGACUUGUAUUGUGUAGAUGAGAAAGAAGAGGUCGACAUUUUGGCAGAUCCAUUGGUGUUCAUGGACGAGCUCACCCAAAGGGCCGAGGCACAAAAGAAGAGGCAAAGCAUUCACACGUGAUCAUGCACUCAACUAGAGGACACGUUGAUUUGCGAGACUUGGAUGGAGAUAGGCCAAUAUCCUAUGAAAGGUUUUGAGAAAAAAGAUUCGUCUUUUGGAAGAGAGUUCGCAACACCUUUCAUGAGCGAAGGAAGUUUCCCCCCUACCAAUUCGCAAGCACACGACAUCAAUUAAAUCCAAAAGAGAUGGGGAUUCAUCCAACAAGAGUGCGACAAAUAUUGUUCCACGCUUGAGAGCAUUCAAGCCCGUCUCGUGAGUGGCCUAGGCAUUGGUGACUUGGUAUGAACCACUAGUUUUCUCGUCAUGUGUCCAUUCAUGUUGGCAUGCAAUUUAUGUUUUGAUGUACUUUGUGUCCUUCCAUGUUACAAUUGUGGCCGCAUCUUUGGUUGUGUAGGCGUUCCAAUCUUUGGAAGCCUUCAACGCUCGACACAAGAAUAAGUCCUUUACUCUCACGUAUUGUUGGUCGUUCAUCAAAGAUUGCCUCAAGUUCAAAGACCAAUAUGUUGCUCGUAAAAAUAAAGGAGGGAAGGCGGUUGUGGCUGACGAAGGAGGCUUACUCAAGAGGCCGAAGGGGAAUACAAUCUCAAAGGCCGAGGAGAAGUGUGAUGCAGCUUCUAUAGCCUUGCAAGGAACAUUGGAGAACAUGAUGAGCCAAAAGGAAGUGACGUAAUAGUGGAGGAGCAAAGGGAAGGAGGAUAAAAUAAAGAUCUACCUAGAUCUCCAAACGAAGAAGCUUGACAUGGAGGAGGUCGUGAAGAGGAGGAAGCUUGACAUCGAGGAGGCCUCUCAACUCAAGAAGCUCGAGAUCGAGGCCACCAAUGCCGAGAACAAAGCAACAGAGGUGGCACUCGUGUUCACGAGUGUCGACAAGAACAACAUUUCAUGAGAGACGAAGGCUUGGUUCGUGAACCGGCAGAAGGAGAUGUUCGCCCGCGACAACCCGAACUAGGUGAGAUCUUGGUCGCGACCGCCAUCCAUUUAAAAGGUUGGCUGGUGUGCCGGCCGCUCGCCUUGUUGACGGCACCAAAAACCUGUCCAUUUUGAAGGUUGGCUCGUGUGCCGGCCACUGGCUUUGUUGCCGGCCCAAAACUUGUCCAUUUUGAAGGUUGGUUCGUGUGCCCGCACUUGGCUUUGUUGCCAACGUGAAAGUUGGAUGACCAUUCUGUAGGCCGCUAGCUUUGUUGCCGGCCAGCAUGAACUCAUGUGAACACGGUCGCUCGCAUAAACUAUGCCCACAGCCAUUUAGCUACAUCCUUUAUUCUUUUCAUAUUUGUAAGCAGAGCGGACGAGAUGCGACCGAAAUGCAAUCGCGUGUUGGGCGCACGAGUGACGCAUCCACAAAUCCGGACACACAUUCUCCCAAUGCCAUUACAAACAAACAAAAAAUAGAUAAAAUGGAUGUCCGUUUGAGAUCGUGCAUUAGAGUUUCCCUUAGAUAAACUCCAACGCGCUCAUCCAUUUCGUCCGCGUGCGUCCGUUUGGGUCGCGGCGGACAAAAGUGACGGCCCAACGCGCCAACCCAAACCCAAAUCACGUCCGCUUCGCCUCCGCGCGGACCCAUUUUCAGCCCAAAAUUGCACGUGAAAUGCGUCGGUGCAAACGUGAAGCGGACGCGACACGCGCCUUCUCACGUCCAAGCCCAUCCACACGUGGCGCCCGGUCAAAGCCAACGGCAUCUUUAUUAACAACGAUCGCCCGCUGCAGUCCCACGCGUCAGCGACCCACUCGCGUCCUUUUUUAAUCCGAGCGUGAGGGGGGCUCAUCCUCUUCGAGAAGCCACCCCAUCCACAUCUAGCCACUCCUGCUCCCCCGCCGGCGGCAAACCCUAGCCACCACCACCAUGGGGUUCUUCCCCGCGAAGGACAAGGAAAAGUCCCUCGCCGUCCCUGUCUGCGCGUCGGAGUCUUCCCAUCCACCUCACCAGCGGGUCAACGUGCCGGUGCACCAGACGAGGUGGCAUUGGGAGCACCGUGUCCUCCUCCCCUACCCUGAUAUAAUGCUACCGCAUGACUGGCUGACGCUAGAGUAGUGGCGCAGCCCCGUCUACGUUGCAGACUCCCCGAUUGGUACGCUGGUUUGCUGGGAGCACGAUGAGCAACAUCGGCAUGGCGUCUGCGACGUGGCGGCUGGACCACUACCGCCCCUCGUCAUGCGCGAAGAGGACCAGAAGGCGGAGGCGGCGUACCAGAACGCGCUUGCGGCCAUCCUGCGCGCAAUCGAGGAGGGAGCGUGCCUGAAGGAGGAGGAGAAGGCCGCCUACGAGAAGGAGCUGGCGGAGGCCAUUGCGUUCUCCGCUGCCGACGACACACUCGUGCGGCCGUUGGCCCCGUCGUCCCCCUUAGGAGGGUGUACGCCUGGGACGGGGUGGUGCGCGAGUGGGUUAGCGCGCCACCCGUCUGGUUGGGUGCAACGCCGGAGCAGGAGGGGUCUACCUGGAACACUGGCGGCAGCGACGGGUGAGGAAGGAGGGCGAAGAGGCCCGAUGGAUCAAGUUGCUCGACUGCGAGGCUGAAGCCGAGGAGGAGCGUCGCGCUGCCCAGCAAGCGGCGGUGCAACCACCGACGGACGCGGUUGCCGUCGCCUGGGAGACGUCUUCCCUUGGGCUGGCCCGACGCCGACGCUCGUGCCGUCUAAAAAUGGGUCGUUGGUCGCGUUAGACGCAAGCGUCGACCCAAUUACAAAAGCGGAUACAAAUGUCCGUCGGACUAAUUCAAACAGAUAAAUACGAACAAAACACCGUUAGUUUAAAUCGACCUUGAAGUUACUCUUAAAUCCCGGAUGGAAUGAAGAUAUCACGAUCUCUAUAAUCAUUCAACCAUAUAUUGAUUUACGUGAGACACGAAUCUUUGAUUGAGUGAAUCAAGCUAGCAAUGAAGAAUAAAAGGACGAGGAAAGGUCGGCAGAUGGCGUGUAGCCCCGCAUGUCAUUCGCAGUCCAUCUAUCCGCGUCUGGAUAACUUCGUAUCGAAGUCAAGCACUGUUCCUUCAAUUUCUUUAAUCUGAGAGGAGCUCUGUUCUUAUGAUCUUAUCUACUUUCUCACCCUACCGCCUCCCUUCAGUACUCACACAAAACACCCUUAAAAUAAUAUUUUAUCACAUCGCGCACCAUCCCACACUUGCCCAACACGAGAGAAGCCUUACACGGCCCACCCAAGAAAAGCACAGGGCCUUUCUUGCAAAUUGUCCCCCGAUUUUUUCGGACGACGCAAACGAAAGGGAGAGAGAGGAGAGGAGAGGCGAGACGCCACCGAGAGAGGAGAGAGAGCCAUCAGCCAUGGGAGGAGGCGUCAUGCGCACCGCUGCGAAGGUCGGCCUCGCCGGGGGCGCCGCGGCGGCGGCGGGCCGCUUCCGCAACGUCGCCCCGUCCUUCGCCACGGCCCCCGCCGCCGAGGCCGCCGCGGCGGCGCCGCUGCUGUCCGCGGCCGGGGAGGUCCCCGCGGUGGCCCCGGCUGGGUCGCAGUGGGCGUCCUGGGAGGUGGACGACUGGGAAUUCGCGGACUGGAGGUCCGAGUCGGCGACGUCCGAGGCGGACGUGGCGGNNNNNNNNNNNNNNNNNNNNNNNNNNNNNNNNNNNNNNNNNNNNNNNNNNNNNNNNNNNNNNNNNNNNNNNNNNNNNNNNNNNNNNNNNNNNNNNNNNNNNNNNNNNNNNNNNNNNNNNNNNNNNNNNNNNNNNNNNNNNNNNNNNNNUCUUCGCCCCGCCGUCGCGGGAGGAGGCCGAGGAGGCCACCGCCGAGCUUCGGGAAGCUAUUGACAGGUGACUCGGGUGCAUCUCUUCUUGGGAUUUUCCGAAUUGGAGAUCGAUUUGCUCCGGGGCAAUUAUUUUCUUGUGGUUGCUUUGGGCGAUGGUCUGGGAUACUAACAAGCUUUAUGCUCUCUUGGUAAUAUGUCCGUCCUGAUUUGAUGGUAUCAGGUUGGUUUGUGAGAGGCUAAGAAUUCGAUUCGUAUACUGCUUAAAUUUAAGAUCCUAGGCCAUGUGAAUAGGUGUAANNNNNNNNNNNNNNNNNNNNNNNNNNNNNNNNNNNNNNNNNNNNNNNNNNNNNNNNNNNNNNNNNNNNNNNNNNNNNNNNNNNNNNNNNNNNNNNNNNNNNNNNNNNNNNNNNNCAUGUGAAUAGGUGUAAGCGUCCCGCUCAUGUGAAUAGGUGUAAGCGUCCGGCGCGUGGUAGAGCAGCGAUGCCAGCCUUAAGCCAGGGAAAGAAUCCCAAUCUGGCAAAACGGCCGCCAUCUUCUCCCCAAGAAUCUGUAGGUAGCAUCGCUUUGUAGAUGGCCUUAUUUUAUUUCUCAGUCAUACCUCACUGUAUCUACUUCAGUCCUUCCACGAUCAAGAGAAGAAUCUCUUCUAUAGUUAGAGUUUUAAACGUGAGAUUUAUGUUCAUCUUGUAUGUGAUGGGUUCAAUUCCUGGAAACAGCCUAUUGCAGAAAUGCAGGGAAAGGCUGCGCACAGAAGACCCAAAGUGGUCGGACUCUUCUGCGGACCCUUCUGCGGACCCUGCGUAAGUGGGAGCUGCAUGCACCCGGCAGCCCCUUGUAUGUGAUGGGUCAGUUAUGGUGCAGUUGAGGGGAUUGUUCAAUUUUCACUCAAAAAGUAUCAAAUCAAAAUUAGUUUUAUCAGUGUCAAAAAGGAAAUAAAGAUGCCAUGAAAGUUCGAAAGACCGUUGAAGUUUUUAGCAAAAUUAUGGUUCCAUUCUUCACUUAUCACUAAGAACUCAAGACUUCAUGAGUAGUAAAUAAAUGAAGGCGACCCCAGUUUGUUUCCUUUUACAUUACUCCAGUUGACCAAUUCAUGUUGGUUCAUUCAACAUGCUAACCUUGAACAUGCUAUGAUAUCGUCAGUUCGUCACAUCCUUACAACUCUGCUCCUUCAGUUCUCUUGUAUAUUGCAGGAGAAAACCCUCUGUCCAUCUUGUACAAACAUUGUGUUUGUUUAUAUUAAUCUUUUUGCUACCUUCAUGUUUUAGAAUUUUUUGUAUUUGCACAUUGCUUUUUUCUUCAUGUACUCUUAUGUUAUUACUCCCUCCGUCCCGAAAUUCUUGUCUUAGCUUUGUCUAGAAAUGGAUGUAUCAAAAUACUAAAACUUAACUAGAUACAUUCAUAUCUAAACAAAUCUAAGACAAGAAUUUUGGGACGGAGGGAGUAUAUCCGAACAUUCUUUUAAGAAGCCUUACAAAACGAUUGUUUGUAGGGUUUAUUUUCCAGAGACUCCAGUAGAAGCUGUUAAGGAACAUGAUCAAGAGCUUAGCAAGCUUGGAGCCGAUGCAUUAAUUCCUGCUAUGCCAGGACAUGUAGUGCAGGCUUUUACAUUGUUAAAAUCAAGCCCGGAGGCUCAGGUCUGUAACUGCAUUGCUUCAAUCAGUUGUUAUUAUCAUCUAUACUGUAUUCGUAAAAUAUUAGUGAAGUUGCUUUUGAAAAGAGACACUUAAAGUCAAAUUCACACACCUGUUAUCAGUUAUCACUGAGGAUUUGUUGUGUUGGCAUCAUACUGUGGCAGUCAUCAAUCGGUUUAUAGCUUGUUAUCGUUGCUCUAUGAUGUUUCCUUGUUAAUUCUGGUAGGUUGUGUACUUUUAGUUUGUAUAUGUGUGUUGUAGUGUAGUGUUAAUGAUUUCUGUAUGUAAUGGAUUUCCAUUCUUUAGCUGCGUGUUUCCAGAAGCAUGGCACCUUGUCACUGGAUAACUGGUGUCAGGUGAAUUUGUAUGUAGCAUAUAAACAUUUAGUUACAAUGUCAAUGAAAUUAUUUUCAUCUUUUAGUUGCAGAGUUUCCUGAGGCACGGCACCUUGUCAUUAGAUAAUUUAUGUCAAGUGGUUAAUUAUAUUUAGCAUAGCAAGAUUUAGUUGAGCCGAGUCCUUCAGAUAUCCCAUUUCUGUUGCUUAUGUUUUUUCAUCGUGAUCUCCAGAGCGUUGUUGCAUCGCUUGCAUCAGAUAAAAAUGUAUGGGAUGCAGUGUUGAAAAACGAGAGGGUUAUGGAAUUUUACAGGAGUCACCAGCAAAGUAUGUUUCACUUAAUCUCAAAGUUACACCUUGCCUUCAUUGUUUCUUGCGAACUGUACUGCCAUUAUUUUUCUGUUUUGAGGGUAUUGUAUGACAAUUACUAUCUUGUCUUGUGAUACAGCUCUGAUCAAUACUUUCCCUGAGGGCACCGACUCUACUGACUCAGUAGAGUCACCGGAGAAAUUUGAAGAGGCGUCCACAGAAUAUGCACUGCCCACUGCCUCACCUUUCUCGGACUUCGUGGACAAUGCGAAGAAGACGAUGAUAGAGAUGGUUGACAACAUAACCAACUUUUUCCAAGACCUGUUCCACAACCCGGCGGAAGCUGAGGCUGGACCGGGCUCAUCCUCUAAGAAGCAUUCGUUUGCGGAGAUGGCGGCUGGUGGAUCUUUCAUGGCUCUUGCCAUGGCGGUCAUCCUAGUUGUUCUGUUCAAGAGGGCAUGAACGUAUACUGCAAGUUCAAACGCUCUUCGUGCCUAUUGGGCCUUAAAUCUGUCGAAAAUAACUCGUGUUAUGAAGAACUAUGGAUGUAAUGUACAGUGUGUGUCUCCUGCCGUACCGUGUCAGUUAAAACUUCCGAGUGUUGAGACCAGUAUAAUAAGGACAUGUUAUGCUCCUGGUUAGUUGGUAAUGCUGCGCUGAAGCAUGGAUAUUUUGCCUGUGAUUUUCUUCCAAGAAGGGCAUAUGACAUAUAGACUAACUUCUACCAGGACCAAAAACAUUAUCCCCCACAGAGACCAAUGAUCCUCCUGAAGCGAAGUUGACGGGGGGGAUGUCUUAAGAAGAAAAGAUUCCAUAAUUGGUAGCCUUCCAAAUCAAGUAGGCAUGUUUUUUUCUUUCUCAGGAAAAGCUUUCUAUCUAAUUCAUCGUCUUCCAUGGCACACGAACAUCAUAUCCAGGUUCUUGUAGACUACUCCCUUUGUAAAGANNNNNNNNNNNNNNNNNNNNNNNNNNNNNNNNNNNNNNNNNNNNNNNNNNNNNNNNNNNNNNNNNNNNNNNNNNNNNNNNNNNNNNNNNNNNNNNNNNNNNNNNNNNNNNNNNNNNNNNNNNNNNNNNNNNNNNNNNNNNNNNNNNNNNNNNNNNNNNNNNNNNNNNNNNNNNNNNNNNNNUCUUUACAAAGGGAGUACCUGCCAAUGACUACAAGCUGAAGGCAAGCCGCCCUCAUCGUCCUUCACAGGACCAACGCAUUAAAACAACAAUCAUCGUCGAUGAAAAGAAGCAUGGAUAAAAAUACUAAUCUGUAAACACACGAACAAAGACUAGAUUCACAGAAAUCCAUCUCAAAAACAACAACAACCGAAUCCUACAAGAUCUGCAUGAAACACGCUCUCCAAUGACAUUAGACCCAAACGGUGGCCACAAAGUUGUUAGGGUGUGUUUGGUUGCAUUCCCUACCUAGCAUGGUUGUUCCCACCUAAGACAUGGUCAGUGUAAACAUGUUGAGUAGAUGCACUUGUUGUUGUUUGGUAGUAAGUAUGUGUUGAUACAUUCUGAGGUGAGACUUUGUUUGGUAGGCUGCACCUGAACAUACAUGUUGGACUGAGACCGUGUUUGGUACCUUUGUAUGGUCGUCCUCCCCACUCUGCCCCGGCCCCUCACCUCUAUCGACCUUCCUCCCGAUCCCCUCUGCUCGCACCUCCUCCACCCAUGGCGCCGCCCAACCUCCACCAGCCAUGCCCCCACCACCUCCCGCCGGCAGCCUAGAAACCCCGCGCCGCCCGACUCCAACCCACUCCCCCCUGUGCCUCGAUCCAUGGCGAUGGAUCCGGGCGGAUCCAGCCCCUGCUGCGCCCCUAGGCGACGGGAGCGAGCAACACACGUCGUUGACCCGGCGUGCCCUCGUCGGAGAAACCUCCUCCGGCCCCCGUGUUGGAUCUUGUCGCGGGGACGCAGCGGCGCGGCCACUUCUUGCUGGAAUUUUAUUCAAUUGUUUGGGCCAGCCCAAUAUAUAAUUCCUAAUAAAUCCUAGAGGCCCACACAACCCCAUUUGUGCAAGGCAAGAGGUGGAANNNNNNNNNNNNNNNNNNNNNNNNNNNNNNNNNNNNNNNNNNNNNNNNNNNNNNNNNNNNNNNNNNNNNNNNNNNNNNNNNNNNNNNNNNNNNNNNNNNNAAUCUUAUUUGAGUUUCGUCUGAUCUCUCUUAUGCAUGAUUUCAUAUCCUUGUAAUUCUCUUCGAGUUGUGGGUUUUGUCUGUCCAACUAGAUCUAUGAUUCUUCCAAUGGGAGAAGUGCUUNNNNNNNNNNNNNNNNNNNNNNNNNNNNNNNNNNNNNNNNNNNNNNNNNNNNNNNNNNNNNNNNNNNNNNNNNNNNNNNNNNNNNNNNNNNNNNNNNNNNNNNNNNNNNNNNNNNNNNNNNNNNNNNNNNNNNNNNNNNNNNNNNNNNNNNNNNNNNNNNNNNNNNNNNNNNNNNNNNNNNNNNNNNNNNNNNNNNNNNNNNNNNNNNNNNNNNNNNNNNNNNNNNNNNNNNNNNNNNNNNNNNNNNNNNNUUGGUUUGAGAUUAUCCAUCUACAUCAUGUCAUCUUGCUUAAGGCAUUACUCUGUUCGUCAUGAACUCAAUACACUAGAUGCAUCCUGGAUAGCGGUCGAUGUGUGGAGUAAUAGUAGUAGAUGCAGAAAGUAUCGGUCUACUUGUCUCGGACGUGAUGCCUAUAUGUAUGAUCAUUGCCUUAGAUAUCGUCAUGACUUUGCGUGGUUCUAUCAAUUGCUCGACAGUAAUUUAUUCACCCACCGUAAUACUUGCUAUUUUGAGAGAAGCCUCUAGUGAACACUAUGGCCCCGGGGUCUACUCCACACCAUAUUUUCAGCCUUACACUUUUUACUUCGUUGCACUUUCCGCCUUCAGAUCUCACUUUGCAAUCAAUCUUGAAGGGAUUGACAACCCCUUUAAAGCGUUGGAUGCAAGCUCUUUUGUGUUUGCGCAGGUACUCUGGACUUGACGAGAUUCUCCUACUGGAUUGAUACCUUGGUUCUCAAACCGAGGGAAAUACUUACUGCUCCUGUGUUGCAUCACCCUUUCCUCUUCAAGGGAAAAACUAACGCAAGCCCAGUCUCCGUCAACGUGUCAAUUUCUAGCGCUGUUGUCUGUUGCCGUAGCAGAAGAAUUUCAAGCGCCAUUGCCGGGGAAGAUCAAGUCAAGAAAUCAUCCAAGUAGGUGUCGCAAACUCAUCUCUUGCAUUUACUUUGUUUGCCAUUUGCCUCUCGUUUUCCUCUCCCCCACUUCACCAAUUUGCCUUUUUCGUUUGCCUUUUCAUUCGCCCUUUCUUUCGCUUGCCUUUUGUUUGCUUGUGUGCUAUGUGCCUUCAAUAUUCGUGCAUCUUCGCUUGCUAAAAAUCUAGUGAUAUGGAUCCUCAUCCACUUUCUAAUCUCUUUAAGAGAUCCAAUUAUGUUGAUCCAAUUUCUAGUAAGUUGAGUGCACUUGACUUUCUCUAUGGAGUUUUGCUUGAGAUGCGUGAAUCUGAAAAUCGUAAUGAAGAAAUUUAUGAAAUGAUUCACGAGGACUCCUUGAAUGAAAAGCAUGAUUGCAAUGAUUUUAUUUAAAAUUCUAUUAAUGACAAUCAUGCUAAAAAUAUGCAAAACCCUAAGCUUGGGGAUGCUAGUUUUGCUAUGUCCACUACUUGUUGCAAUGAUAUUUUCAAUAAUAUUGAAAGUGGGUUUGGAGAAGUCAUGACUUUAAUUGAUGAUUAUCCCACUAUUUUUGAAGAGCGUUGAUGACCCACAAGUAUAGGGGAUCAAUCGUAGUCCUUUCGAUAAGUAAGAGUGUCGAACGCAACGAGAAGCAGAAGGAUUUGACAAGUGGUUUUCAGCAAGGAAAUAUCUGCAAGCACUGAAAUUAUCGGUAACAAGUGAUUGUGUGGUGAGACGAUUCGUAGCGAGCAACAAGUAACAAAAGUAGCAAUGGUGCAGCAAAGUGUCCCGAUCCCUUUUGUAGCAAGGGACAAGCCUGGACAAAGUCUUAUAGGAGGAAAAACGCUCCUGAGGACACACGGGAAUUUAUGUCAUGCUAGUUUUCAUCAUGUUCAUAUGAUUCGCGUUCGUUACUUCGAUAGUUUGAUAUGUGGGUGGACCGGCGCUUGGGUACUGCCCUUACUUGGACAAGCAUCCAACUUAUGAUUAAUUCCUCUCGCAAGCAUCCGCAACUACGAAAUAAUUAUUAAUACAAAGUCUAACCAUAGCAUUAAACUAGUGGAUCCAAAUCAGCCCCUUACGAAGCAACGCAUAAACUAGGGUUUAAGCUUCUGUCACUCUAGCAACCCAUCAUCUACUUACUACUCCCAAUGCCUUCCUCUAGGCCCAAAUAAUGGUGAAGUGUUAUGUAGUCGACGUUCACAUAACACCACUAGAGGAAAAAACAUACAACACAUCAAAAUAUCGAACGAAUGCCAAAUUCACAUGACUACUAUUAGCAUGACUUAUCCCAUGUCCUCAGGAACAAAAGUAACUACUAACAAAGCAUAAUCAUAUUCAUGACCAUAGAGGUAAUGAGUAGCAUCAAGGAUCUGAACAUAAACUCUUCCACCAAAUAAUCCAACUGGCAUCAACUACAAAGAGUAAUUAACACUACUAGCAACCUUACCAGUACCAAUCGGAGUCGCGAGACGGAGAUUGGUUACAAGUGAUGAACUAGGGUUUGGAGAUGAGAUGGUGCUGAUGAAGAUAUUGAUGGUGAUGAGUCCCCUCCAAUGAGAGGAGUGUUGGUGAUGACGAUGGCGACGAUUUUCCCCUCCGAGAGGGAAGUUUCCCAGGCAGGAUCGUCCUGCAGAAUAGAUAUAUCAACUUUGCUCCUCUUUCAGGCCAGAAUUCCAGCUGCCGGCAUUCUCCCUCUUCAUGUAAACCUUGCAAAAUAAGAGAGAAAAGGCAUAAGUAUUGUACCGUGAAGUGAAAUAACAUCCCAAGAAGCGAUGAAUAUCAACAUGAAAACAUGAUGCAAAAUGGACGUAUCAACUCCCCCAAGCUUAGACCUCGCUUGUCCUCAAGCGAAAGCCUAGCUCAAUAAAUAUGUCCACAUGUUUAGGGAGAGAGGUGUCGACAAAACAAGAUACAAACAUGCAUGCAUCAUGAUCAUGAUCAGAGUAGCCAUACCAACAUAUAAUCUCUCAUGCUAAAGUGAUAAUUCCUUCACAAAGUAAAGCAUGGAUUAAGAACCUUACCGAGAAGUAACAACCAAUAGCCUUUAGUCAUUGAAGCAAUUGCAAUUUAUCACAACAUCAAAAAGAGUCAAAUAAGAGCUUGUAAAACUAAUGCACAGACUCAAUCAUUCUUUCGUUCUCUACAAUUGCUACAACUCACGUGGUACUCCUGAGAUCAAAGUUUCAGCUAGACACACAGAAAGAUAGGGGCUUGCAGUUUUUGCCUCCCAACUGCUUACCUCAAGGGUAAUGUCAACAAUAAUAAUUCAUGAAUACUUACUUCCAAGUUGACAUAUGAAUAUAGAUCUUUCCCAAGCAUAUGACAUUAGCCAAGAUAAAGGCGAAAUAAGGAAUUGGUGGAGAUCACCAUGACUCUUUCAAGGGCAAAAAGUAAAGGUACAAGAUAGGCCCUUCGCAGAGGGAAGCAGAGGUUGUCAUGCGCUUUUGAGGUUUGGAUGCGUGUCCUCUUAGUGCGGAGGAACGUCACUUUAUAUUGCCUCCUGUGAUAAAGGACUUUAUUAUGCAGUCUGUCGCUUUUAUGUCUUCCUCAUCACAGGUUCGUAUAAAGCUUAUUUUCCACACACUAAUAGAUCGUACAUAUUAGAGAGCAAUUUUUAUUGCUUGCACGGAUGACAACUUAGUUGAGGGAUCUUAUUCAAUCCUUAGGUAGGUAUGGUGGACUCACAUGGCAAAACUGGGUUGAUGGUUUUAUGGAUGCACAAGUAGUAUCUCUACUUAGUGCGGGAGGUUUGGCUAACGUGAGGUGGAAGCAAUCGUCACAUGCUAAGGGAUCUCUAAUCAUAUAACAUUGUUCGGAACCAAGAAAAGACAAUUCAUUUCGUUCUCUUCCUUGUCCAACAUCUACUUCUAGGCAUGCAAUAGUUUAGUGAGUGUUCACAAUCAUAGAUGGUGUCAGAGAUGAUAUAUUUAUAUGUGAACCUCUCCCUCUUUAUCACUUCCUAUUAAUUGCAACAAUGACCAAGGUCUACGUUUGUCUACCCUCAACAAGUUUCAAUCAUCAUCCCUUUUUAUAUGUGAAGCCAUCACUUCCCAUAAGAUCAUUACAUGAUCUUUCAUGCUUUUGUUCUUUUCUCACUCUUUUGAUCAUGGCAAGAGGCAAAGCCCUUCAGCUAAGACACUCUUUAUUAUAUGGCUCACGAGCUCGAAUACAUCGGGGGUGACACAAAGAAAAACUCAAGAAUAAAACACUAAGACUUUAAACUGUUAGAGAAAAAGAAAAAAACUAAAAAGGAACAAACUAAAACAAAGGUAAAGGCAAAAGAUGUGAUGGUGAUACGAUAUUGGGGCAACUCCCCCAAGCUUGGCACAAGCCAAGGGGAUUGCGCAUACCCAUGUUUAGUUGUCUUCCUUUGGUGGUGAUGGUGGUGGAGUUGUUGCAACAUGGGCUUGAUCCUCCGUCUUCCAAGGCAUAGGUGCUCCAUCAUGGAAAGAUGAACGAGUCUCCGGAAUCCUCAAAUCUGCAACCAACCGUAUUGAUUUAAAUCUAUACUCAUACCCACAGUUUUGGUUCUACAGGUCAUAGAUCUGGGCCUGGAGUUGAUCAAUCCUGUCAUAGAGCGUGGAGAGGUGCUUCCCAAUGUCAUUGGCAUCAAUCUUGUGCUUGUUGGUGAACUCCGUGAUCAUGAUGUGGUUGGCGUUGAGUCCACGCUCCACCAUCCCUUGGCACUUGAAGACUUGUUGCUCCAUUGCUUCGAGCCUCGUAUCCACGCUUCCGGAGUUAUGGUAUUGAUGAUAUUGCUUUCAACAUUUAUGGGAGUACCUGAGAUAUAAUGCUUGAUUCUCUACCCAUUUACAACUCUCGGACAAUUACCUUCCGUGUUGUUGAUCUUGACAGCACCGGAACGAUAUACUUCCUCAACAACAUAGGGACCUUCCCAUUUAUAGAGAAGCUUGCCUUCAAAGAAUCUUAAACGAGAGUUAUAUAGCAAGACAUAAUCACCUACAUUGAACUCACGCUUUUGUAUCCUCUUAUCAUGCCACCUCUUAACCUUCUCUUUGAACAACUUGGCAUUCUCAUAUGCCUGAGUUCUCCAUUCAUCAAGCGAGCUAAUAUCAAAUAACCUCUUCUCACCGGCAAGUUCGAAAUAAAAGUUGAGCUCUUUGAUUGCCCAAUUAGCUUUAUGCUCUAACUCAAGAGGUAAAUGACAGGCUUUACCGUACACCAUUUUGUACGGAGACAUGCCCAUGGGAUUCUUAUAGGCAGUUCUAUAAGCCCAUAGUGCAACAUCGAGCUUCUUAGACCAAUUCUUUCUAGACCUGUUGACAGUCUUUUGCAGAAUUUGUUUAAUCUCUCUAUUGCUUAGCUCUACUUGACCGCUGGACUGAGGGUGAUAGGGGGACGCAAUUCUAUGUUUGACAUCGUACUUCGCAAGCGUUUUACGGAAAGCACCAUGAAUGAAAUGUGAACCACCGUCGGUCAUUAGAUAUCUUGGGACUCCAAAUCUAGGGAAGAUAACUUCUUUAAGCAUCCUGAUAGAAGUGUUGUGAUCAGCACUACUAGUGGGGAUAGCUUCUACCCACUUAGUGACAUAAUCAACAACAACUAAGAUGUGAGUAUACCUGUUGGAUUUUGGAAAAGGUCCCAUAUAAUCAAAGCCCCAAACAUCAAAUGGUUCAAUGACAAGUGAAUAGUUCAUAGGCAUUUCCUAGCGUUUACCGAUAUUACCUACUCUUUGACAUUCAUCACAAGACAAGACAAACUUACGGGCAUCCUUGAAGAGAGUGGGCCAAUACAAACCUGAUUGCAAUACCUUGUGUGCAAUUCUAUCUCCCGCAUGGUGUCCUCCGUAGGCAUCGGAGUGACACUUCUGUAAGAUCUGUCCCUGUUCAUGUUCAGGUACACAACGUCUAAUAACACCAUCUACUCCUUCAUUAUAAAGGUGAGGAUCAUCCCAAAAGUAAUGUCUCAAGUCAAAGAAGAAUUUCUUCUUUUGCUGGUACGUGAAACUAGGUGGUAUAUAUUUGGCAACGAUAUAGUUUGCAUAAUCAGCAUACCACGGUGCACUAGGUGAAGCAUUGAUGACAUUCAAUUGCUCAUCGGGAAAGCUAUCAUCAAUAGGUUGUGGGUCAUCAAGAAUGUUCUCCAACCUAGACAAGUUAUCUCCUACUAGGUUAUCAGCACCCUUCCUGUCAACAACGUGCAAAUCAAAUUCUUGUAGCAAGAGAACCCAUGUGAUAAGUCUAGGUUUAGCAUCCUUCUUCUCCAUGAGGUACUUAAUAGAAGCGUGAUCAGUGUGAAUAGUAACUUUGGAAUCAACUAUGUAAGACCUGAACUUUUCACAUGCAAACACGACUGCUAAAAACUCCUUUUCCGUAGUAGCAUAGUUUCUUUGGGCAUUGUCUAGAGUUUUACUAGCAUAGUGAAUAACAUUCAAUUUCUUAUCAACUCUUUGCCCUAGAACAGCACCAACAGUAUAAUCACUAGCAUCACACAUGAUUUCAAACGGCAAGUUCCAAUCAGGUGGUUGAACAAUAGGUGCGGUUAUCAAAGCCCUGUUAAGUAUUUCGAAGGCUUCCUCACAAUCAUCGUCAAAAACAAAAGGAAUAUCCUUUUGCAAGAGAUUGGUAAGAGGCCUAGAAAUCUUAGAGAAGUAUUUAAUGAACCUUCUAUAGAAACCAGCAUGACCAAGGAAACUUCUUAUACCUUUGAUAUUUGUGGGAUAUGGCAUUUUCUCGAUUGCAUCAACCUUGGCCUUAUCGACUUCCAUACCUCUUUCAGAAAUUUUAUGUCCUAAGACGAUGCCUUCAUUAACCAUAAAGUGGCACUUCUCCCAAUUCAAGACAAAAUUGGUGUCUUUACAUCUCUGCAAGACUCGAUCAAGGUUGCUGAGGCAAUCAUCAAAGGAAGACCCAUAAACGGAGAAGUCAUCCAUGAAAAUCUCAACAAUCUUUUCACAAAAGUCAGAGAAUAUAGCCAUGAUACAUCUUUGAAAGGUGGCAGGUGCAUUACAUAAGCCAAAAGGCAUACGUCUAUAAGCAAAGGUACCAAAAGGGCAGGUGAAAGUGGUCUUCUCCUGAUCAGAUUGUGCAACUGGUACUUGGGAGAAACCAGAAUAACCGUCUAGAAAGCAGAAGUGUAUGUGUUUAGAGAGUCUUUCUAGCAUUUGGUCGAUAAAAGGCAAAGGGUAAUGAUCUUUCCUAGUGGCUUUAUUCAAUUUCCUAAAAUCGAUCACCAUCCUAUAGCCAGUAAUAAUCCUCUGUGGGAUCAGUUCAUCCUUAUCAUUAGGGACAAUGGUAAUGCCUCCCUUCUUAGGGACGCAACGCACCGGACUCACCCAACCGCUAUGAGCAACAGGAUAGAUAAUACCUGCUUCCAGGAGCUUUAGUAUUUCUUUUCUCACUACUUCUUUAAUCUUAGGAUUUAAUCUCCUUUGAUGAUCAACAAUUGGUUUAGAAUCAGGAUCAGGUUUAAUCUUGUGCUGGCAUAGAGUGGGACUAAUGCCCUUAAGAUCAUCAAGAGUAUAUCCAAUAGCAGCACGGUGCUUCCUCAGAGUUUUUAGUAACUUCUUUUCUUCAUGCUCUCAGAGGCUAGCACUAAUAAUAACAGGAUAUAUCUCUUUUUCAUCAAGAUAAGCAUACUUAAGAGUAUCAGGCAACUGUUUAAGCUCAAACACAUGAUCACCCUUUGGUGGGGGUGGAUCCCCAAGCAGUUCAACAGGCAAGUUAUCCUUAAGCCUAGGAUAUUGUUCUAAGAAAACUCUAUCUAUCUCAUCCCUUUCAUCCAUAUGCAUAUCAUUUUCAUGCUCAAGCAAAUAUUGCUCUAAGGGAUCAGUAGGAGGUACAGCAAUAGAAGCUAAGGCAAUUGUUUCAUCCCUACUAGGCAACUCCUUUUCAUGAGGUUGUCUACCAAACUUAGAGAAAUUGAACUCAUGUGACACACCUUCAAAGCCAACAGUGAUAGUUUGCUUCUCACAAUCAAUAUGAGCAUUGACAGUAUUGAGAAAAGGUCUACCAAAUAUGAUGGGACAGAAGCUAUCUUGUGCAGUAGCAAGAACGAGGAAAUCAGCAGGAUACUUUGUUUUACCACACAAGACUUCAACGUCCCUAAAAAUUCCCACCGGGUAGAUAGUAUCUCUAUUGGCAAGCUGAAUAGUGACAUCAACAGGCUCUAUCUCAACAUGUGCAAUCUCAUCUUUGAUUUCAUCAUAUGAGGAUUGAGCUAUUGCACUAACACUAGCACCCAUGUCACAUAAACCAUGAUAACAAUGAUCUCCUAUCUUAACAGAAACAACAGGCAUGCCCACAACAGGCCUAUGUUUGUCUCUAGCGUGAGGUUUAGCAAUUCUAGCAGCAUCUUCACAGAAGUGAAUAUUAUGUCCCUCAACAUCGUCGGACAGAAGAUCUUUGAUAAUAGAAAUGCUAGGUUCAACUCUAAUUUGCUCAGGGGCUGUAGGUGUUCUAAUGUAGCCUCUACGUAUCACAGUUGAAGCUUUAGAAUGAUCCUUUAUCCUAACAGGGAAAGGUGGUUUCUCAAUGUAAGCACUGGGAACAACAGGAUCAUUAUAGGCAAUGCCUUUCUAUUCAACUGGAUUGGGUUUAACUACAUUGAAUUCUAAAGGAGGAUGAUAUUUAAACCACUUCUCUUUGGGGAGAUCAAUAUGAGCAGCAAAGGAUUCACACAAAGAAGCUACUAUCUCAGAGUCAAGUCCAUACUUAGCGCUAAAAUCACUAAAGGUAUUUGUCUCAACAAAGGAUUUAACGCAAUCAAACAUGAAAUUCAUACAUGACUCCUUACCUUCUUCAAGCUCCCAAUCUUCAGAGUUGCGUUUAAUUCUCUCCAAUAAAUUCCAUUUGAAGUCAACAUCUCUCUUCAUAAAAGAACCGGUACAAGAAGUGUCAAGCAUGGUGCGAUCAUCAUGAGAAAGCCGAGCAUAGAAGUUCUGAAUGAUAAUUUCUCUCGAGAGCUCAUGAUUGGGGCAUGAAUGUAGCAUUGAUUUAAGCCUCCCCCAAGCUUGAGCGAUGUUUUCUCUGUCAUGAGGCCAAAAGUUAUAAAUAUAAUUCUGAUCACGAUGUACUAAAUGCAUAGCAUAAAACUUUUGAUGAAAUUCCAAUUUCAACCGAGUGUAGUCCCAUGAUCCAGUAUCAGCACAUAGCCUAUACCAUGUCAACGCCUUAUCCUUCAAAGAUAAAGGAAAAACCUUCUUCUUGACCUCAUCCUCGGGCAAACUGCAAGCUUAAAUAAACAACAAACUUCAUCUACAUAGAUUAGAUACAAGUCUGGAUGUGAUGAUCCAUCUCCUGUAUAAGGAUUAGCCAGCAGUUUCUCAAGCAUACCCGAAGGAAAUUCAAAGCAAAUAUUUUCAGUAAGUGCAGCAUGUUGAGGAGCAACUCUUUGUGCUUCUGUUCGAGGUGAAGAUACCCUGAACAAGCCCCUCAAAGGAUUAGUAUCCAUAGUGACAAGUGACAAUAAAUUUCAGCACACUAUAUGAAUGUUUCCUUACCAAGUUCCACUUACCAAAGGCGCUUCACUCCCCGGCAACGGCGCCAGAAAAGAGUCUUGAUGACCCACAAGUAUAGGGGAUCAAUCGUAGUCCUUUCGAUAAGCAAGAGUGUCAAACCCAACGAGGAGCAGAAGGAUUUGACAAGUGGUUUUCAGCAAGCAAAUAUCUGCAAGCACUGAAAUUAUCGGUAACAAGUGAUUGUGUGGUGAGAUGAUUCGUAGCAAGCAACAAGUAACAAAAGUAGAAACGGUGCAGCAAAGUGGCCCAAUCCCUUUUGUAGCAAGGGACAAGCCUGGACAAAGUCUUAUAGGAGGAAAAACGCUCCCGAGGACACACGGGAAUUUCUAUCAUGCUAGUUUUCAUCAUGUUCAUAUGAUUCGCGUUCGUUACUUUGAUAGUUUGAUAUGUGGGUGGACCGGCACUUGGGUACUGACCUUACUUGGACAAUCAUCCCACUUAUGAUUAACCCCUCUCGCAAGCAUCCACAACUACGAAAGAAGAAUUAAGACAAAGUCUAACCAUAGCAUUAAACUAGUGGAUCCAAAUCAGCCCCUUACAAAGCAACGCAUAAACUAGGGUUUAAGCUUCUGUCACUCUAGCAACCCAUCAUCUACUUACUACUUCCCAAUGCCUUCCUCUAGGCCCAAAUAAUGGUGAAGUGUUAUGUAGUCGACGUUCACACAACACCACUAGGGGAAAAACAACAUACAACACAUCAAAAUAUCAAACGGAUACCAAAUUCACAUGACUACUAUUAGCAUGACUUAUCCCAUGUCCUCAGGAACCAAAGUAACUACUCACAAAGCAUAAUCAUAUUCAUGACCAUAGAGGUAAUGAGUAGCAUCAAGGAUCUGAACAUAAACUCUUCCAGCAAAUAAUCCAGCUAGCAUCAACUACAAAGAGUAAUUAACACUACUAGCAACCUUACAAGUACCAACCGGAGUCGCGAGACGGAGAUUGGUUACAAGUGAUGAACUAGGGUUUUGCGAUGAGAUGGUGCUGAUGAAGAUGUUGAUGGUGACGAGUCCCCUCCAAUGAGAGGAGUGUUGGUGAUGAUGAUGGCGAUGAUUUCCCCCUCCGGGAGGGAAGUUUCCCUGGUAGGAUCGUCCUGCCGGAGCUCUAGAUUGCUUCUGCUCAAGUUCCGCCUCGUGGCGGCGGCGAAUCCACGAAAAACUUCUCCCUGAUUUUUUUUCCAGACGAAACCCUUCAUAUAGCAUAAGAGGGGGGCCAGUGGGCCAGCAAGCUGCCCACAAGCCCCCUUGACGCGGCCUGGGGGGUGGCCGCGCCGUGCAGGCUUGUGGCCACCUGCUGGCACCCCUGUGGCACUUCUUCGGCCCAGUAUUUUUUAUAAAUCAGGAAAAAAAUCCUCGUUGAUUUUUACGGCGUUUGGAGUUGCGCAGAAUAGAUAUAUCAACUUUGCUCCUCUUUCAGGCCAGAAUUCCAGCUGCCGGCAUGCUCCCUCUUCAUGUAAACCUUGCAAAAUAAGAGAGAAAAGGCAUAAGUAUUGUACCGCGAAGUGAAAUAACAUCCGAAGAAGCGAUAAAUAUCAACAUGAAAACAUGAUGCAAAAUGGACGUAUCAAGCGUCAACUUUGUAUGCGUGUGGAUCAUGAAAAGAAUAUCCUUUGUGAUAGCAAUUUUGUUGAAUUUGAUUAUGAUCCCACAUGUAAUUUCUACGAGAGAGGAAAAUAUUGUGGUAGAAACUUUCAUGUUACCAAAUUACUGUUGGGGAACGUCGCAUGGGAAACAAAAAAUUUCCUACGCGCACGAAGACCUAUCAUGGUGAUGUCCAUCUAUGAGAGGGGAUUUCCGAUCUACGUACCCUUGUAGAUCACACAGCAGAAGCGUUAAGAAACGCGGUUGAUGUAGUGGAAUGUCCUCACGUCCCUCGAUCCGCCCCGCGAACCAUCCCACGAACCGUCCCGCGAUCCGUCCCACGAUCCGCUCCGAUCUAGUGCCGAACGGACGGCACCUCCGCGUUCAGCACACGUACAGCUCGACGAUGAUCUCGGCCUUCUUGAUCCAGCAAGAGAUACGGAGAGGUAGAUGAGUUCUCCGGCAGCGUGACGGCGCUCCGGAGGUUGGUGGUGAUCUAAUCUCAGCAGGGCUCCGCCCGAGCUCCGCAGAAACGCGAUCUAGAGGUAAAACCGUGGAGGUAUGUGGUCGGGCUGCCGUGGCAAAAGUUGUCUCAAAUCAGCCCUAAAACCCCACUAUAUAUAGGAGGGAGGGAGGGGAGGAGGCAGCCUCAAAACCUAAAGGUUUGGCCGAAAUUGGAGGUGGAGGAGUCCUACUCCAAUCAUACUUGGAGUAGGAUUCCACCUUCCCACUUGGAAACUCUUUCCACCUUGUGUUUUUUCCUUCUCAAACCUUAUGGGCCUUAGUGGGAACUUAUUCCAGCCCACUAGGGGAUGGUUUAUCUUUUCCCAUAGCCCAUGAGACCCCUUGGGGCGUGAUACCCCUCCUGAUGGUCCCCGGCACCCCUCCCGGCACUCCCAGUACACUACCGAUGAGCCAGAAACUUUUCCGGUAAUGCAUGAAAACCUUCCGGUAACCAAAUGAGGUCAUCCUAUAUAUCAAUCUUCGUUUCCGGACCAUUCCAGAAACCCUCGCGACGUCCGUGAUCUCAUCCAGGACUCCGAACAACAUUCGGUAACCAACCAUAUAACUCAAAUACGCAUAAAACAACAUCGAACCUUAAGUGUGCAGACCCUGCGGGUUCGAGAACUAUGUAGACAUGACCCGAGAGACUCCUCGGUCAAUAUCCAAUAGCGGGACCUGGAUGCCCAUAUUGGAUCCUACAUAUUCUACGAAGAUCUUAUCGUUUGAACCUCAGUGCCAAGGAGUCAUAUAAUCCCGUAUGUCAUUCCCUUUGUCCUUCGGUAUGUUACUUGCCUGAGAUUCGAUCGUCAGUAUCCGCAUACCUAUUUCAAUCUCGUUUAUCGUCAAGUAUCUUUACUCGUUCCGUAAUACAAGAUCCUGCAACUUACAUUAAGUCACAUUGCUUGCAAGGCUUGUGUGUGAUGUUGUAUUACCGAGUGGGCCCCGAGAUACCUCUCCGUCAUACGGAGUGACAAAUCCCAGUCUUGAUCCAUACUAACUCAACGAACACCUUCGGAGAUACCUGUAGAGCAUCUUUAUAGUCACCCAGUUACGUUGCGAUGUUUGAUACACACAAAGCAUUCCUCCGGUGUCAGUGAGUUAUAUGAUCUCAUGGUCAUAGGAACAAAUACUUGACACGCAGAAAACAGUAGCAACAAAAUGACACGAUCAACAUGCUACGUCUAUUAGUUUGGGUCUAGUCCAUCACAUGAUUCUCCUAAUGAUGUGAUCCCAUUAUCAAGUAACAACACUUGCCUAUGGCCAGGAAACCUUGACCAUCUUUGAUCAACGAGCUAGUCAACUAGAGGCUUACUAGGGACAGUGUUUUGUCUAUUAUCCACACAAGUAUUGUGUUUCCAAUCAAUACAAUUAUAGCAUGGAUAAUAAACGAUUAUCAUGAACAAAGAAAUAUAAUAAUAACUAAUUAUUAUUGCAUCUAGGGCAUAUUUCCAACAAUUACCUCUCGUUAUGUGGAGAUUGCUAUUGUCUCUUUCUUAUUCCUUGCAUAUGGCAACUAUUGGUUGUCUUGACAAUCCGUUUUCCUAUAAAAUGCCUAUGCAUAGGAAGUAUGUUAGACUUAGAUGUGAUUUUCACAUGCUUUAUGAUGCUCUCGUUGUGCUUCAAUUCUUGUCUUUUUUGUGAGCAUCAUUGAUUUAUCAAUGCCUAGCUAAGGGCGUUAAACAAUAGCCUUGUUGGUAGGCAACCCAAUGAAUUUAUCUUUUUUCUUUCUGUUUUGUUGCGUCCACACCAUCAUAAUUCUGUUGUGAUUGUCUUUUUUGUGUUUGAGCCAAGAAAAACCUUUAUGACUAGUCUUGCUAAUGGUUGUUUGAUCCUGCUGGAAAAAGGCAGAAACUUUUUGCUCACGAGAUGAUUUUUAUUUUUUACUUAGAAAGAGAUUUUGAGUUGAUUGUUUUUGCUGCUGGUUGAUAUGCCUUUUGCCCAGGCAGUCGUAAUUGUUCAGAAUUUUUGAGGUACCAGAAGUAUACGAAGUAUACAGAUUGCUACAGACUGGUCUGUUUUUGACAGAUUUUGUUUUUGUUGAGUUGGUUGCUUGUUUUGAUGAAACUAUGGUUAGUAUCGGGGGGUACUAGCCAUGGAAAAGUGAGAAUACAGUAGCCCAACACCAAUAUAUAUAGAAUUCAAGUUUGCUACAGUACCAACAGAGGUGGUAGUUUGUUUUCUUGUGCUAAUGAUAUCACGAGUUUCUGUUUAAGUUUUGUGUUGUGAAGUAUUCAAGUUUUGGGUGAUGUUCUCAUGGACAAAGAGAUAAGGAGUGGAAAGAGCUCAAGCUUGGGGAUGCCCAAGGCAUCCCAAGCCAAAUUCAAGGACACCAAAAAGCCUAAGCUUGGGGAAGCCCUGGCAAGGCAUGCCCUCUUUCGUCUUCAAUCCAUCGGUAACAUUACUUGGAGCUAUAUUUUUAUUCACCACAUGAUAUGUGUUUUGCUUGGAGCAUCGUGUAUCUUAGGAGUCUUUUCUUUAUGUUCUGUCAUAAUCAUCCUUGCUGCAUAGCUUUACAGAGAGACAUGCACUCAUCGUGAUUUUGCUAGAAUGCUCAUAGUGCUUCACUUAUAUCUUUUGAGCUAGAUAAUUUUGCUCUAUGUGCUUCACUUAGAUCUUUUAGAGCAUGGCAAUGCGUGACUUGGUAGUUGGCUUAUGCUAUGAAAGUAGUCCCAAAGGUGAUAGGUACCCAAAGAGGAUACAAAAACCUCCAUGUUCAUGUGCAUUGAGUAGAAAGAGAAUUUUUGAUUCCUCUCAGUUAGUUUUGAGACGUGGAUUUGGUAAUAUUAAGAGUGAUGUUAGUAAGGUGUUGUGAAUCUACAAAUACUUGUGUUGAAGUUAGUGAUUCCCGUAGCAUGCACAUAUGGUGAACCGCUAUGUUAGGAAGUCGGAGCAUAGUUGAUCUACUGAUUGUCAUCCUUUGUGUUGAGGUCGGGAUCGCGCGAUGGUUAACACCUACCAACCCUUCCCCUAGGAGUAUGCGUUUAGCACUUUGUUUCGAUUACUAAUAAAAACUUUCGCAACAAGUAUGUGAGUUCUUCAUGACUAAUGAGUCCAUGGUAUAGAUGCACUUUCACCUUCCAGCAUUGCUAGCCUCUCUAGUGCCGUGCAAUUCUCGCCGGUACACAAACCCACCAAAUGCCUCCCUCAAAACAGCCACCAUAUCUACCUACUAUGGCAUUUUCUUAGCCAUUCCGAGAUAUAUUGCCAUGCAACUCAUGACUUGUGACAUCACUCUCAUAUUGCCAUUGCAUGAUCGUAAGAUAGCUAGUGAGAUGUUUCAACGUCAUACGCCAAGCUAGAUCGUUGCACAUCCCGGUACACUGCCGGAGGCAUUUCCUAUAGAGUCAUUUCUAAGCUUUAGGCUGUGAGUAAAUAAAAGUGUGAUGAUCAUCAUUAUUAGAGCAUUGUCCCAUGUGAGGAAUCAAAAAAUAGUCCAAAGUGCCCAAUAAAAAAAGAGAGACAAGAAAAAAGAGGCCCAAGAGGCCAAAUAAAAAAAAGAGAGAAAAAGAGAGAAGGGACAAUGCUACUAUCUUUUUCCACACUUGUGCUUCAUAAUAGCACCAUGUUCUUCAUGAUUGAGAGCUUCUUGCUUUGUCACCACCAUAUGCUAGUGGGAAUCUUCAUUAUAUAACUUGGCUUGUAUAUUCCAAUGAUGGGCUUCCUCAAAAUUGCCCUAGGUCUUCGUGAGCAAGCAAGUUGGAUGCACACCCACUAGUUCUACUUUUGAGCUUUCACAUACUUAUAGCUCUAGUGUAUCCUUUGUAUGGCAAUCCCUACUCAUUCACAUUGAUAUUUAUUAAUGGGCAUCUCCAUAGCCCUUUGAUACACCAAGUCAAUGUGACCAUCUCCUCCUAUUUAUCUCACAACCACCACCACACUCUAUUCCACUUUUAGUGCUAUAUCCAUGGCCCAAGCUCAUGUAUUGCGUGAUAGUUAUAAAAAGUUUGAGAAACUAAGAGUGUGAAAACAAUUACUUGGCCAAUACCGGGGUUGUGCAUGAUUUACAUUCGUUGUGUGAGGAUGAUGGAGCAUAGCCAGACUAUAUGAUUUUGUAGGGAUAACUUUCAUUGGCCUUGUUAUUUUGAAAGUUCAUGAUUACCUUGCUAGUUUGCUUGAAGUAUUAUUGUUUUCAUGUCAAUAGCAAACUAUUGUUUUGAAUCUUACGGAUCUGAACAUUCAUGUCACGUGAAAGAAGUUGCAAAGGAAAACUAUGCUAGGUAGCAUUCCACAUCAAAAAUUCAUUCUUUAUCACUUCCCUACUCGAGGACGAGCAGGAGUUAAGCUUGGGGAUGCUUGACACGUCUCCAACGUAUCUAUAAUGUUUUAUGGUUUCAUGCUAUUGUCUUGUCAAACUUUGGAUGUUUUGCAUGCCUUUUAUAUAUUUUUUGGGACUAACUUAUUAACUCGGUGCCAAGUGCCAGUUCCUGUUUUUUCCAUGUUUUUGACCCCUUUCAGAGGAGGAUUUUGAACGGAGUCCAAACGGAAUGAAACUGCCAAAAAGAUUUUUUCCGAAACAGAAAAAGACCGGGAAACCGGAGAAUCACGGCACGGGCCCUGCAGGGACCCCACAAGCCCUCAUGGCGCGGCCAGGGGGGCCGCGCCUCCCUGGCUUGUGGGCUCCCUGGGCCACCUCUGCCCUAGGUUUUGCGCCUAUAUAUUCCCUAAAAUCCCAGAAAAAAUCAGGAGAUCAUCGAAAGUACUUUUCCGCCGCCGCAAGCUUCUGUCUCUGCAAGAUCCCAUUUGGGGCACGUUCUGGUGCCCUGCCGGAGGGGGGAUUCAGAUACAGAGGGCUUCUUCAUCAACACCAUGACCUCUCCAAUGAUGCAUGAGUAGUUCACCAUAGACCUACGAGUCCAUAUCUAGUAGCUAGAUGUCUUGUUCUCUCUCUUGGUCUUCAAUACAAAGUUCUCCAUGAUCUUCAUGGAGAUCCUCUCCCNNNNNNNNNNNNNNNNNNNNNNNNNNNNNNNNNNNNNNNNNNNNNNNNNNNNNNNNNNNNNNNNNNNNNNNNNNNNNNNNNNNNNNNNNNNNNNNNNNNNUAUCAAUCUUCGUUUCCAGACCAUUCCGGAAACCCUCGUGACGUCCGUGAUCUCAUCCGGGACUCCGAACAACAUUCGGUAACCAACCGUAUAACUCAAAUACGCAUAAAACAACGUCGAACCUUAAGUGUGCAGACCCUGCGGGUUCGAGAACUAUGUAGACAUGACCCGAGAGACUCCUCGGUCAAUAUCCAAUAGCGGGACCUGGAUGCCCAUAUUGGAUCCUACAUAUUCUACGAAGAUCUUAUCGUUUGAACCUCAGUGCCAAGGAUUCAUAUAAUCCCGUAUGUCAUUCCCUUUGUCCUUCGGUAUGUUACUUGCCCGAGAUUCGAUCGUCAGUAUCCGCAUACCUAUUUCAAUCUCGUUUACCGGCAAGUCUCUUUACUCGUUCCGUAAUACAAGAUCCCGCAACUUACACUAAGUUACACUGCUUGCAAGGCUUGUGUGUGAUGUUGUAUUACCGAGUGGGCCCCGAGAUACCUCUCCGUCACACGGAGUGACAAAUCCCAGUCUUGAUCCAUACUAACUCAACUAACACCUUCGGAGAUACCUGUAGAGCAUCUUUAUAGUCACCCAGUUACGUUGCGACGUUUGAUACACACAAGGCAUUCCUCCGGUGUCAGUGAGUUAUAUGAUCUCAUGGUCAUAGGAAUAAAUACUUGACACGCAGNNNNNNNNNNNNNNNNNNNNNNNNNNNNNNNNNNNNNNNNNNNNNNNNNNNNNNNNNNNNNNNNNNNNNNNNNNNNNNNNNNNNNNNNNNNNNNNNNNNNNNNNNNNNNNAGCUAAGGAAGAUACUGCAGAAGAAGCUGGGGAUGCUGAGUGUUUCAGGAGUUGGAUGGAUGAGAAAAACCCCCUCGCAAACCCCCUAGUUUAUAGGGUGGGGCGCGGGAGCUAGCUCUCCUCACUCCAGAAACCGCCGCUCCUCUCGCCCAAUCACCCCUGAUCAUGGGCGAACAGGGAGUCGCCCUGCUGCACCAAUGCAUGCGGGGGUAGGCCCUGCCACGACUACGACCUUUAAGGCCACGAUCGCCACUUGCUUGACCGUUACUGCACAUUCCUCGCGUGUGGCAGUAAUGCUCCGAGAGGUGGGACGGCCACUUUGCGCACGCCUCUCCACCUCACGCGCUCAAUGCACGACGUGGGGAAAGGCCACUUGCAACGGCUCCAAGCUGCCAAGCACCCUAUCACAGAAGCCCGUGCACCACUUUGGGCCUGGCCAAACGAUGCCUCGCGCGCGUGUGUGGCCCAGGCCCGGGGGUUCCUGCCGUGCACUGAAGACUCAGGUCUCCUGUGCCCCAGACUUGUGCAUCGGCACCAGCAACACACUUCGUGGCAAUACACGAAGAAGGACCUACGGGAAGAUAACCCAGGCUCGCCAAGGCCACACCCUACCGAAGGUGUGAAGAGCCAGCCCAGGCUACAAGGCCCCGGCAAGCCCUCCUUGCCGAGAAGAUCCACAAGGCCCCGGCAAGCCCUCCUCGCCGGGAAGACUCGCAGACCCCGGAAAGCCCUCCUUGCCGGGAAGAUGUCCAAGGCCAUGGCAAGCCCUCCUCGCCGGGAAGACGGGUUAGGCCGCCGACAAAGACGCCAUGCCGGCAGGCUCCCUUCGCCCGCCAGGUGUCCCUCCUGUCACAGUGCCGCCGAUUGCCACCGCUCCAGCGCAUCCCUCAUGCGCCAGCACAAAUCCCAGGUGUCAAUANNNNNNNNNNNNNNNNNNNNNNNNNNNNNNNNNNNNNNNNNNNNNNNNNNNNNNNNNNNNNNNNNNNNNNNNNNNNNNNNNNNNNNNNNNNNNNNNNNNNCUCCAAGAUCCCAUCUGGGGCACGUUCUGGUGCCCUGCCGGAGGGGGGAUUCGGAUACGGAAGGCUUCUUCAUCAACACAAUGACCUCUCCGAUGAUGCGUGAGUAGUUCACCAUAGACCUACGGCUCCAUAGCUAGUAAGUAUAUGGCUUCUUCUCUCUCUUGGAUCUUCAAUACAAAGUUCUCCCUGAUCUUCAUGGAGAUCUAUCCGAUGUAAUCUUCUUUUGCGGUGUGUUUGUCGAGAUCCGAUGAAUUGUGGAUUUAUGAUCAGAUUAUCUCUGAAUCUUAUUUGAGUUUCUUCUGAUCUCUCUUAUGCAGGAUUUCAUAUCAUUGUAAUUCUCUUCGAGUUGUGGGUUUUGUUUCGCCAACUAGAUCUAUGAUUCUUGCAAUGGGAGAAUUGCUUGGUUUUGGGUUCAUACCGUGCGGUGACCUCACCCAGUGACAGAAGGUGUAGCGAGGCACGCAUCAUGUUGUUGCCAUCAAGGGUAAAAAGAUGGGGUUUUCAUCAUUGGUUUGAGAUUAUCCCUCUACAUCAUGUCAUCUUGCUUAAGAAGUUACUCUGUUCGUCAUGAACUCAAUACACUAGAUGCANNNNNNNNNNNNNNNNNNNNNNNNNNNNNNNNNNNNNNNNNNNNNNNNNNNNNNNNNNNNNNNNNNNNNNNNNNNNNNNNNNNNNNNNNNNNNNNNNNNNACUCAUACAACCUCGCCGCAGCUAGGACUCUGCCCAUCUCAUUCGUACCCCACACAUCUACUGUCAGGCUUAUACCCACGACAUUUAUCAUGUAUCAGUUAUAACAUGGGAUGAUUUGUAACUAGCUCCAGUUCGUCAAUGUAAUGUAGGCAUGUAUUCCGUAUAUACUCAUACAUGCUUAUGGAAAAGAACUUGCAUGACAUCUAUUGUCCAUCCCUCCUGUGGCAGCGGGGUCCUAACGGAAACUAAGGGAUAUUAAGGUCUCCUUUUAAUAGAGAACCGGAACAAAGCAUUAUCACUUAGUGAAUACAUGAACUCCUCAUACUAUGGUCAUCUCAGGGAGUGGUUCCGGCUAUUGUCACUCCGGGGUUGCCAGGUCAUAGCACAUAGUAGGUGACUACAACAUGCAAGAUAGGAUCAAGAACACCCAUAUAUUGAUGAAAACAUAAUAGGUUCAGAUCUGAAAUCAUGGCACUCGGGCCCUAGUGACAAGCAUUAAGCAUAGCAAAGUAGUAGCAACAUCAAUAUCAGAACAUAGUGGAUACUAGGGAUCAAACCCCAUCAAAACUAACUCGAUUACAUGAUAGAUCUCAUCCAACCCAUCACCGUCCAGCAAGCCUACGAUGAGAUUACUCACGAACGGUGAAGAGCAUCAUGGAAUUGGCGAUGAAGGAUGGUUGAUGAUGACGACGACGUCAAUCUCCCCUCUGCGGAGCCGAGAACGGACUCUAGAUCUGCCCUCCGGAGGAAGAACAGGUGGUGGCGGCGGCUCCGUGUCGUGAAACGCGAUGAACUCUCCUCUCUUAAUUUUUUCUAGGCGAGAGAGACUAUAUAGAGCUGGAGUUGGAGGCGGCGGAGCCACGAGGUCCUCACAAGCGUGCCAGGCGCGGUCACGGGGGNNNNNNNNNNNNNNNNNNNNNNNNNNNNNNNNNNNNNNNNNNNNNNNNNNNNNNNNNNNNNNNNNNNNNNNNNNNNNNNNNNNNNNNNNNNNNNNNNNNNGUCUCGGACGUGAUGCCUAUAUGUAUGAUCAUUGCCUUAGAUAUCGUCUUGACUUUGCGUGGUUCUAUCAAUUCCUCGACAGUAAUUUGUUCACCCACCGUAAUAUUUGCUAUUUUGAGAGAAGCCUCUAGUGAACACUAUGGCCCUCGGGUCUACUUCACACCAUAUUUUCAGCCUUACACUUUUACUUCGUUGCACUUUCCGCCUUCAGAUCUCACUUUGCAAUCAAUCUUGAAGGGAUUGACAACCCCUUUAUAGCGUUGGNNNNNNNNNNUUUGUCUCGGACGUGAUGCCUAUAUGUAUGAUCAUUGCCUUAGAUAUCAUCAUGACUUUGCGCGGUUCUAUCAAUUGCUCGACAGUAAUUAGUUCACCCACCGUAAUAUUUGCUAUUUUGAGAGAAGCCUCUAGUGAACACUAUGGCCCCUGGGUCUACUUCACACCAUAUUUUCAGCCUGACACUUUUACUUUGUUGCACUUUCCACCUUCAGAUCUGACUUUGCAAUCAAUCUUGAAGGGAUUGACAACCCCUUUAUAGCGUUGGGUGCAAGCUCUUUUGUGUUUGCGCAGGUACUCUGGACUUGACGAGAUUCUCAUACUGGGUUGAUACCUUGGUUCUCAAACUGAGGGAAAUACUUACUGCUCCUGUGCUGCAUCACCCUUUCCUCUUCAAGGGAAAAACCAACGCAAGCCAAGUCUCCGUCAGCGUGCCAAUUUCUGGCACUGUUGUUUGAGAAGUAGCACCGAGUCACCGACACUAUACAGUAGGGCAUGACAAUAACUGGUUAGCGUUAGCGAGCGAUCUCAGAUGCUUAGGAAAUCAUAGACGCCGAACGAGCCCAGCAAGAAGAAAACUUAGGUCCAACAUACGUUCAGCCUGCGGGACAUGCCCAACUGAGCACUGCCGAGCAAGCCUCAUGGAGUGUCAGAUUAUCCAGCAGAACUAUUGGUACCCCUUGUCUACGAUCGACUCUACGCAACAAGCGCAUGCCUCCCAAUUUCAAGGGCCCUCACAAAGUCCCCAAUUAUACAACCAAUUUGGAACCAGACAAGUGGAUUGAGAGCUAUAAGUUAGCUAUGCAUAUGUUGGAAGUUAGCGAUGCAACCCAUGCGAGGUACCUAACUAUGAUGCUAGAAGGACCAUCACACACUUUGAUGAAAAAUCUGCCCGCUAAUUCAAUUGACACUUGGGAUGAACUAAAGGAGCGCUUCAGUAAGAAUUUCCAAGGAACCUUCAAGCGCCCUAUAAAGAUCCUUGACCUCGAUCACUGCAUCCAACACAACGAUGAGUCUACACAUCAUUUGUAACAUCCCAAAAUUAUAAAUUUUGGAAUGUUAAUAUAAUUAUUAGAUUGAUUGUUNNNNNNNNNNNNNNNNNNNNNNNNNNNNNNNNNNNNNNNNNNNNNNNNNNNNNNNNNNNNNNNNNNNNNNNNNNNNNNNNNNNNNNNNNNNNNNNNNNNNUAGGAUUGUAAGUGGACAGCUUACUGGGCAUUGUGGGACUGACCCACACUAACCACCAUUCCUUACACGGGAUUAUGCGGAAGUCCACUUAUUUUUAAGUGGUUAACGCGACGUCCACAUAUUACCAUUUAUACAGCGGUUCAUGUAUUUACUUAACACACCAGUUCAUCUAUUACAUGUAAAAACCAUCAAUUCAUCCACUAAAUAAAAUCAACGGGGUCAAAACUGAAGCCUCACACCGUCGUGCGCAUACAGAUGCACAGCUUCAAAGAUUUAGAGACAACACACACAGAGGUGAGCUUGAAACAUUCAUGGACAACGCAUACAAAAGCGGGCUUCAAGGAUCCGGUUCCUUUCAGCUCGUUCGGUGCGUGUGUGGGUGUGCGAGAGACAGAGUAGCCUGCCUGCCAUGGGCAAGAAGAAGAGCGGUGGCAGCGGCGGCGCAGAGAAGGUGGUGGAGGUGGCGGCGAGGCCGAGGGAGUUUGCGCUAAAGGUGGCGAUGCACUGCCAGUGCCACGGGUGCACGGACAGGGUGCGUUCGAUGGUGCGGGACCUCACGCUGGCGCCGGGGGUGGAGGCGGUGGACCAGUCGGCGGCCAAGGCCACCGGUGAGGCGCGGGUGCUAGCGACGUCCGACCCCGAGCGGCUCCGCAAGGGCCUCCGCAAGGCCACCAGGAAGAAGGUGGACCUCGUCUUCCCGCCCGCCAAGGAGCACAAGAAUGAGGAGAGGGAGCACGCCCGGGCCGUCGAAGCCGACGCGGUCCAGGCCCUGUUCGCCGACCUGCAGCUACACCACCAGUACGGAGGCCAGACGGGCGCGUCAGUAUGGCGUGCAGGGCGCGGCCGCGUGGGCGACGAGCGAGCAGCACCAGCACCAACUGCUCGGCCUCGGUGGCGGUGGCGGCNNNNNNNNNNNNNNNNNNNNNNNNNNNNNNNNNNNNNNNNNNNNNNNNNNNNNNNNNNNNNNNNNNNNNNNNNNNNNNNNNNNNNNNNNNNNNNNNNNNNNNNNNNNNNACCCGCGGCAGCCCUCCUCUGCGACGUCUUACUACUCCGGCGCGCCCGCCGGUGCUGCUGUUUGGGGCACGUACAAUGGGUACAGGAGAGGGGAGAGGCUGAUUAGCGGGAGGAAAAGCAGAGAACAUGCACCAUGAAAUCGCUUCCAAAAACCUCCCCCACCACCCCAGCUCCGCCUGCCGUCAAAACCUACGUCGCCGCCGCCGAAGUUGAAGAAAGUAUCGACGGGAUUGAAGAGAUAGUAGAGGAGGCGCCCGCAAGGCUCGACUUGGUCCCCAACGCUUCCCGACGACGGCCUCUUCCGGAAACAUGGCAGCGGCGGUGCCAUGAAACAAAGGGAGAACUAGAAUGAGGGAGGUGGUCCUGGCAGAGACAGCGGCGACGACGCGUGGCAUAGCGAUCAUGGUGCGUGGAAGGUCGUGGGCAUCGAGUCUUUGUGGUCAUGCCGCUGGCUUCAUGGCUUUUUCUGGGCUAUCCAUUUAUGUCAUUUAAAUUUCCUGGAUAUCCAUCAAAACCGUUUGAUUUAUUUUUGAUGGAUGGCAUAUAUGGGACUAGUGAGUCCUAUCGCCAUUUACAUCCUAGCCCACCACCAAUCAAUCACACUCCACGGCUAGCCGAAUCCUCGGGUACCGUCCAUACCAACAUCAAUCCUGGGGGAGUUUUGUUUGCAAUUAUCUUUUCGAUUUGAGUAUGGAACUGGGAAUUCCAAUUAUCGGCCCCUUUCUCAUGAAUGAUAGUGAAUAAACACAUAUCGAGGAUAACACGCCUAGCAUGGAAGAUACCAAUAGCCCCCUGUCACCACAUGAGCGGUUCAGGCAUGCAAAACAGAUUAUUUCUUGAAGGUUUAGAGAGUGGCACAUGCAAAUUUACUUGGAACGGCAGGUAGGUACCGCAAAUAGGUAGGUAUGGUGGACUCAUAUGGAACAACUUUGGGUUUAUGGAAGUGGAUGCACAAGCAGUAUUCCCGCUUAGUACAAGUGAAGGCUAGCAAAAGACUGGGAAGCGACCAACUAGAGAGCGACAAUAGUCAUCAAAAUGCAUUGAGAUUAACUAACAUUGAGUGCAAGCAUGAGUAGGACCUAAAUCACCAUGAACAUGAACUAUGUUGAUUUUGUUUCAACUACAUGCGUGAACAUGCGCUAAGUCAAACCACUUGAAACAUUCAAAGGAGGAUACCAUCCUAUCAUACUACAUCAUAGUCAUCUCAAAAUUCAUGUUGGCAACCAAGACAAACCAUUAUAAGCUCCUAGCUAAGGAAGCAUGGCAUAAGCAACUAUGAUCUCUAAGUUGUCAUUGCAAACAUGUUUCUCUCACAACAAAGACGAAUCAGGCAUGAUGAGCUAGUCACAAUUAUAAAAACAAAACAGAUCGAGUUCAUACCAGCUUUUCCAGGCUCAGUCACUUCAUCAUAGAUCGUCAUUAUUGCCUUUCACUUGCACGACCAAACAAUUGUGAACAAUAAUAAGCGUGCUCGUGCAUUGGACUAAAGCUGGAAUCUGCAGGCAAACACAAAGGAGAAGACAAAGUAAUUUUGCUCUUUGACAGCUAAACAGGUAUGCAUGCGAGAGCCACUAAACAUUGUAACCAUUAUCUUCUACCUUGACCCAAAGAAAAAGAAAACUAUUUACACGGGAAAGCUCCCAACAAGCAAAAGAAGAAAAAGAAAAUAUUUUUGGGUUUUCUCAAACUAGACACACACACGAAAAGAAAACGAGAAAAAUAAAAUAAACUAGCAUGGAUGAUACAGUGGCAAAGUGUGAACACUGGCUAACAAAGUGAAAGCAUAAGCAAGAAUGUAAAGUCGGUGAGAACACGUACUCCCCCAAGCUUAGGCUCUUGGCCUAAGUUGGUCUACUCCCAAGGAGGGAAAUAACCAGCUCCGGGGUACUUCGGAGUGGACUGAGGAUGCCACUGCUGUGUGAGCUCCUGUGGCUCCCACUGAUAAACUGGCGUCUUGUACUCGACUGGUGGCUCGGGCACGGGCACCUGUGGUGGGCUAAGCCCCAAUGUGCGUAGAUGUCCGAGGGCAUAAUAAUGUACCUGCCUGCAUGAAGAUUGAACAAAGAAGGAGCAGGCAAAUUAAUAGUCUCAGGAGUACCCUGACUAAACACCAUGUUAUAAAUCAUCCUUCUACUUAUAUCUCAAUCAAGAAAGUCAUGGCGAACCAUGCCAUCAUAAUCUAGAUAUCUCUCGGGAAGAAGAACCUCUUCUUCCUCCUCCAGUCUAAUGGGUAUCUCAAAGUGUCUGGCAAGAUGGGUAGCAUAGAUAGCUCCAUAGACAACACCUUUAGAACAGUUCAGGUUCAACCGUUGAGCUACUAUAGCGCUCAAGCUGUAAGUUUUAUCGUUAUAAAUGGCUUCGCGCAAGACCGCAAGAUCUGGGGAACUAAGUGACCCAGCUUUCCCACGGCCAAUCAAACAUUUUCCCACAAAUAAUGAGAAGUAUCAAAGCAUGGGAAAAUGAAUGCUAGCAGCUCUAGCGCAAGACACUCCUCUCUCCUCUCCUACAACAAUUGUACCGAUGAAAGCUUCCAAGUCCCGUGGACGAGGUUCAUGAAUAUCCCCAACGUAAGGUAAUUUACAAACAUUGCAAAAAUCUUGGAGUGACAUGCGCUGGGGGAUAUCAUAAAGUUUGAACUCAACCAUAGGAGGAUUCUUCUUCGGAUAGAAGUUAAAGCUUUGUACGAAGAUAUUAGUGAGGAGGAGGUAUUGCAGGCACUUAUCUUCAACGAAGGCGGUAAGGCCUGCAUUCUCCACCAAGUGAUAAAAUUCCUCAUAAAUUCCAGCGGCGCGUAAGAACACAUCGCUUGGCCACUCGCAUGCUCGAACUUAUGCGACUCGAGGGACCGGAUACUUGGGCUUCUUCUCACUCCCAUCAUCCUUGGGGUCACGGCUUGACGAGCCUCUUAAGAACCUCCUCAUCUUUUCCUUUUUCUAUCUCUGAAAAUUUCUGAAAUUUUUAGUUAUUCUAAGGAAAAGUGAAUAAGGCUCAACUAAACUCGUAGCAACUAUUCCAACAAGUGCCUCGAGGCCAUAUUACGCAUCAAAACUACUUGGGACCAGCUAAAAUCAGCAUGCAAAGCUCAAGAACAUGGUCACCAAGGCAGCAAAAAUACGCGGAGUAUAAGGCACUAGAGCAAAAACUAAUUGGACCAAUGGAGGAGUCACUUACCAAGGAGUAAUUUCCCCAAAAUAGUUCACAGAAUGGUGAUUUGAGCCAAGAGAUCAAAAAUCCCAGCAAGAGGAGCAAGAACAUGAGUUUGAGCUGCGAAACGAUUUUUUUUGGAGGUAGGAGAACCAUAUGAGAGCAAGAAUGAGUGGAGGGGGUGCCUGUGGGCCCCACAAGCCUGGGUGGCGCAGCCAGGGGGGUGCCUGUGCCCCAAGGGCUUGUGGCCCACUGGUGAAGCCCCCAGACAAGCUCUUCGUCUCAGAAUUUUUGAAAAAUUCCAGAAAAAAUCAUACUUGAUUUUGAGGACGUUCGGAGAACUUUUAUUUUCGGGGUACUUUUCUACCGGACGCUAAAAUAGAAAACAGGGAAAACUAAACUAAACCUAUCAUUUUUGUUCUAAGCAACCUAAAGUGAAAUCUUGGAAUAGAGGUUUGUGACUCCUCGAUUCAUCCAUCUCAUGGUCAUCGAAAGAAAAUCCGUCAAUGAGGUUGAUCAAGUCUCUUCGACAAACCUUUUCGAAUCGCAAAAGAGAAUGGAGAAUUUUCGAAUAGUUACUAGGUCACCUCAAUGGGGAUGUGAAUCUCCCCAACAAGCAAAUAAUACUUCAUCUUGACACGAGGAAUAGGGCAUUCAAAGCUCCCAAUAAGAAUCGAUGAAGUUUUUUCGAUAGCAUUGAUGCAAUGUACUCGAUAUUGUUUCUUCGGAAAGUGCACCGUAUGCUCAUUACUGUUGACAUGGAAAGUGACAUUGCCUUUGUUGCAAUCUAUAACAGCCCCUGCAGUAUUUAAAAAGGGUCUUCCGAGGAUGAUAGCCAUGGCAUCAUCCUCAGGAAUAUCCAAGAUAACAAAGUCUGUUAAGAUGGUGACGUUUGCAACCACAACAGGCACAUCCUCGCAAAUGCCGAUAGGGAAAGCAGUUGAUUUGUCGGCCAUUUGCAGAGAGAUUUCAGUGGGUGUCAACUUAUCCAGUUCAAGUCUACGAUAAAGAGAGAGGGGCAUAACACUAACACCGGCUCCAAGGUCGGAUAAAGCAAUUCUGAUGUAGAUACCUUAAAUGGAGCAAGGUAUAGUGGGCACUCCGGGAUCACCUAGUUUCUUAGGNNNNNNNNNNUCCACCCUUGAUGGUAUAGCUAGCAAGCAUGGUGGAAAUCUCAACCUCAGGUAUCCUCCUCUUAUUAGUCACAAUAUCUUUCAUGUACUUAGCAUACAGAGACAUUUUGAGCAUAUCUGUCAAACGCAUUUGCAGAAAGAUAGGUCUGAUCAUUUCAACGAAUCGCUCAAAAUCCUCAUCAUCCUUUUUCUUGGAUGGUUUGGGAGGAAAGGGCAUGGGUUUUUGAACCCAUGGUUCCCUUUCUUUACCAUGCUUCCUAGCAGCGAAGUCAUUCUUAUCGUAUCUCUUAUUCUUAGGUUGUGGGUUACCAAGAUCAACAGGUUCAAUCUCCACAUCCUUAUCAUUGCUAGAUUGAGCAUCUUCAUGAACAUCACUAUUGAUAUUAUCAUCAGGCUCAUGUUCAUCACGAGAUUGUGUUUCAACAUCAGAAACAGAUGCAUCGUUUGGACUCUCAGGGGUAGCAGGGUUGCUAGCAUGUAGGUUCCUAUCAUCUUUCUUCUUCUUUCUAGGAUGACUAGGUGAAUGAGUGCUAACUCCUUGAGAAUCUUGUUCAAUUCUCUUUGGAUGACCCUCAGGAUACAAAGGUUCCUGGGUCAUUCUACCGCCUCUAGUAACGACUCUAACGGAAUUGUCAUUCAACUCAUUGAGCAAGUCAUUCUGAGCUUUAAGUACUUGUUCUACGUGAGUAGUAACCAUAGAUGCAUGUUUACUCAGAAGCUUAAGAUCGUUGACGUUUCUGUCCACACAAGCACUUAAAUGACUAAGCAUACGAGCAUUCUGUUCCAAUUGUCUGCUAACAUAAUCAUUGAAACUCUGUUGUUUUGCAACAAGGUUAUAAAAAUCAUCCAUGCAUAAGCUAGCAGGUUUAUCAAAAGGAAUAUCACUCUCAUCAAACCUACACAGAGAAUUUACUUCUACUACCUAUAUCGGGUUAUGGAGACCAUGGAUCUCUUUCUCUCGCAUAGAUUUCUUGGCUUCUUGCAUAUCUUCAGGACUGAGGAAUAGAAUACCUCUUUUCUUCGGAGUUGGCUUAGGAUGUGGUUCAGGAAUAGUCCAAGCAUUCUCAUUGCACAAGAUGUUAUUCAAUAGAAUCUCAGCUUGUUCUACAGUUCGUUCCCUAAAAAUACUACCGGCACAACUAUCUAGGUGGUCUUUGGAAGCAUCGUAAGUCCAUCAUAGAAGAUAUCAAGUAUUUCAUUCUUCUCAAGAGGGUGAUCAGGCAAAGCAUUCAGUAGCUGGAUGAGCCUCCCCAAGCUUGUGGGAGGCUCUCUUCUUCACCUUGAGCAAAGUUGGAUAUUUCCCGCAAGGCAUCUUGCUUCUUAUGGGCAGGGUAAUAUCUUUCAUAGAAGUAGUAGACCAUAUCCUGGGGGCUACGCACACAACCAGGAGCAAGAGAAGUGCACCAGGUCUUAGCAUCAUCCUUUAGCGAGAAAGGAAACAGCUUGAGCAUGUAGUAGUGGCAGAUCUUUUCCUCACUAGUAAAUAGGGUGGCUAUAUUGUGCAGUUUGGUAAGAUGGGCUACAACCGUUUCAGACUCAUAACCAUGAAAAGGAUCAGAUUCGACCAGGGUGAUCAACUCAGGGUCGACAGAGAAUUCAUAAUCCUUAUCGGUCACAAAGAUAGGCGAAGUAGCAAACUUCGGGUCGUAUUUCAUCCUAGCGUUCAGAGAUUUUUCUUUCGAGUUGCGCAGUAGUUUCUCAACAUCAUAGCUAUCCUUACACGCAAGAAAAUCCUCAGCUAUCUCUCCCUCCAUAACAUAGCGCGUAUCAGGCAUAACAGGCAAUUCAGGCAUAGUAGCAGGUUCUACUUCGAUAGUAUCAGCAAUUGCAGAAGUAUCAUCACGUCUAGCAGCAACUCUAGCAAUUUGUGCAUCAAGGGAACCUAGUGGCAUAGCAGUAUCAGGCAUAGCAUCAUUAGGCAUAGCAUCAAGCAUAGCAUCCUUAGGCAUAGUAUCAAGCAUAGCAUCAAGCAUAGCAUCAUCAAGCACAGGCGACAUAUCAAGAUUUCUAGCAGGAGGCGAAGUCGCAAACUUACUCAAAACUGAAGGUGAAUCAAGUGCAAAGCCAGAUGGCAGUUCCUUACCUCUCGUCGUAGUGGAAGGCAAUAUUUUAGUUCUUGGAUCUUUCGGAUUCCUCAUAGUGACCAUCAGAUGAAAAUCCCAAGUGACUCAGAGAAUAUAGUCGUGCUUCCCCGGCAACGGCGCCAGAAAAAGGUCUUGAUAACCCACAAGUGUAGGGGAUCGCAACAGUUUUCGAGGGUAGAGUAUUCGACCCAAAUUUAUUGAUUUUCUCGGAAGGGGAAGCUAAAGAAUAUUCUCAAGUAUUAGCAGCUGAGUUUAUCAGAUUCAACCACACCUGAAAGAUUAGUGUCUGGAAGCAAAGUAUCAGUAGCAAAGUAGUAUGAUAGCAACUGUGCCAGAAAUAGAUCUGUUGACGGCAAACUAUUCCUAACUUGUUGUAUCAAUGGCGCUAGUAAGUUGCACGUGGACGGGGAACUAUUCUUCCCCAUCAACAGUGACGAAAAAGGAUCUUGCAACAAUUAACAACGAAGUAGCAAGGAACAUCAGUAGCAACAACAACAGAGUAACAACAGUAGCAACAGUAGUAGCAAAGUGGCCCAAUCCCUUUUGUAGCAAGGGAUAAGCCUAGACAAAGUAACGUAGCAAGGACCAGUAGUAAAAGACUCGUAGGUAGUGGAUCGGUGAUGGAUGAGUAUGACAUAUGUGAUUCAUCAUGUAACAGCUAUAACACGGAGAGAUAAGUAACUAGCUCCCGUUCAUCAAUCUAAUGUAGGCAUGUAUUCCGUAUGUAGUCAUACGUGCUUAGGNNNNNNNNNNNNNNNNNNNNNNNNNNNNNNNNNNNNNNNNNNNNNNNNNNNNNNNNNNNNNNNNNNNNNNNNNNNNNNNNNNNNNNNNNNNNNNNNNNNNUGUAUAUAUCAAAGUGCAAUCACAUGUAAAUAGCGUAAAACUGAUAUAUACCUUAAAUAUUUCAGCGGAAGCAGUCAAGGGAGUGGAGUCCCAAUAAAGACCAACGGCAAGUUGAGUGUAGACCGUAACCCUGAAUCGUACUCUUACUCGUCGAAGAAAAAUAUCUGCAACAUAAGACGUUGCAGCCGUGUAGGUCAGCAUAUUGAAUAUGCCGGCAAGUCACAUAUGAGAGGGGGUAAAAUAUCAUCUAUACUAUAUGCAUAUAUGGCAGGUGGGGCUAUAAGUUUUUAGCGAAAAGCAAGUUUUCUCCUACAUCAAGAGAGGGCUAAAAGCAAAAUGUUACUACUUUGUUGGUUGUUAACGAGAUGGUUCCACCAACCAAUUCUCGUACCCAUGUUGUCAAUAAUACCCACAUCAAUAUUAUUAUUUGUGUUGAGAAUUUCAGAUAACUUCAGUUCCUUUGGCUCAAGUUGUCCAUGACCGUGGACACGGCUAAUCGAUUAGGUUUGAGUACUCUGCAGAGUUUUGCACACGUUCCCCACCAGAUUUGAUCGCCUCCGUGUAUGUCCUCGCACUUCAGGGUGUUUGAAGACCGGAUGAUCAAAACAUGGUCUUUCAACGGGUCCCUCUGAAUCCCUGUCGGUGCCCAUCCAAUCCUACCGUUCUUCUACAUCUGCUAGCACCGCCUGUCCAGAGUCGCCGCAUUGUCCAACCAAGCCAGAGCCCAUAAUGACUUGUGGCUGUGCAGGUAAGCCUUGGGUCUUGAAUAUAUCAGUCCGUCUCUUUGAGCCUGGGUGAAGCUUUCCGCAAGAUGUCAUGGCCGUCUCCAGCAUCUCGGGUCAUCCACUGGUUUCUCCAGGGAGCCGAUCAACCGUCCUUCACCCAGAGUUGCAUUGCAUCAUGAGGUCUUGAAAAGUCUUGACUUAACCGGUCUUGGUUAUUUAUUUAUCCUCGCAUCACUCGUGUUAUGCACUCAACCAGAAUCCCGUCUACUCAAGCAUAGCAAUAUGAAAUUUGUCAUCCUGGGCCAAGUAACGGGGUUGUUGGGUGCCUACCACAUGAUACUACAAUAUGUAACCAUAAUUUCCAAGUACCUACUCAGCACGCAAUUGGGCAUAGGAUGGUAGAACUACAAUGCAUAAAACAUAGGUGAUACAUGAUCAAAUGACUUGCCUGGUAUUACUUGAUGAAGAUAGUUGCUCUCAUAAUCCUGAUAACUCUAGUCGCCACACUCCCAGCAAUCUAUUGUAAACAAAUAGCAUUCAAUAAACAUUCAUGCCAAAGAGGAAGAACCAAGAGAACAUAAGUACAAAGCAUGUCUUGGUGCAAAAUAACAACGUACUAAGGUUUAAUAAAAAGGUCCUAAGUGUGUUGUAAAGUGAAGGUGCAUGAAUGAGAUCAAAAGAGNNNNNNNNNNUUCUACUCGCCACACUCCGAGCAAUCUAUCGUAAACAAAUAGCAUUCAAUAAACAUUCAUGCCAAAGAGGAAGCACCAAGAGAACAUAAGUACAAAGCAUGUCUUGGUGCAAAAUAAUAACGUACUAAGGUUUAAUAAAAAUGUCCUAAGUGUGUUGUAAAGUGAAGGUGCAUGAAUGAGAUCAAAAGAGUUAAUGGACGAGGAACCAUUGCUAUAUAAGCUCGACUUGCAUACACUAUGGGAGAUGAUCAAAAAUAUUGGGAGAACAAUAUGAAUGUUGUUUGACAAAUAGUAUAAGACAUAGGAAUUUAUUUGUAGAAAGAAUUUCUUGAAAUGGAGCACUACAACGCAAGUUAUAGCGAAUUGAAGUAUGAAUUAAAUUUGCAUUCAAAAGGUCAAGAGAAGUUGAACUGAAGUACGAUGGUUAUGUACAAAAAUAUAUGACAUGUGUGUUUAGGGGUGAAAUGAAUCAAUUGAAAAGGUGGUACGAUUUGCAAGAUAAGAUCAAAUGAAUGUUCGAAUACAAAUUUGAAUCGCUCAAAUUUGUAAGGUUCAAAGGUCGAAACUAAUGAUGCUAUUGGAUAUAGUAGAUCAAUAUGAGCGUGUAGAAAAAAGAAUUACUAGAUUUGAAAUAGCGGAUCAAAAGAUAGAAAUACUUCAAUAUAACAAUGAAUCGGCUUAGAACGAUGUGAACACUUUUGGGCACUAAUAGAUAAAUCUGAUUUGAUCAAAAUUAUAAGUUGAAAAGUUAAAACUAAUGAUACAAACGGGAAGAGUACUUUGAUACGAAUCCGACGCAAUUGAAUUCAUCUAAAACGGAGCUACGGAUAAAAAGAUAUGAUCAAAAGAAGUUUGAAUAUGAAUAUGAACAAAUUUCGAAAUUUGAAAAAUUCAAAAUUUUGAUAUGAUAGGUUCACAGGAUAGAUGGGAUCAAGACGAAACUCUAGGCUUUGGUUUCAUCUAAUUCGGAUAUACGAGUAAAAAGUUAUGGCUAUUUGAAAAAUCAGGGUCAAGCUGUUUUACGGAAUAAAAGUGCUACGUCUAAAAGAAUUGUAGUACUAAUAUGGAAAUACGAAGACUAAUUAAUAUAUCUAAUUACUCUACCGUAUACUAGUGUAGGAAUACUAGUCUAGAAAUAAUAAACUACGGAAGUAUAAAAAAAUACGAAGAGAAAUAACUUUAGAAUGCAGAGUAAUAAUUAAUUCNNNNNNNNNNCCAAGCUGUUUUACGGAAUAAAAGUGCUACGUCUAAAAGAAUUCUAGUACUAAUGUGGAAAUACGAAGACUAAUUAAUAUAUCUAAUUACUCUACCGUGUACUAGUGUAGGAAUAUUAGUCUAGAAAUAAUAAACUACGGAAGUAUAAUAAAAAUACGAAGAGAAAUAACUUUAGAAUGCAGAGUAAUAAUUAAUUCCAGUGAGGAGACGACUUCGAGAAAUCCCGCCGAAGAGAAGAAAAAAUAUUUUUAUUUAAUAAAUCUAGUUAAACCAAAAGAUUGAUUUAACCCGAAAUAGAUGAUUUGUGGAUGCUCAUAUGGAUCUAUAUUUAUAGGUGGAAGGGAGGUCUAAUGGUCCAUAGAUAGGCAAUGUGGGACUAAACAUAUACGUAAACAGGAGAAAAUAGAAAAAAGAGAGAAGAAGUGCCGCAUGGGCUGAAAGACUUUGGCCACCCACAUGAGCCGUUACGGCCAGCCGUGGCCUUUGUUUCUUUUUUCUUUUUCUUUUUUUUGCGAACGAACAAAAUUUUUUUAAAACAAAGAAGAAAAACGUAUAAAUGAAAAAGAGAGAACAUUUUAUAUAGACAUAUUAUAUAUCAAAUUUUUCAGAAUAAAAUUUUCUAAAACAUGAACAUAUUUUCAAAACCAAAAAAUACUUUUUAAAAAAAAUCAAUAACUUUAAAAUGAAAAGGAAUUUGAAUUUCAAAUAAAUUGCAAAUACUUAAAAUUUGAAUCAAGACAUAGUCUCUGAUUUUGGAGGGUCAUUUUCCUCCUCUCGUUUGAUUUUUUUUUAAUCAAAGGGUUUUGAAAAUAUUCAAACUCAAAAUUGAAGGCAUUCAAAAUAGAAAAUUUUGGGAAAGUCAUUUUAUUCCCUCUCAUUUUNNNNNNNNNNNNNNNNNNNNNNNNNNNNNNNNNNNNNNNNNNNNNNNNNNNNNNNNNNNNNNNNNNNNNNNNNNNNNNNNNNNNNNNNNNNNNNNNNNNNAUUUACAUGUGAUUGCACUUUGAUAUAUACAUUGAUGUACUGUGUGUGCCAGCAUACCGAUCCAAGGAUGGCACAGAAACAUAGAGGCUUGACUCGUUUUGAGUCGGGUCGCUACAUCAUUGGCCACGACAUGUUGCAUAUAUUAUUUACUCUUCAGAUAGCAUUACAGCUGUUCAAGCAAUUCUUGUCUUAGAAACAACUAUCACUUCUAGCCUUUGGUUCAAAAGUCAGGGCGCUUGAAGAGGAAUGUUAAAGACAUGGGGGCCCUCAUGGGUGUCCUUACCAGAUAUACGGAGUCAGACAACACAAAAUAUCCAUCUUCAGAUGACGAGCGAUCUAGCAAGGGCAUGAAAAACGGCGGCAGCAAAGGCCAUCAGCAGAAUGGUCAUACGAGCAACGACAAUGGAAAUCAUGGUAAUAACAUUGGCAAACGCAAGAAUUAUGAUGGGACUUGGUCGCCAACACCAACACCAACUCCAAGAAUGAGUGCCAGAACAAUAAUACGGGUCAUCCCUAUACUGCACCCAUCCUCGGAAUUAUGAGGAGGCUAUCAAAGGAGCGUGUCCAAAACGCAACAUGGAUGGCAAGCCAGAAAAACACUCAUGGGAAAACUGCUACCUUAUGCAGAAAUUUUGUAACCAAGCCUUCCAGAGCGGCAACAACAACGACGACAACAACCCUCUCGCAGUUCCUCUAGUUGGCAGCUCAGGAGAUGGCUUUCCUAGUGCCAGCUUCUAGGGAAAUUACACCGGAGUUGGGUUUUCCAGUGUAGGUGGCUCAGGGUCUGGGUUUUCGGAGGCUGGUCUUAAUGGAGGUGGUAACCAGCGUUCUAGUUAGGGAAAUGAGAUCAGGACAAAUAGAACCGCGAGAUACAUUUUGGUUUCCAUUGUAAUUCGAAGCAGUUAAACAGUGGGUAGUACCAUGUGUUCACCACUAGCACGCGCAAACGUGACUGUAAGGUGCAAAAAUGGGUGGUCAACGUGGUUGAGUCGGCAGUCCUGAAAUACUUACACUAGUCUGAACAGCCAGUGGUCUGGAGUUGUGAGGAUCACCGUGUGUGAAUUGAUAAUCCGGUGAGUUUUGCUUUAGUGGUGCCGCCUCAAGUUUAUAGAUACAAGCUGACAAGGUUCUCAUGGACGGUGGCAGCAACAUCAAUAGCAUUUACUAUUAUACUUUUCGGCACAUGAAUUUGCGUGAAAAUCAGCUCAAGCCAUCUUCUACUAUCCUUCAUGGGAUCGUUCCUCGCAAGUGAUCCUAUCCCAUUGGCAGGAUCUCUCUCGGAGUAGCCUUUGGUAACGAGAUCAAUUACCGGACCAAGCUCCUCACUUUUGAGGUGGUCAAGAUAAAAAUUCCUUAUCACACCCUAUUUGGACGGUGAAAGUGCGUUAUAUCGACUAGAGGGGGGGGGGUGAAUAGGAGAUUUUUAGAAUUUCAUCACUGAGGAAAUUCCUUNNNNNNNNNNNNNNNNNNNNNNNNNNNNNNNNNNNNNNNNNNNNNNNNNNNNNNNNNNNNNNNNNNNNNNNNNNNNNNNNNNNNNNNNNNNNNNNNNNNNGGAGGUAUGUGGUCGGGCUGCCGUGGAAAAGUCGUCUCAAAUCAGCCCUAAAACCUCCGUAUAUAUAGGUGGGAGGGAGGGGACCUUACCUUGGGGCUCAAGGAGCCCCAAGGGGGUCGGCCGAACCAAGGGGGGAAGGCUCCCCCCCCCCAAAACCGAGUUGGACUUGGUUUGGUGGGUGGGAGUCCUUCCCUUCCUUCCCACCUCCCUUUUUUUUCUUUCUCUUUGAUUUUUAUCUCUAUAGCGCAUAGGGCCCUUUUGGGCUGUCCCACCAGCCCACUAAGGGCUGGUGCGCCACCCUUAUGGCCUAUGGUCUUCCCCGGGGUGGGUUGCCCCCCCCCCCCCCNNNNNNNNNNNNNNNNNNNNNNNNNNNNNNNNNNNNNNNNNNNNNNNNNNNNNNNNNNNNNNNNNNNNNNNNNNNNNNNNNNNNNNNNNNNNNNNNNNNNNNNNNNNNNNNNNNNNNNNNNNNNNNNNNNNNNNNNNNNACAUUACCGGUAACUCCGAAAACCUUCCGGUAAUCAAAUGAGGUCAUCCUAUAUAUCAAUCUUCGUUUCCAGACCAUUCCGGAAACCCUCGUGACGUCCGUGAUCUCAUCCGAGACUCCGAACAACAUUCGGUAACCAACCGUAUAACUCAAAUACGCAUAAAACAACGUCGAACCUUAAGUGUGCAGACCCUCGGGUUCGAGAACUACGUAGACAUGAUCCGAGAGAAUCCUCGGUCAAUAUCCAAUAGCGGGACCUGGAUGCCCAUAUUGGAUCCUACAUAUUCUACGAAGAUCUUAUCGUUUGAACCUCAGUGCCAAGGAUUCAUAUAAUCCCGUAUGUCAUUCCCUUUGUCCUUCGGUAUGUUACUUGCCCGAGAUUCGAUCGUCAGUAUCCGCAUACCUAUUUCAAUCUCGUUUACCGGCAAGUCUCUUUACUCGUUCCGUAAUACAAGAUCCCGCAACUUACACUAAGUUACACUGCUUGCAAGGCUUGUGUGUGAUGUUGUAAUACCGAGUGGGCCCCGAGAUACCUCUCCGUCACACGGAGUGACAAAUCCCAGUCUUGAUCCAUACUAACUCAACUAACACCUUCGGAGAUACCUGUAGAGCAUCUUUAUAGUCACCCAGUUACGUUGCGACGUUUGAUACACACAAGGCAUUCCUCCGGUGUCAGUGAGUUAUAUGAUCUCAUGGUCAUNNNNNNNNNNNNNNNNNNNNNNNNNNNNNNNNNNNNNNNNNNNNNNNNNNNNNNNNNNNNNNNNNNNNNNNNNNNNNNNNNNNNNNNNNNNNNNNNNNNNCUCCAAGAUCCCAUCUGGGGCACGUUCUGGUGCCCUGCCGGAGGGGGGAUUCGGAUACGGAAGGCUUCUUCAUCAACACAAUGACCUCUCCGAUGAUGCGUGAGUAGUUCACCAUAGACCUACGGCUCCAUAGCUAGUAAGUAUAUGGCUUCUUCUCUCUCUUGGAUCUUCAAUACAAAGUUCUCCCUGAUCUUCAUGGAGAUCUAUCCGAUGUAAUCUUCUUUUGCGGUGUGUUUGUCGAGAUCCGAUGAAUUGUGGAUUUAUGAUCAGAUUAUCUCUGAAUCUUAUUUGAGUUUCUUCUGAUCUCUCUUAUGCAGGAUUUCAUAUCAUUGUAAUUCUCUUCGAGUUGUGGGUUUUGUUUCGCCAACUAGAUCUAUGAUUCUUGCAAUGGGAGAAUUGCUUGGUUUUGGGUUCAUACCGUGCGGUGACCUCACCCAGUGACAGAAGGGGUAGCGAGGCACGCAUCAUGUUGUUGCCAUCAAGGGUAAAAAGAUGGGGUUUUCAUCAUUGGUUUGAGAUUAUCCCUCUACAUCAUGUCAUCUUGCUUAAGGCGUUACUCUGUUUGUCAUGAACUCAAUACACUAGAUGCAUUCUGGAUAGCGGUCGAUGUGUGGAGUAAUAGUAGUAGAUGCAGAAAGUAUCGGUCUACUUUUCUCGGACGUGAUGCCUAUAUGUAUGAUCAUUGCCUUAGAUAUCGUCAUGACUUUGCGCGGUUCUAUCAAUUGCUCGACAGUAAUUUUUUUACCCACCGUGAUAUUUGCUAUUUUGAGAUAAGCCUCUAGUGAACACUAUGGCCCCCGGGUCUACUCCACACCAUAUUUUCAGACUUACACUUUUUACUUCGUUGCACUUUCCGCCUUCAGAUCUCACUUUGCAAACAAUCUUGAAGGGAUUGACAACCCCUUUGAAGCGUUGGGCGCAAGCUCGUUUGUGUUUGCGCAGGUACUCUGGACUUGACGAGACCCUCCUACUGGAUCGAUACCUUGGUUCUCAAACUGAGAGAAAUACUUAUUGCUCCUGUGCUGCAUCACCCUUUCCUCUUCAAGGGAAAAACCAACGCAAGCUCGGGAGACGACAGAAGGAUCUCUGGCACCACUGUCGGGGAACGACUUUUGUUGAGUAGCAGAGGGUCAUUUUGUCAUGAGUAAGAAUCUCAAUAAUGGUUCAUAUUACCUGGUGGACCUCCGGUCCAAAUCAUACACCUCCCAGGAAGAGACGACCCGACCUUGGAACAUUGCCCACCUUCGGCCUUAUUAUACCUAGCGCCAGUGGCUCAUCGAUAAUGUACCUCUUGCAACGUUUGUACAUACCCUUUAUGUUCAAUAUAAUAAAGCUGGUACCCAGGAAAUUUGGGGUUUAUGCCGUUUAAGCCUAUACAAUGAGCAUAAGUCGCCGUGAGAUGGUCAUUCAAACAUGGAUGCUAUUAGUAUCAAAGAGGAUGAGCCGCCAUGUUACGACCGUUCAAACAUAGGUGCUAAUAAGCCAAAGAGGGCUAGUUGCUACGACACAUGGUUCAAACUUAGGCGCCAAUUGUGAUCAAGAGAAUCAAGCCGGCUUAUCUGGGGGCUAUUAGUCCCCAUAUUGUUUGGCAGUAAUAGCAUUGUCUUCUGCAAUCGUAUGUUGGGCUUUUCCCUGAUCAUGGGUCACUUGGGGGCUUCCAGCUCACUGAGUUGAGCUUUCUCACCCUCUUGGUCUGUGAAAAACUACCGCUUUAUGAUGGUUAGACCUGACUGUAUGUUUGUGCGACUCCCCUUAUUGGCCCGUGUACUCAUGGCGAGUCAAUCCAUUGUGGACCCUGAACUUUUCAAGGUUAAAAUAUUGAGUGUGUCGUGUGAGAGCCGGCAUAUGGAAAAUGGCGAAACCAUGGGUUCAUGUAACCCACUUCAUUGAAGCAUGACUUGAGCCUGAUCAGUCAGUCUGAGUCUCAUUGAGACGGCUUAUCAUAAUUUUUGUCAGUUAUUACACGGGUAAGACUAGAGCCUUGCAAGCCUGUCUCCCUGUCGAGUCUCACUGAGACAGCUUAUUAAUAUUGUUAAGUUUUACCUAAACUUAUUUCACGGAAAAUCCAAUAUUUAUUACCGGCUCAUACAAAGCGUCCAGGUUAUGAUGUUAUUUAUUUGCAAUGACAAGGUCAAUCAUUUUACGGCUUUCGAACAUUUCAGAAGGGUGGCUCACAUGAACUCAAUCGUCUUGGCUUCAAUUCAAGCAUAGGUAUUGUUGGGGAACGUCGCAUGGGAAACAAAAAUUUUCCUACGCGCACGAAGACCUAUCAUGGUGAUGUCCAUCUACGAGAGGGGAUGAGUGAUCUACGUACCCUUGUAGAUCGUACAGCAGCAGCGUUAGAGAACGCGGUUGAUGUAGUGGAACAUCCUCACGUCCCUCGAUCCGCCCCGCGAACAAUCCCGCGAUCAGUCCCACGAUCUAGUACCGAACGGACGGCACCUCCGUGUUCAGCACACGUACAGCUCGACGAUGAUCUCGGCCUUCUUGAUCCAGCAAGAGAGAUGGAGAGGUAGAAGAGUUCUCCAGCAGCGUGACGGCGCUCCGNNNNNNNNNNNNNNNNNNNNNNNNNNNNNNNNNNNNNNNNNNNNNNNNNNNNNNNNNNNNNNNNNNNNNNNNNNNNNNNNNNNNNNNNNNNNNNNNNNNNACAGCUUAGGGGCUCAAUCACUCGCUGACAGUGGGCCCAAGGCCAAGCCAACGUAGUUAAGAGACUGGUCAGCGCGGGAUUAGUCCCAGAGAGGCUGACCAGUGGGUCCCCCCUGUCAGGUUUGACCUGAACAGGUCGGCCGACCUGCUGACGCCAGGCUGAUGCAAUAAAGAGAAUUUCCAGUAUAGAAAUAAUUCCAGGAAAUUGCUAAAACUUGUAAAAAUCAUAGAAAUUAAUCUGUAACUCCAAUGGAAAUAAUUUAUAUACGAAAAAGUAUCAGAAAAAUUCAAGGAUUCUGAAUAUGCUAUUUUCAACCAUGUUUGAAAAAGUUACAGGACCCUAACAUGUAGAAUAAGGAAUAAUUCAAUUCUUAUAAUUACUUUUUAAAUGGAAUUUGGAAAAUAUUCAAAUUUCAUUAUGAAUGCCAUGAUCACACACUGUCCUAAUUACAAAUCAGUACCUUAACAUGACAUCUCAUGCAUGCUAAUAUCAAGUUGAUCUGAGCAUCAGGUCGAAUCAAUUAAACCGGUAUCCGAGACUACCUCGUUUGAAUUGAUAUUCGAAUGUGAUUCAAAUCAACUCUAAACCUAAUAUAUAUUGAUUAUAAUAACUUAUCACCUUGCAUUCUCAUGCCAUGCUCAUGCAUCAUUUUGAUUGCAUAUGAUUGUUAUUGAAUGUUGCCAUUCAUUUCGGUAGGCUCCGCACCCUCGGAUUCCACCGAAUAUCCGUCUGACGGAUAUCGUUCCUCCUCUGAGCAACAAGGCAAGCAACCCUUUUGAUCAUCCCGAUAAUUCCCAUGUUCUUGCUCCUGCACUUAUUUAUUACAUUAGGAUCAAAUGCUACAACUGCUUUUGCCACGUUAGUUGAACCCACUUCCUUUGCAUGACCUAACCUUGUCACAGUAAAUAGCCGAACCUUGCAACCUAGCAUACCUGGUAGUUGCUUGAGCUAUGAUGUGCCUUAUCCUUCUAUGCAUGCUAUGCUUACAGUUGUGUAUGGUCUGUCAUCUCGGAGAUGAACAGAAUUGUGGAAAUGUGUUCGGUGAGCAAAGGUUGUGUGUUGAACNNNNNNNNNNGCUAUGCAUGCUAUGCUUAGAGUUGUGUAUGGUCUAUCAUCUGGGAGAUCAACAGAAUUGUGGAAAUGUGUUCGGUGAGCAAAGGUUGUGUGUUGAACUUGAUUUGGUAAAGGUACCGGUGAAAGGCUGUGUAGGAGUACAUGGCGGGUUGUUUCAUUGAAACCGUCCAUAGGAACUGAGUUCCAUGUAUGUAAUCCAAGACUAGAUACUACCACAUGCUGGGCCCUGAAAUAUGACCCCGCUCGGCCUAUUAAUCGCGUAGUACUCGGUCCAGGAGUUGCAAGUAGUUUCUGGUGUUUAUAGUAAUGCUGGAGGCCGUGCAUGGUGCUGACCUGAGAGGUGGGCUGUGAUGCGGUAGGCAGUGGCACGGUGUACCAAGUGGCACCCGGAUGGUGGGCUUGGGAACCCUGCACANNNNNNNNNNNNNNNNNNNNNNNNNNNNNNNNNNNNNNNNNNNNNNNNNNNNNNNNNNNNNNNNNNNNNNNNNNNNNNNNNNNNNNNNNNNNNNNNNNNNCAGGUUACCGCACAUCUUCUUGGAUAAUGAGAUUCAACGAACUAUUUCUUUAGUGUUCCUCUGACCAUAUCAUUUUGAUGUUCUUGAUUUUUAGACAGCGUACUCCCUUUGUCUCAUAAAAUAAGACUUUUUAUAUGCUACACCGCUGAAAAAAAACCGACAAAAAUAAUAGUCGUUUCUCUGACCAUAUAUCAUUUUAAAGUCCUUAAAAAUUUUAGAAAGAAAAGGAAAUUUAGAAGACAUGGAUUUCAGGUUACCGCAGAUUUUCUUGGAUAUUCAGAUUCAGCAAAAAAAAAAGGUCCUACCGAGACUUGAACUCGGGUUACUGGAUUCAGNNNNNNNNNNAUGCUACAUAUUCAGAUUGAAACCCUUUGAGCUAUAUCCGUAAAAUAUGUUCCUUUUCAAAAGCUUAUAUUAAUUAAUAACCUGACAACAAUGCGAACAAUUUGAACUGGACCAUCAUGCAAAAUACUCCGGUUUAGGACCGACGUGGAUGAGAAAAACUUGCAGGAUGCAUAUUUCAAUUUUACAAGAACCGAUUCUGAAGAGGGAUGCACACAUGUGUCGUUGACUUUGUUGUGAUCAUCGACCAGGUGGGCGACCCUGAAGUGGACCAGUUCAAAUUGUUCGCAUUGUUGUCAGGUUAUUAAUUAAUAUAAGCNNNNNNNNNNNNNNNNNNNNNNNNNNNNNNNNNNNNNNNNNNNNNNNNNNNNNNNNNNNNNNNNNNNNNNNNNNNNNNNNNNNNNNNNNNNNNNNNNNNNNNNNNNNCCGAGACGGCGGCGGCGAUGGCCGCGGCGUCGCUGGUCUACAAGCCCAUCGACGCCUCCUACUCGUCGUCCCUCCUGGGCCACGCGGAGCAGCUCUUCGCGUUCGCGGACCGGCACAGAGGCGCCUACACGCGCACCUUCCCGGAGCUCGCCAAGUACUACAACUCCACCACGUACCAGGACGAGCUGCUGUGGGCGAGCGGCUGGNNNNNNNNNNNNNNNNNNNNNNNNNNNNNNNNNNNNNNNNNNNNNNNNNNNNNNNNNNNNNNNNNNNNNNNNNNNNNNNNNNNNNNNNNNNNNNNNNNNNGCUCGAGCUCGUGGUAAUGGCGGCAGCAAGAAGGAGGAAGAGAUCCGAGAGGUGGGAGAGAGCUAGCGCUGGGAAUGGAUAGAGGAGGCCUCGGGGAGCUUAUCCCCGGCCUUGCCAGCGCGAGGCGGCGGCCAGGCAGGCGCACAGGUGCGUGGCCACGCUGGAGAAGGUGGCGACCACCUCCUGCUCCUACUGGCGCGAGGGAGGAGACGACUCAGGGACAUGGGCCAGGCCAGGCUAGGCGACAGGUAACCUCUUUUCCAUUUCCUUCUGUUUUAUUUUNNNNNNNNNNGCGGCGGCCACCUCCUGCUCCUACUGGCGCGAUGGAGGAGACGACUCAGGGAGAUGGGUCGGGCGAGGCUAGGCGACAGGUAACCUCUUUUCCAUUUCCUUCUGUUUUAUUUCUGUUUUAAUUUCUGACAUUGAUUUGCUAUUUAUUUCAGCUCCAAAAAGGUUGUAAAAACUAUUUUGAACUCACGUGAAUAUUUUUUAUAAUAUUCCCAACCAUUUCCAAAGUUUUCAACAUUUUUGAAAAUUUAUAGUUUCUGAUUUCAAAUUUAAAAUUUGAAACCAGUGGCUUUUUGCAUUAAUUUAAAAUGCUUAAAGUGUCAAGAAAAUAGUUUUCUCCAAUGCUCAUUUACUUUCAUGAUUUAUCAGAANNNNNNNNNNAAACACACAUGAAUAUUUGUUAUAAUAUUCCCAACCAUUUCCAAAGUUUUCAACAUUUUUGAAAAUUUAUAGUUUCUGAUUUCAAAUUUAAAAUUUGAAACCAGUGGCUUUUUGCGUUAAUUUAAAAUGCUUAAAGUGUCUAGAAAAUAGUUUUCUCCAAUGCUCAUUUACUUUCAUGAUUUAUCAGAAAGUUUGAACAUUUCNNNNNNNNNNNNNNNNNNNNNNNNNNNNNNNNNNNNNNNNNNNNNNNNNNNNNNNNNNNNNNNNNNNNNNNNNNNNNNNNNNNNNNNNNNNNNNNNNNNNCACUUUGUUCUCAUACAUGGAUCCUAUCUCGGAUUUCAUGGCUUCUAGCCAUUUGUUGGAAUCUGGGCCCACCAUUGCUUCUUCAUAAUUCGCAGGUUCAUUGUUGUCUAACAACAUGAUUGAUAAGACGGGAUUACCGUACCACUCUGGAGCAGCGCGUGAUCUCGUCGACCUGNNNNNNNNNNNNNNNNNNNNNNNNNNNNNNNNNNNNNNNNNNNNNNNNNNNNNNNNNNNNNNNNNNNNNNNNNNNNNNNNNNNNNNNNNNNNNNNNNNNNNNNNNNNAGAAACUUGAACUGGAGUUUCAUGAUCAUCAUCAUUAACUUCUCCUCAACCGGCGUCGCAAUGACAGAGGUUUCCCCUUGCCCUGCGCCACCAUCCAGAGGGAUGAGAGGUUCGACAACCUCGUCAAGUUCUAUCUUCCUCCCACUCAAUUCUCUCGAGAGAAACUCCUUCUCGAGAAAAGUUCCGUUCUUAGCAACAAACACUUUGCCCUCGGAUUUGAGAUAGAAGGUGUACCCAACUGUCUCUUUUGGGUAACCUAUGAAGACGCACUUUUCCGCUUUGGGUUCCAGCUUGAAGCUUUUUGACAUAAGCAUCACAUCCCCAAACUUUAAGAAACGACAACUUUGGCCUUUUGCCAUACCACAGUUCGUAUGGUGUCNNNNNNNNNNNNNNNNNNNNNNNNNNNNNNNNNNNNNNNNNNNNNNNNNNNNNNNNNNNNNNNNNNNNNNNNNNNNNNNNNNNNNNNNNNNNNGGAUUUCGAUGGUGCCCUAUUUAAAGUGAAUGCAGCUGUUUCUAAUGCAUAACCCCAAAAUGAUAACGGCAAAUCAGUAAGAGACAUCAUAGAUCGCACCAUCUCUAACAAAGUACGAUUUCGACGUUCGGACACACCAUUACGCUGUGGUGUUCCAGGCGGUGUUAACUGCGAAANNNNNNNNNNNNNNNNNNNNNNNNNNNNNNNNNNNNNNNNNNNNNNNNNNNNNNNNNNNNNNNNNNNNNNNNNNNNNNNNNNNNNNNNNNNNNNNNNNNNAUGCCUAGCUAAGGGCGUUAAACAAAAGCGCUUGUUGGGAGGCAACCCAACAAAUCUAUCCUUUUUCUUUCUGUUUUGUGUUUUCCACACUUUCAUAAUUCUGUUAUGAUUGUGUUUUUUGUGUUUAUUUUUGCGUUUGUGCCAAGCAAAACCGUUAUGAUUAGUCUUGGGGAUGAUUGUUUGGUCAUGCUGGAAAAGACAGAAACUUUCUGCCCACUAAAAGAAUUUUCUUUUUUUUAUGUAAGAACUUUUGAGUUGAUUCUUUUUGCUGCUGAUUGCUAUGCAAAUUCUUCAGACUUUCAUAAUUUUUCAGAAUUUUUGAAGUACCAGAGGAAUACGAAAUAUACAGAUUGCUACAGACUGGUCUGCUGUUAACAGAUUCUGUUUUUGUUGUGUUGGUUGCUUAUUUUGAUGAAACUAUGGAUAGUAUCGGGGGGUAUUAGCCAUGAAAUAUUGAAAGUACAGUAACCCAACAUCAGCACAAGUAGAAUUUAAGUUUGCUACAGUACCUAAGGAAGUGGUGGUUUGCUUUCUUGUACUAAUGUUAUCACGAGUUUCUGUUUAAGUUUCGUGUUGUGAAGUUUUCAAGUUUUGGGUGAAGUUCUUAUGGACAAAGAGAUAAAGAGUGGCAAGAGCUCAAGCUUGGCGAUCCCCAAGGCACCCCAAGAGAUUCAAGGAUGCCUUAAAAGCCUAAGCUUGGGGAUGCCCCGGGAAGGCAUCCCCUCUCUCGUCUUCAAUCCAUCGGUAACGCUACUUGGGGCUAUAUUUUUAUUCACCACAUGUUAUGUGUUUUUGCUUGGAGCGUUUUGUAUUGUAGCAGUCUUUUAUUUUGUUGUGUCACAAUCAUCCUAGCUGCACGCCUAGAGAGAGAGACAUGCACACACCGUGAUUUUGUCGAGCUUCACUUAUAUCUUUUGGUAGACAAUUCAGCUCACAUGUGCUUCACUUAUAUCUUUUGAGCUAGAUACUUUUGCUCUAUGUGCUUCACUUAUAUCUUUUAGAGUGCAGCGGUGCGUGGCUUGGUAGUUGAUCUAUGCUUUGAAAGUAGUCUCAAAAGGGGUAGUUAUCCAAAGGGAUACGAAAACUUCCACCUUCAUGUGCAUUGAAUAGCUAGAGAAGUUUGAUUCAUCUCAAUUAGUUUUGAGUUGUGGUUAUGGUAAUAUUGAAGUCAUGCUAGUAAGGUGUUGUGGAUCUAGAAAUACUUGUGUUGAAGUUAGUGAUUCCCGUAGCAUGCACGUAUGGUGAACCGCUAUGUGAUGAAAUCUGAGCAUGAUUAGUAUAUUGAUUGUCAUCCUUUGCGUGGCGGUCGGGAUCGCGCAAUGGUUUAUACCUACAAACCCUCCCCCUAGGAGUAUGCGUUGAAUGCUUUGUUUCGAUUACUAAUAAAACUUUUGCAACAAGUAUGUGAGUUCUUCAUGACUAAUGUUGAGUCCAUGGUUUAGAUGCACUUUCACCUUCCACCAUCACUAUCUUCUUAGUGUCGUGCAACUUUCGCCGGUGCACAAAACCCACCAUUAGCAUCCCUCAAAACAGCCACCAUACCUACCUACUAUGGCUUUUUCAAAGUCAUUCCAAGAUAUAUUGCCAUGCAACUACCACCAUGACAUGUGCCACCACGUCUACUUUGCCUUUGCACGAUCGUAAGAUAGCUAGCAUGAUGUUUCCAUUGAUGUCUAUGCCAUGCUCGAUCAUUGCCACGGUACACUACCGAAGGCAUUCCAUAUAGAGUCAUCGUUACUCUAAGUUUUGAGUUGAAAGUGUGAUGAUCAUCAUUAAUGGAGCAUUGUCACAUGUGAGGAAAUAAAAGAGGCCAAAGAAGCCCAAAAAAAAGAGGCCAAAGAGCCCACCAAAUAAAAA
rnacentral:lncRNA from 1 species